rnacentral:lncRNA from 1 species
GAUGGGGUUCUAAUUCUUCCUUAUCCUCCAUUUCCUUUCUUUAGGUGUGGCUGUAUUCAUCACCUUAUCUGGUUUUACUUGGCUUUGAAGGUUUGUGGAAACUAAAAGGUAUAUGGAUUUCAAAAGCCCUGGAUCUCAAGCACAAGAAGGAACUUUCUUUGGAUUAGAAGCUGCCUUUAAAGGUCUCGAGCCCGGGUAAUUUACAUUUCUCUUGAAAUUCUUAGAAUGUUAGAUAAAAUAUUGCAACGAAACAGAGUUCCGAAGCUACCUGUAAAUUCUAUACGAAGGCACCGUCUUACUAUUCUGAGUCUCAAUUUUUGUGUAACAUUCAAUUAAAACUCAUACUUCAAAGGUAGUUUUGAAAUGGUCAUAAAAAGUGGAAGGAAGGAGUAUGAUUUUUUUUUAAAAUUAAAGGAUCUGAAGUUUAUAGGAUGCUCUCUUGAUCAUUUUACCAACUAGAAUGCCCUAGAAUAUGAACAGUUUUGACUUUGAGGGAUGAUUACCUUGCAGAUACCCUGGGGGUCCUCUGUUGAAUCCUCUUGGCAUUGCUAAAGAUAUCAAGAAUGCUCAUGACUGGAAACUCAAGGAGAUUAAGAAUGGUUAAAUUUUCCACUCACAUUCUCAUCAAAUUUUUCGUCUAUCGUUUUCCCGGAUUAAUCUUUGUUCAUUCAAAUUACAGGACGGCUUGCAAUGGUAGCCAUGCUUGGGAUCUUUGUGCAAGCUUAUGUUACUCAUACAGGGCCAAUAGAUAACCUUGUGGAGCACCUUUCUAAUCCAUGGCACAAGACUAUUAUCCAGACACUUUCAAGCUCAAGUCCUUAAAGAACAAGACGUUGAAACUUGAUAGUCUCUUUACUCAAUGAGCAAAAUAUAACAUGACAUUGGAGAUUUAUCAGCUAAAAAAGAAUACAGAUGAAAGAACAAAUGACCUUUGUAUUUUGAUUUGAUCAAUACAACAGAUCAAAAAUUUGUUUCGAUUAUUAUAUUUGUCCUUUCUGCUGCUACCUAUUUCAAACAAGAGAUUAAACAAAAGCACAAACUACAAGAGGCUCAUCUUCUAAUUUAUGAUCUUACAGAGCACAAAAUAUGAUAAUCAAGCAUAUGAUUCCUCCCAAGAUCUUACAUUGUCACAUAAAGGGCUGGAUGGGGUUUGUAUCAGAUUCGUGGUUUUGUUUGGUAUUAUUAUUUUACAAAAGGUGCAAGGCCACAAGAAUAAUGAUCAAAUUAAAUUUGAAGUGGAGAAGAUGAAUAUUUGGUUAUGGCUGUGAGGAUCCUCUCUUUAUCUCUUGUAGGAAAUGCUUCUAAUAAGACCCCAUCUUUGUAGAAGUGGAACAGUGGCACAGUCUGCAAUGCCAUCAUCAAAUUUCAACAUUAGUGAACUAAAAUACAAAAACAAAACUUGUUUAUCAUAAACAUUAACAUUUUAGGAACUUAAUUAACUCAAUCACAAACAAACACUAAUUUUAAUGGUUUUCUACCUCUAAAUCAAAUUAUAAUGAAUAUUCAUGAGGUAUUGUUAAGGACUAAACAUAACUUUUCAAACUAAAUACUAAUUUUCUUCAAAUGACAAAAUUUGUAAUUUAACCAUUUCUUAAUACUUUCUUGAUGAUGUUUGAAACAACAAUAAAUAUUAUAUUAGUUAUGUUUUUUAAUGCAGCAAAAAUCUAAUAAUAAUAAAAAUUACUGAAAUCAUUAAAAAUUAAAAAUUAAAAUUAAAAUCGGACCUUACAAUAAUUAGAAUAAGAAGAUUUUAAUAUCUCAAAGCAAACAGAAAGUUUCCGAAGAGACCAAGAACAGUUUGUCAAAACUUCAGUCUAAUUCAACACAAACCCAACUUGGCAAUCAAGAAGAGAAAACAAGCUUACCUUGAUCCUUAGCCGUUCAGCAACCUCAGAUUGUUCAUCAUAUUCAUCCAUGACCUAAAACACACAAUCAAAUUCAAAGCAUAAUAACCAGUCAGUGAUUGUAAUGGAAGUCAAUUUCCCGAGAAAACAUGGCUAAUAUGAAACACUCACAUUAUGCUUCAAGAAGAUAACCGGUGCCUGUUGAUCGCCAGACCCCUUGCACAAUUUUGCAAACCCUUGUUCUAUAUAUUUGCAACUUCCACAAGAUGUUCGAUAAAAGUCCACAACUACCAAACCACCGUUUUCCUUCGCCUUGUCUAGAAUUUUAAUGAACUCUUCAUCCGUCUUGAAUUCCCGCACACAGUCUACAGGGCAAAGAUCAUCAUCCUCAUCACUCAACUCCCCCUGAUUUCCAGCAUUAACUCUCAUUUUACUCUUGUAUAACAAUUGGUUUCUUGGAACUUCGGGUCUUGUAAUCGACAAUCGAACGGGCUCUUUCUCCGAAGAAAGCCAGCGGGGAAUCAAAAUGGGGAUUCUCGGCUCCAUUUUCUCAUUUGGGUUUAAUCCAAAACUGAUUAAAGUUUUACAUUGCAGUACAUUCUGGUUCUGCCUUUGCAUUGCAACAUAUAUAUAUAUAUAUAUAUAUAUAUACCCAAAACUCCGAUUUGGGAGUUCUUUAGUGAAUGAACUUCAGUCAGAAAGCUCUAAUAAAACUGAGCAAUAUAUCAGAUUCAGAUGUAGCAUUCAAGACAAUGUUUCAAACUCAUGAUAAAUCUUAUUUAACAUUAAUCAUGUUAAAGGAGGAGAAAAUUUCGAUUAUCGAUUCAGAAAGAGGAUGAAAAGUAACUGUUAAGAGAAUGAAAGGUGAAAAAUUGAAGGGGUAAAGCAACAAAUGAAGGACCAGUUGAUUACCUCCGAGCGGGAAGAAGAACAGAGGAGCAGCUGCGAACGAGAAAAUGACACGACUCGAUCAUUAUCUUCUUUCUUCCUUUGCCAUUGAUUUUCUUUCACGUGGGUUGUUGUGUUGACAUGGCUUCCUCGAUGAGUUCCUCUUCCUAUUUGAAAAAGCCCAGAUUUUGAAGCCCAACACAUUGAGUGGAUAACAAUUUUUCUUUUAAAUUUCAAAAUUUUCUUUUCGAGGAAUAUUAUCUCAGACUUUUCCUAAACAUUCGAUAACUAACACCGAAGUAGAAAGUUGCUAAAAUACUUAAAGACGAAAAUUGAAAUCCAAACAUUUCCAUCAAACUCAGUUUAUGGCCAAAUUUUCAUCCAAAACUCUUGACAAAAUUUUUUUUUUCUUUCAAGUUAGUUUUGAGACAUUGAUGACAGGUAAAAGGUAAUAUUUUUUUAAAAGUGAACUAUUGCCUCUAUUAUCUCAAUUGAUAGAACUUUGGUUUUUAGAUGAUGAGGACUGUAUUUACCUUUCUGGAAGCUGAGAAAAGAAUACAUACAGGCUUAUAAUUAUUUCAAAUACAUUAGCAUUGUGAUCUUGAAAUAUAAAGUUUUUUCUUACAAUUUUACAUUUGAUUGUACAUACUAGCUAACCUUGUGAUAUCGAGUUUAUGUUCCAAUGUAAUCAAACCAGUCACCUUCUAGAGAAGAUCAAUCGAUAUAUCAUUGAGAAAGUUCAGAGGGUGAAAUAUUAUCAAUACAGAAGGUGAGGAGCUAAGCUAGUUGAAUAAAGAGAUUCAGAUUGUAUAAAUGUAUUAAAAAUAGAUUGUCUGCUUGUCAAUGAGACUAACAUGUUAUGUUGUUUUAUGUCGACUCGACUUUUGUUUGCCUAACAAUGUUAGCAUUUUAGGGAAGAACGACUUCUUCUUUUUCUUUCCAUCCUUAGUUUCUGACAAUGUUUCAGAUCUACCCAAGCCUUUUUGUUUCCGUUCCUUUGCACUUGGCUCUUGGGGAGCUGGAGAAUCUGCUUGCUCAUCAGUUGUUGAUUCUUUUACCUCAAUGUUUGUCCUUGGACUUGUUGGACUUGCUACCUCUGGGUUAGAUUUCUCCUCCUUCCUUAGUUGCUCUUGUUCUGUCCUCAACAAUCUCAACUCUUGUUCUACUGCUAACUUUCCUUCCUCGGUCUCGCUCUCCUUAUCAAUUGCAGCUUUCAGCGCUUCCUGUCUAGCCACUAGUUCACGACUAACUUCUUCAAGCAUUUCCUGAUAUUUUGCUUCGGAUUCCUUAGCGGCCUCAAUUUGUGAAAUUGCUUCUGUCAUCUUGAUUCUGGCCUGCUCCUCGGCCUCACGAGCACGUUCGCUGAGUUCAUUGUAUUCCUCUAGUGAAAUAGUUACUGUGGUUGGUGAAUCUUCUUUUGUGGUUUCAGAUGAAUCGCUACUCUCUUGUAGUGCUUGGAUUGCUGAUAAUGCUAACACUUUUGAGGCAUUUGAAGCUUCAAUCUCCUUCUGAGCUGCAAGUAAUCUACUUUCAACUGCUUUUGAUUCUGCCUUUGCUUGUUCUGCUUCUAUCUUUAUCUUCUGGAGCUCUUCAAGAGCUAUCUGAGCAAUUGACUUAGCCUUAUCAACCUCCUCUUCUGCUUGUUUCAAUUGAUUAGUCAAGUCUACACUACUUUCUUUAGCUUCUUUUACGUUUCCCUGAACAACAUCUAUUUCAGACAUGUUCUUAUCUAAUUCAACUUCAAGUGACACAGCUGUGUCGGAAGGCCUGACUUCCCUCUUCUUAGCGGUGGUCAAAUUAGAUUUCUCCACUUCAAGCUCUGAUUUUAGUGAAGUAGCAGCCAUCUUCAAGCAUUCUACCUCAGCAAUUGCUUUCUCUAUGUUGAGCUUUACUUCUUCCAAUUCCUUCUUCGUUGAAUCAACCGCCAAAAGUGUAGCUGUAUCUAUUUUCUUCACAAUUUCAGAAACGUCACCUUCCAAGACCCGUUCAUCACUUAUCUCCUCUCUCAUUACCGAUUCCAUAUAGGCCAUCAUUUCGGCUUUCAGAUCCGAUAACAACGUCGAGGCAGUAUCUACUUUCAAUUUAAGAUCUUCAAUCGACAGAACUUGCAAAUUUAGUCUACAAAACUCCUCUUCUGCAUCAUCAAGCUCCUUCCGCCAUUUAAAACAAUCCUGCUCUUUCGCCAAGGCAGCACUCAUCCUUUGCUCUUCUGCUUCUAAAUGGGAAGCUUGUGCAGACUGCAAUGAUUGCUUUAAAGCAACCAGCUCCAUAGUCAGCUCCUCAAGUGCCUUCUCACCUUCCACAGACGCAGCAAGAACAUUCUCGGCAUUUUUCACAGCAGCGUCUCUCUCGCACACUAACGAAGCAAACUCGUUACGUAGUAUUUCCAGUUCUUCUUUAAUAGAUUUCUGCUCUGAAACAGCAGCAGCAUGCCCCGCCGUGGCCAUCUCAAGCUGUGCCUUUGCAAGAGCAUCAUCAUUCUCCUGAUCAGUGGUUCCUUGCUUCAUUUCCUCUAGUCUUAGCUUAGCAAGUUCUGAAUCUUGUUUUGCCUGUUGCUCUUCCAUUUGAGCAACCUCCAAUGCAUGCUUUAAUUCUUCUAUGCGUUGUUUCGUGUUUUCGAGCUCAUUCGACACUUGGAAUUCUUCCACCCCAAAUUCAUCCGACUUUUUCCUACAAUGAAGAAUCUCCUCCUGCACAUCCUCAAGUCUUUCCUCUACUGUCCUACUUCUCUGUAGAAGCAGAAAACAGAAUAAUAAAUACCUAUCAAUCACCUUGGAACUAUUGAAAGAUUUUUAUGUUAAGAAAGAAGCCUAAAUUAUGUGCAAUGUGAUAGUCGGUCAACAACCAACAAGAACAAAUUCAAUUAUCUUCCCUCAUACACAUUGGACAGAAAUUCUCUGAAUUCUGUGGUAACUUUGCAGUCAGAUAAAUAACUACACUACAACACACUCAAUCAUUUUUCUUCAUCUAUACUCAAAAGGGAAACGAAGAACAUGAAAAAGUUAGCCAAAAAGCAUAAAUACCUCCACCAUAGAAUGGACACGACGAGCUUUCCAAUCAACAAUCCCUCCAAAUUUAGAGACAGCAGCUUUAACAGAUUCAAUAGGUGCCUUAGUUUCAAUAAACCCUUUAUUCAAACCACCUUGCUUGAGAUCUUUAGAAGAACGAACUUCCAUUGCAACGUGAUUCCCCUUUUCCUACAGCAGAACACACUCAUCAACAAGAAUUAUUUCCAAAAACUAAAACACAAUUAGAAAAAAGAAGACAGAAGAAAGAGUGAUGUUGUUGUGACGACAGAAAAUUACUUGAGAAAUAACAGAAGGAGAAUCCUUGGUAACAAAGAAUUUGGGGGUUUCAGAAUAGAUUACGCCAUUAGCAACAGGAGCUGAAUAUAUAACUCCAUUAGCAACAGGACCUGUUGGACCUCCACCUUCAAAAUUUAUGUUUGCAUUACAAGCAAUGAUAGUAGGAGCUUCAGUUUCAGAUCCUGUCAUCUUUUAAAAAAAUCCUGCGUCUCUGUUUUGAAGUUACAUGUUGAGUUGAAUUGCCUUCAUUCAACGUUACAGCUACAUCCCCCAAUUAAAAAAGAAAGUAGCAAAAUGACAAUCCAUAAACACAAAUCCCAACAAAAAAAAAAAGAAAAAAAUCAGAACCCAAAUGAAUCAAUUUAUCAACAAACUCUUAAAACCAGAAACCCAAAUUGUAAAUUGAAGAAGACAACACAUUUUGAACGAGAAUUCAAAAAGUCAAUAGAAGGGAAAAUCAGGGAGAAACGUACCAGAGAGGGAAAACGGAAAUGAAAAUGAAACAGAGGAGGAAUGGGAAAUGGAAAUUUAAGGAUAGAAUUAUUUGAUAGAAGAAGAAAAGAAAAUGAGGUGGAAAAUUGAAGCCGAGAAUAGAAAGAAUGAAAAUGGGAGGUGGAGGGGCGCGUGGAGUUUCCACCUCUUCCUCUUCCCAUGGACAUCAUCCAUUGCAUUCUCUCAGCCCUUCUCUAUUUCUUUUCUUUUUCUUAUCUUGUUUGUCAAUCGUGUAUGGAUUAACUGAAAUAAUUUGGAGUUAAACAACUCAUGAUUUUGAGGUAUCAAAACCGUAAAUCAAAAUAUGAGUUAAUAUAGUGUGCAAACUCAAACCCACUCAUCAUAAUAAUCUUUUAGUUUCUUACUUCUCUUGUAAUACCAACUUCUUCCUAUUUUUGUUAUUACAUGGACAUAUGUUUUAUUGGAAAAAUUAAAUAAAAAUCAAUCCUUUUAAAAGUUUUCAAAAUCUUUCAUUUGUUUGUUCUACAUUCACUACUACAAGAUUUUUUUUUUUUUUUUUUGAAGAUUAUUAACUCUCCAACGUUUAAUUAUUAACCUUUGAAGAUUAGUAAUUAUCCAAGGUUUUACUAACCUGGUUAAAUUAUUCACUGAAGAAUGUUUAUUAUCAAAUUAUUUUUUCUGAAGGUUUCAUAGAAGAACUUUUUCAAUAAAUGUGUAAAAUUUUCAAAAUUCUCUCGCAAAACCUUUUAACACAUUUAUACAAAUUUCAAAAUGUUUUUACUAAUCCAUCUACCUAAUGGUGGAAUAUUGAAUUACAAUGUUAAAAAAUGACAAUCUACUACAUCAAAAUUACAAUUUCAAAAUGUUCUAUAACAUCAAACUACAACACUUCAUCAACUAGAGAAAUGUUUGCGCAUCUCUGCCAUCAUAGUUUGGAAUCAAUUCUCAAAACGGUUUUCUAGUUCGCUAAUUCUAUUCUGGAGUGUUUGUACCUCAACUUUUCUUUGUCGUUCAGAUUCGUGAAGACGUUUUUAGACUCAUUAAGGUGACGCUCAAGAUCGUGUACCUUAGACGAUUACUCAAACAACUUAGAAGUGGUAACACCUACCCCAUAACGACCACGAACACGUCCAUGUUUCUCCGGUCCAAAUACUUGAGAAGCAUACAAUUUAAGUUCCGACUACAAAACACAAAUUCACAUUUAAUAAUUUUGUUGAAGAAAAUAAUGGUUCAAAUACGACAAAGAGGAGCCAUGAAAACAAACUCAAUUCAAAGUUGGUUGAUUUUCCUAAAUUCACAACAAUUUUUCAAAUUAUAUCUUUUAACUUAACUAGUUUAUGUAGUGAAGAUGGACAAGUUUUGGUUUCAUUUAUACUAAAGAAACAUAGAUUUUUUUUCUUGUGGAACCUAGCUAAGAUCCACAAAACCAGCUUGAAAAGCCACAAUACCAAAGAAAUUUUCUCAUGGAAUCUAGCUUAUAGCAAGUUGAACAUACACAUUAUAUGACAAGAAAGUUAGAGUUAUGUUGUCGUUCCUGUUUUAAUGUUUUAUGGAUUUUCCCUCUUCGUUUUUAACAUUCAGGUUGUCUUCGGCUUUUCCUAUAUGUUCGUAUAACAAAAACCUGGGGUAGUUUUGCAAAUACUUCUCCUAUGAAUGAAAGUGCUAGGUAGAUCUUAUGGACAACACUAUAGUGGAAUGCCUCCUGAUUCUUGUGGCUUUAAUCAGAACCAUCAUGAGACUUGUAGACAAACCUUUCAAAAUACUCACCAUGUCAACCCAGUGGCUUCAAACGGAAAUUCUAAAACAGAAGAAGCCAACAAAAAAAAUGUCAAAUUCCAAAAUCCAAACUCAACAAUUAAAAAAAUGAAACAUGUGCGUAAAAGAGACAACAUGUCUGAGUUCCAAGUCUCAUUAACAAUCAACAAAAAUGGGUCUUAAACAAAGGUAAGAUACAUAAUCAGAAUCCAACCCUGAGAAUAGCCCAAAAGCAGAAGAAAAUAGUGAAAAACAAUAUGGUAAUGUGAUACAGGUUAAAGAAGAUCAACCUAAGACUUAAGACUCAAAAAGAGGUAAAAAAAAGUAAAUAGGUGAUGUAAAGUUAAUACGUAGCAUAUGUUUUAGUGAAUGAGACUUUUUAAGCUCAUAUUAACUUUUCGGGUGAAAAUGUAAAGUAAAUACGUAGCAUAUCCAUCUCACAUUGGAGACUUUGAGCUUCUACAGUUAAAUAAGAUCUCAAGUUAUGAUGAGAAACGUACCCAAAUUCUUGCAAGGAAAGUAAAAGUUUUGUGCAAUCGGAUGAUAGAAUCCAUAAUAGAAUUAAUGAAGGUCGUUUGGUAGAUGAGAUGAGAAAAAAGUACUCCGUACACACGCUCAGAAUUAAAACUUUAAGAGACAAAAGUCCUUACGGAUGAAGAAUAAUCUAACAUCCAAAUUUUGAAGUAAUUUCAAACUAUCUUGAAUUAAUUGUUAUUGUCAAUUCGAGUGAGUUUUUCAUUUUCUUUUACAAAAAAGGAAAAAACACUUAACAUCGAUCCCUUUUAGUUUUUUUUCUUUUAAAUUCUACCCCAAACUACCUCAUAAACACCUCUAUAACUUGGAGCCAUAAAAUUUCAAAAUAAAGUUCAAAUUUUCAUAAAAUUGGUUAGAAUUGCACAUAGACUAAGUCAGAAACAAAUCACAAAAGGAAAAGGGAAAGAGAAAAAGGAAGACCAAUAUGAAAGCCAACAUUUGAUCAACCAUCACAACUCAUCUUUAAAGAUUGGUAAAAGCAGAUGAACAUCGUGUUAGAUUUAUACCCAAAAUCAAAAUGUGCAUCUUAUUGAUAACACACACUGCGCUAGCUACCGAUCUAUCUACACAAGUAAGAUAAUUUUUCUCUACAUAUUUUCUGCAAUCCUCAUCUCAUCUCCUCGAUCCCCACCUUACACUUCAAUGGUGCAAAAGGAAUCCGAGCACAACGAAAAUCCUAUCAACCAAUAAGCCCAUUGACACCUCCAUAAUUUACCAAUCAAAGAAAAGCUUAUGGGUUCAAGAAAUAAAGACUUAAGCUUUGGAGUUUUGGGCUCCAUAUCCUAACAUUUCCUAUCUCUCAAAAUGGCCCCUCUUGUUCAACCUUUGUUCUAAUAACCAACCACAUCCUCCGCAUCAACUCCCAACCUACAAAGAAAUAUUUCUUUGUGUGUUUAAAUUUGAAGACGAUGUAGCUAGAAGGAGAGAGGAGUAUCAAAUGUCAUUAAUUGGAAAAUACAUUUACUAUACUAUAUUUGAAAACUAUACUUAAAAGAAAGUGAUAAAAUAUGGUUGAAUUGAAACCCAAUUGAGAAGUAUUCACACAUAAAUUAUAUUAAAAGCAAGUAUACAUAUAUGUAUGUAUGUAUCAAAAAUCAUCACAAGUAAGAAAAAUAAAAGGACGAAAAAAUAAAAAUAGAAAUGAACAAACUUUGAUUUGAUUUCUAAACCAAAUGAAUCCGUCUAGGAUCAGUGAUAUUAAUGCUCCAAUGCUGAUCCUCAUAGCCAAUAUUCUUAGCCAUUUUCCUAUCCCAAUCCAACUCAAUCCUCCUUCUCUCUGUAAGCUUACAAAAUGAUUGCAACUUCUCAUCCAUCGCGUCAUGUAGCUUCCACCAUCUUUGGUGAGCCACAUCGCUAGCGUAAACCCGUUGGUCGUCUAUGUUCCAAUUGCAAUCGUAGUCCCUAUAGCAUAACCAUGGCUUCAAACCUAAGUAAUGUAUCGCAUAAAGCUUCGGUGGAUCCGCUCCGAACAUCUCGUUCUUCACACUCCUCUCUAGUGUUGUGUUCGACCAAAAGUUCUUUAGGAAGUUUGUUCGUCGUGGUAGCCUGUGCCACCACACGAACACUUCGUUCAGAAAUCCUGUUAACAUUAUAUCAAUAAUACAAGAUAUUAAACUUCUAGUUAUAAAUUAAACACAACUAUUAUUCCGGCCGGUCGAAAAAAAGAAAACUGUAAUCUGAAAGCAUUCGAGUUAAAAAGUGAUCUAACCUUGAUCACCUCCGUUGUAGGAGACGAUCUCGUCACGCCGCUCCAUGAAAACACGAAACGUACAAUUGGAGGGCUCGAUGACCAUGAUACCAGAGUUGAAGAUGGAGUUGUCAUUGCCGACCGCGGACAUCUGAGGGAAAUGAAAGAGUAGGUCGAGAUUGCGAAGAACGAUGAUGUCAGCGUCAAUGAAGAUGAUCUUGUCGUAGUCAGUUAGCUGCCAUAGCCGAAACUUGCUGUAGUUGUAUUCAUUGUAAGAGUCUUUCUCGGCUCGCGGGUUUCGGAUCCGGGUUAUGAUCCGGAUCUUCCACCCGGCUGAGACCAAGGCAGCGCGUUUGGGCAUGGAGAUAGAUUCGUCCAUUAGGAGAAUAAGAUCGCGCUUUGUUCGGGUUUGGAGUAGGCUUUGAGCCAGGGUAAUGGCGCCGCACACGUAAGCUUCUGAAGAGUGGAUUACCGUGGCGUAUGCUUCUCGUUUUACCGUCUUUGUUAAACUUUGGAUUUUGGAAAGAUCGUACACUUUCUCCACUCCUAUAAUUACAUGGACAUCCACGUCAGCAUGAAUAUAACACCAUGGAAAUUUGUAGGAAGAAAAUCAAUAAUUUAACACAUCAAAAGAGUAUGUUCGUAACUAAGUUAGUUGCGAAUUUAACGUAAACACAAAUCAUUCCCACGUGGGACCCCGAUGAUAAAAAGAAAAGAAAAAGGCCAAUUUCAAUUCUCAACCAAAACUCAACCAACUCUUAACUUAGUAAUCAAGCAACCAUCUUCUUCCUCUCCAAUCCCCCAUUUGAAAAACAUUCAGAUUUUGAAAGUUCUAAAUCGAAAUCAUCAUAUAUUCAUAUUCAAUAUAACUCAAAUACACUUAACAUCUUACUUGCAUGUUAUGUACAUAUGAGUAACGUACCUCGAUCCCAAAUGGGCAUUGCCAAUUGACAAGACCCAAUCGGCAAUGAAACCUUUUGCUCCAACCUACUCAUCUCCGGCUCAUAAAACCACCAAUCUCCCUCUCGCCCGAUCAAGUCGUUGCAUCGAAAAAGCUCCAUCAUCGGUCGACAUUUGCUCAAAAACGCCACCUUCGUUCGGGAAAACCAGUCCCUCUUACCUUUCUUUGCAGCCAUGUUCGCCGCAAUCAAAUGUAUUUGAAGUCGGAAUACGUCCCUCCCCCAACUCUCCUCCGGGUAUUGACAUGGCAGCUUCGCCACUAUCAUGUCGACUUUUUUAUAUCUUCGAUAAUCCGGUAAUGGUAUCUCUGGACAUGAUGCACCAUCAAGGUCUUCCUCUUCGUCAACCCACUCCGGAAACAAAUGCUUCCACUCGAAAAAUUUGGACACCUGUUGACGAAGAAUGUGAAUAAGUGAUGAUGCUUGACAUGACUUUUCAAGUACUUACAAAUCAAACAUUUAUACGAAGACCACCUUCUCGAAACCGACAUGUAUGAUAUCAAAACUCGACUCCCAUUCACUGACAUCUUCUUCAUCCAAAUUCACCAUCCCAAUUUUUGUUGAUUUCCCCAUUUUCUUCCAAAGCUUCAUUGGUAUUUCCAACUUUGUCAUAUUCCUCCUCAAAUGUAAAGGCAAUCUUGGUUCAGUCUCCUCCAAAACUGCCUUCAUCUACCAAAUUAAAACCAAUUUUUCAAUACAGAGAGUUCAAAAAAAUAUACAGUAAUUAAGUUUAAGUAAUAUAUAUAACAUUAUUUCAACCAUCAAUUAAAGCAGUACACACAAAAAAAAAACAACACUAAGUUUAGCUCACCUAACCUUGGGAUGACACUCGUGUAAAGAACACGAGACGAAGGAAGCAGCAUUGAGAGAAUACGGGGCGAAAGACGAAGAAGGACGGGGAAGGAGGAGGGCAGCAUAAAUGAGCAAGAAGAAAGCCAGAAAGAACAAGUUGACUCUGAUUAUCAAAGCUUUAGCCUUCAACAUUCUUUGAAGACCCAAUCCUUCAACCAUGUUUGAAUUAAUUGCUUUUUGGGAGAGUGAAGAAAAUUGGAGAUGGUUUUUUAUAUAACAAACAGGCUUUUGUAUAUAAUAUUGGAAAUGGUUAAGAAUGAUUAGAGAGGAGGAAUGUAAUAAUAUAGUAUUUGAUUAUGAGAGAAUUAGGAAGAGAUUAAUUGGGAUUUAAUUAAAAGAGCAAAAGUAGAGUAGAGAUUAAUUAAAAGAAAGUUGAACCAUUGUGAUGCCUCCAAGUGUCACUUUAUUUGGAAUUUAGAUUUCCUUUUCUUCUGAACAAACACAAACAUCAAGGAAAAUAAAAAAAAUUAGCUAAGGUUGGAGCAAUUUAGGGUUUUCUUUGCCAUGUUGGGUAGUGUUGGAUAGUUGUUAUAUGUAUUUGGUAAUAUUUGGCAUACCCAUAGAACUCAAUCUUUAUUUCGUAUUUCCCAAUAUGUCCUUUCCCUUAAUUAGUUAUGUACCUCUCCAUCAAACUAGGAAACAAUUACUAUAACAUAUCCAUAUUUUCUUAAUUUUUAUUUUGAAAUCAAAUUCUUCUAAAUUUAUAUAUAUAUAUAUAUAUAUAUGACCAAUUAAAAAUAAAAUGAAUAUAAAGUGAAAGUGUACGAGUAAUCUAGAAGGUGAGUGAUGGGUAUAAUUGUAAAAUGGGGGUUCCAGGUGGAGAGGCGAGGGAAAGAAAGAGGAAAGUUUGUUGGGGAGUCGGCUUCGUGCAUGCAGUGAAAUGUCGCUUUUAUCCGUUAGCAAAUCGCAAGUCUCCACCAAUUCCAAAAUUUCCCUCAUUUUCUUUUUUAUUUCUUUUACAUAAUUUCCACUUCGUUCAUUCGUCGUCGUUUAGUGUCACAAGUAAGUUUGCUUUCACUUUAGGUUGGAAUAGCAAUAGGGAAAACGACACCGUAAAGUAACCACCAACUUUCUUCUAUUUUUCCACAAAGGCUCAUUAAUUAGGAUCAAAUGGCAAUAGCUAGCGUUUUAGUUAUGGUGAACCAUCCCAUUUCAUUUCACAAUUAUUGCCAUAAAACUUACCCUCUUUUGUUUUUUUUAAUCUAAUAAAUAUUCGUCUCAACAUCAUAGUUUUCGAUCGAAAAAAGAAAAAAUAAUAACACCAUCAUCACAUCUACAUGUACUUUAAUGAAUUCAGCAACAUUUGAGGUAUAUAUUGAUGUUGAGGAUAUUAGUUUCACCAUAAUAUUGUUUACUGCAACCAUAUAUAACAAUAUAUCAAUAUCUUUACUUAGCUUAGUAGUAAUUUUAGGUUUUUAAUACACUCUAGACGUCCUUACAUCUAAUCCUAAUGUGUUUAGAUUUUUUAUUUUUCAAAAAAGUGUACUAAAUUAUAACGUCUUUUAGAUCUUUCUAACGAUAUGAUGUUUUUAUUGAAUAAUAAACAUAUCUUUAUAAAAAUAAUAAUGACACUAAAAAUACAAGAAAUUAAAGAAAAAUACUAAUUUGGAGAAUUCAAAUUAACUUAUAUGUUAAUACCAAUGGAGUUCAUCACUUAACUCUUAACGAAAAAAAAUUUAUUUUUAUCAAGAAAUUAUUUCAGCCUCUAUACGGUUUCUAUGCCCUCUACCAUUAUUAUUACUCUGAUAAACACACAUGAAGAAAAACCCUACUUUAUAUUCUCAAAAUUGUUAUCAUUCUCAUCAAGGUAAAAGGUAAAGAAAAAAAAGCGUGCAAAUAUAAUUUGUACAUGAAAAACACACUUUUUAAACAUAUUAUUCUAUUUUUUUUAUUAAAUUAACGAAAGACUAAUUAUGUCAUUUUCAAGUAUAGCAUCAAAAUGAAAUAUAUAUAUAUAUAUAUAUAUAUAUAUAUAUAUAUAUAUAUAUAUAUAUAUAUAUAUAUAUAUAUAUUUUUUUUUUUUUUUUUUUUGCAAAAGACUACUUAUCAAAUUUCCGUUCUAUCCCAAUAAACAUAAAUAAAAUUUUGUUGUGUUUUGUAAAUAUUUUUUUAAAUUUUGUUCUUUACCAUAAUACUCUUAAUUAAUUAUCCUUCCCAACAACUAUGAUCUUAAAAAUUUUAUUUUUUCAUUAUUUCAAAUGUAUGACUCUAGUUAAAUUUAUGGAUAUAUAACUUUAAAUUUAAUAAAAGUAAAACUAUUAAACUCUUUUCCUAUCCCUUACAUUCAAAUUUUUAACACUUUUAAAAAGUGAAAAAAGAAAAAUGAAUUUAUGGUUGUGCAACUUGUGGGUGAGACUUUAGGGUAUGCCCAACAAAAGGAAUUUAUGGUUGUCGAUUAUGAGCGAGUCUAAAUUGGAUGCGGCCCAUGCUACACCAUCUCCAUACCUUUCCUUCCAUCAUAAUACACACACACAUAUGUAGAGAAUUUUGUGAUGUGACAAUCUACAAUUGAACAUUGGUAUUGGUAUAAAAUGCCAAAGAUGAGUACAACUAAGAAUAUACCUAAAUAUAUAUAUAUAUAUAUAUUGUUAAAAAAAAUAAGAGAAUAAACUUUAAAUGAUAAAUGAAUGGUAAAAAAGGACCAUUUAAAUAUAUUUUAAAAUAAAAUAGGUAAAAUAGGAAAUGUUCUUAUAGCACUCUUAUUAAUUUAAAUUUUUUAUUUGUAAAUUUAGCAUGAGCAUGAAGGUCGGUUGGAUUUUUAUAAAAUUUUCAAACUAUAUAUAUAUUAGCACGAUCCAUAGUCACACUUCCAACUCUAUAUUAGAAAAAUUCCAUCAAAUGAUAAAAACAUUUAGAAAGAAUAGUUUAAGAUAUAUUUUUUUUUUCAUAUUACAAAUAUAGCAAAUUAGUGAUAUCGAACACCUACUUCUUUUAAAUUUGUUAUUUUUAUAUAUUUAGAAAAUAUUGUUAUAUCGACUCUUCUAUUAUAAUUUUUUUUUGUUGCUAUGGAAAGCUCUUAUAUUUUAAUCAAGGUCUAAAGUUUGACAUUCUAAUGGAAUUUUUAGACUACAUUUUCCUCACCGCGUGGUAUAAAGUUAAAUUUUAGACUAUGAAUUGGUCCAUAGUUGGUUUUAAACCACAUAGUAAAGAAUAACUUUGUUGUCAUCUAAAAUUAAAAUAUUUUUAUAAGUCGUAUAUAUCUAUAAACAAAUCUUUUUCACGGUUUUUUUAAAUUUUAACCGUGGUACGUAGUAUUGAAUAUUUUGUAACAAUUUUUUUUUGUUAAUAUGUAAGGUAGAUGAAUCAAACCUCUAAUUUUGAAGUUAAUACCAUAAAUAUUAUGACAAUUGUUGAGUAUUAAACAACUAUUUUUGUUACUAUGAUUAAAGUUUGACUUUUGGACCAUCAUUUAAAUAAAACUAGUUUGAUUUUUUAUUUAUUUAUAACUUGUUUCUUAAAAGCCAUAGAAAGUAGAAGGAUUUUGAAGAUGAUGGUUAAGAAAAAAAACUACAGCAUAUCAACUCUUGUUCAUUUAUUGUGUAGUUUAAUGAGUUUAUUUGAACAAAAUUAUUCAAUGAGAACCUACUUGACCCUACAACAUUUAGGUGUAAAAGAAAUUUGUAGAAAAUUAAUGGUAUAAAAUUAAUUCUAGGUAUGUGUGGCCAUCAUGGAUCGACUUUAUGAUCUCUUAGUUAUUGACCCUUUUACCACUAGACCAAUCCAAGAUGGGUACCGUUGUAAUUAAAACUUAGCUUUGUUUUAUAUAUAUAUAUAUAUUUAAAUUCAACUGAGUAAUAUUUCCUACCUCUCAUCUCAUUAAUUAUUCAUAUUUUUGUUGUUAGUGAUCAAGAAGAUAGUGACUUUUCCUUGCAUCCUACUUGUAUUAAAAAAAAUUAUUUUAACAUUUAAAUUUCUGGAUUUCAAUAUAGCAUAUAUUUUUUUAUAUAAAAAAAAAACAUAAACAUACACAUUAAGAUAUAGAUGGGUUAUAGGUAUACUAGAACAUCUAUUAGAUAUGUGAACACUUUGUAGCAUUCGUAUUGUUGCUUUUAAAUUUGAAUUUUGCUUAACUCUACUCUUUCCUUUUCGCUUUGCUUUAUAGACUUACCUUUUAGCCUUUUUUCUCUUUUCUCAUCUCUUUUAGCAUCUAAUAAUUUUGAAUUAGAUGGAAGAUCAAAAGAUUAACACAGAUAAUUAAGUUGUGACGCUAUUUAAGUUUCUGAUAGAUUCUUUUUGACAAGGAAUUAAAGAAAUGAAAGAAUAUUAAAGAUGGUAAGAACUGCAUCAUCUAUGGGACUGGGAGAAUAUGUAUAUUAAAUUUUAUCAUCUCAUCUGGGUGUUCUAAGUCAUAGCUAUUUUGUAAUUAUAUAUGAAUUAUUCUUUAACACACUACAAUCAGAAGGCUUUCCUACGGCUCCUCUCUUUCUUGUAUUACAUUAUUCUCUUUCAAGUUUCUCUCCUACCUCGUUUUUGUACCACAUCUUUAUGUGAUCUCCAUUGUGUCUUGUGAAUAAUAUUAUAAUAAAAAAUCCAAAACAGAUACUUUGUAUGGAUGAACAAGAAAUUUCCAGAUAUAAGGAAGACAACAAGAAUGAAACAUGAAUGAAUUCUGACUUAACCCAAAUAAUAAGAAGAAGAAAAAAGAAGAAAUUCUAUCCUGUGAAUCCAACUGAUAUAUGUACUAAAUAUAUAUAUAUGUAGUGGGGGAAUAUAAAAGUGUGAAUUUUGAAGAGACCAAAGAUGCUAUACCAAAUGUAUGGAGGAGGACGUACCGUACUCUAAAUGCUUUAACAUGGAGAAGUACUAUACAAAGAAGAACAUAUUCUCCAUAAUCUAAUUAAGGUUUCGGAUAUGUGUAAUUACCAAAAAUGAAAGCUUACCACACACACACUCACACACUUAAGGAUAUGCAUUAUAUUAUUGAUCCUUAGCUAAGGCAAAAAAAAAUUUCUCUCAAUCCUUCAUUCAUUUAUUUAUUUUAUUAUUGUUGUUGUUGUUUUUCAUUAAUAUAUUGUUGGAUAAGAGAUGAAACUCUGCCUCAAUAAAUUCAUAAUCUUCAAUUGGUUAAAUUAUAACAAAUAUCCUCAAACUUUGUAUUUUAUUUCAAAAUUUCACAAACCUCGCUUUUGAAUUCAUCUUUGAUUUUUUUUUUUAGAAUUUAUAUGGCAAUUUAUAUUUUCUUUCUAAUUUUGUUUCGAAAAUUUUUAAAGGAAAUUCUAUCUUCUUGAGAUUAUUUUCUUUUACAAAAAGUUAACGUUAUGCUUGCUAUUAUGGCUACUUUUGAAAGUAAAACGUAUUUUUUAAACAAAAUAACAAAAUUUAAGGACUUUUUUUUUCCCUUUACUUCAAUAUUUUCAAUCCCAUCCUUUUUUUUUUCUUUUUUUUUGAAUUUUUGAAUUUUACAUUCUAGUAUUUUCAUGCACACAACAUUUUUCACAAACUAAUAAUAAUAAGAAAAUUGUUAAUAAAAAGUGAAUGAUUAUUAAAUUAUUUUUUCCAAGUUCUAAAUGUACUUGGACAUAUGAAUAUGCACUGAAAUAAUUUAAUUUUGACAUUUUAAACUCAAAACUUAGCUCAUCCAUUAACAAAAUCAUUGUUUUUCAAGUAGCAUAUGUUGAGUAUCAAUGAUGACACAUCUAAAUAUAUAUAUAUAAAUAAAUAAAUAAAUAAAUAAAUAAAUAAAUAUAUAUAUUAGUUUAAAAUAAUUAAGAAAAUACAAGUUUGUAUUUAAUUAAACCAAAAAAAGGACAUAUAAGCUUAGCUUUUUUUUUUUUACCAACUUUAAUUAAAACAUUUUAUUUCACAGAUAUCCUUCAUUAAAAUAAUCAAGGACAAAUCAUAGGUUACUUUUAAAAGAUUUAGAAAAUUAGUUGAUUUUGGGUUGUAAUUUGGAUUUCAUAAUCAAAAAAUUUUUUAGAAGUAAUUAUGUUCUUAACAUGAGAUUAUAUAUCAUUAAUGUUUUGUUCACUCCAAACAAAAAUGUUUUGUUCACUCCAAAGAAAAGAGAAGGAUCAAAAUUUUCAAUUUUUUUUUUUAUGAAAGUUUGCUAGCUGUAAAUAGAUAUGUAUGAACAUAACUAAUCAAUUACACUAUCAUUUUUGUGAAGAGUAAUGACUUUGCGGAUGCUAAAAGUCAAAAGAAGUUACUCGUAUUUACUUAAUAAAGAUUCUAGAAGCGCGUUCUUUUGAAGAAACAAGUAUGGCAUCAAACACAUCGGUUGACAUGGAUGGAGGAAGAAAUAAAGAAAAGGAAAGGAAAAGGAAGGGAGAAAACAAAGUAAUUUUAAUUCUUGUAUAUAUAAUUCAAUAAUAAACAUUACCCCAUCAACUUUUGCUAAGACAUUAAAAAUAAUUGACUAUAAGGACCAUAGACAAUUUUUAAAAAAAAUAUAUGUUUCUAUAUUUGAUGAUAAAAUGGUCUUUGAAUAUCACACCCCCAUUUCAUUAAUGCAUCUUUUACCACUUUUGGAUAGUAAGAAAUUGCAUGAGAAAAAAAAAGAGAAACACAUAAAAGAUCAAAUUUAAAAUUUAAAAAGAUUUGACAGAAAAUUUAUUUUCUAUGGAUUGAUUGCACCCGAUGAUUUUAAAAGGGAUAAAGAAAUAUUUUUAAAUAAUGAUAAAUAUAACAAAAUUUAUGAACGAUAAACUUAUAUUUUUAUAUAUUUACUUUUAAAUUUGAAUAAGUUAAGUAAAAAAAAUUGACAAUAAAAAAAAAUCACUUUUGACUCCGUUUGGACGUGGAAUCAAAUUCCUUUUACUUUAUAACUAAAUAUUCAUAUAACACGUUAAUUUAUUCUUAUACCAUGGUUAAUUGUUCCAUUAUUUUUAAUAUUUGGGUGAAUUUAUAAUCAUUUUAAAUAAUUUUAAUUUUACACCAUUUAAAAUGUUGGAAUAACAAGAGACAUAAGACUUAUCUUAAUAGUCUCCUAAAAUAUUAAGACCAAAACACAUAUCAUUAUUAUCCUUUGUUAAAAGAUAAAAGUUAUUGGAAUCUAAAAUUCGCCACGCUAACUUGAGAUAGUUCAACUAAUAUCAAAAUACUUAUCAUUUAUCAAUUGAUUAGAGAAGACUAGCACAUUCAAUAUUAGUUAACAGGGAUGCUUUCCCUCACUAUAAAAGCACAUUAAAAAGCCUAGUUUUCAAGCCCAACAAAAAACAAAUUAAAAGAUAUAUGUGUAUAUAUAUACAUCAAAUCUUAUUUCCUUUCCUCGUCAUCUAUUACGGCUUCUUCUUUCUUCUCUUGGAUGGGGAACUCCAAAAGCAAAACGUACAAACGAGUUCUAGUUCCAUUCUCAGAGGAGCAACUGGCCAACGUUUUCAAGAACCAUGACCGAGACGGGGAUGGGCAUCUGACGAAGGAGGAGUUGAAGCAAGCCUUCGAAUAUCUCGGCUCACGCUUCUGCAACUUCCGGGUAGAAGAAGCCCUACGUGCCGCCGAUACCAACGGGGACGGUGUCAUCAGCAUGGAUGAGAUGGGGAAGCUAAUUAAGUAUGCCAAAACUCGUAAAUACACUAUUAGUUAAAAAGUAAAUGUAUGUUAGCUAUAUCAACUUCAGUUGUUCUUGUUCACCUAUAUAUAUAUAUAUAUAUUAUAUAUAUGUCUUCAUAUAUUUAUCUGUAUUUGAAUGAGUGGAUUCGAAUUAAUACCCCUCUUUGUCCAACGAUAUAUAAAUAAUAAUAAAAAAAAUUGUUAAAUGGUUUUGUUGAUUGUGUAUUGAUUCGAUCUCACUCUCUGCUUGUCUCUAAUAUAAAGAAUGGACCUAAUUUAAUUUGCAGGGAGAUGGAACAAUAAUAUUAUGAUAUGAUUUGAACUCAUGAUUCGAUGUACGUCGUGUUUGGAAUCAUUUUUAAUUUUUUUUUCUCUGGAAAUAUUAAUAAUUUAGAGUGUAUUUAACAUAGUCUUCAAUUAUUUGAGAUGAUACUAAAAUUUUCUUUAAAAAAUUCUUAAUAAAUGAAAAGUAGAUUAAAGAAUUUGGAUUCAUUUAAAAUCAUCUUUCAAUGAUCUAGCUGAUGCCUUAUCUAUAAUAUAGUUUUUUUUUUUUUAACUCAAUUACCAUUUUUUUCUUAAAAUUAAUUUUGUUAAAAUAUAUCACAGUUCAAGUAUUGGCAACCUACGAUAUUAAUCCAUUCUAUUCUCUCUCAUGUAUAAUAACAAGAUUGCAUCUUGUAUAUAUACAAACACUUCUAUAAAUUUUCAAGGUCUUUUUAGCACAAUAAAGCUAGGAGAAAUUUUGGUCUUCACAUGCAUCAUUUUAAACUUAAAAAUAAAAUAAUAUUACCAAUAGUCUAAAAAUUCUUCCAUAGAUUCAAUUCUUUUACUAAAUAGAGUUUUCGGUCUCAUAUUUUGUCACCAAGUUUUAGACUAGAAUGUUUCCUUUAAUAGAACAUUUAGAGUUAAAUGACUUUCCACUUCUAGUUAAGAUAGAAGAUCACACCAAUUAUUACAAAUGUACUAAACUUGUUUGGACUAAUCGUUUUUUUCGAAUAAAACGCAAAACCAUAGUCAUGGAUUUGUUUAUACCCUAACAUGAAAGAAUAUUGAUUGUUUAUUUAUUUUUAAUUCUUUUUUGUUAAGCUUCUCAUUAGGUGUUUUUAAUAUUACAAUAAUAAAAAUAAAAAUAAAAAUAAAGGGAAGUUGGUCAAAUUUUGGAAUGAAAUUCGUGAAAAUCUGAUUAGUACGGUCUCCCUAUCUUAGGGGCAAUUCCAAUUUCUAAAUACACCAAAUAAAGUAUUAACAUAUAUAUAAUACUCCAAAAUCAUUUAUAACUAUAACAAAAAAUUUAAAUACAAACCUAUCACUAUUUAGAAUUUAACGACCUAUAAUAAAAUUUAUGAAUAACAAAUUUUACUAUAUUUUAACACAUAUUCAAAAAAAUUUCUUCAUCUUGUAACUUAUAUCUAUAUAUAUAUUAAUAAUUUUAAUCGUCAUCACCAAAUAUAUUUAUAUGUGAUCGACUUGAAUAUAGUUCAACUCAUUAAAACAUUAUACUUAUAUUUUUGCUUGAGAUGUCAAAUAUUCUAUUUUCUCUCUUUACAACUGUGUCCAUGUAAGCAAUGGAAUCCAAUUACAUCUAAUACCCAUCUGUAUUUACUUCUCAAUUUAGAAUUACUUUCCUUUCCCAUUCAAUAUACCUAAUAAAUUACUUAUUGAUAUUAGAAUGCAAACUAUACCCAUAUACCCCAAUUGUGAGCAUCUCAACAAGAAAAAUUCUUUCAACGAUGAAUUGUUUUUUUAAUUAAAUAUUUUGAAGAUACAGUGGUAUUUUAUAAAAAGAAACAAAAUUUUGAGCAUUUUUUAUUGGUAAGAUUAGGUAGAUAUAUAUAAAGAUAUUUAUUUAUCAAUUCCUAUUAAUCAAUUUUAAUUAAUAAUCAGAAAGUUGGUAACAACUUUUUCUGUGGGUUUCUCUCGUAAUGUUUUAGAGAUAGAUAGGGUUUAGAGAAAGAAUAUGGAGAUUUGUAUUAGAGUUUACAAUCAUGAUUACAACAAAGAUAUGACUAAGCUUAAAUAUUAAAGUCUAAGGUCCAAUGGACUUGUGUACAUGUAAAAUAAUAAACUAAUACUGAUUGUUAAUUAACAUCAAUUAGCAUAUAUAAUAUAAACCUUAUUAAUACACAUCAAAACUACAUACUUUUAACCCUUUCAAGUAUGCAUUACUGUGAUUCUUUUUGUAACUUAAUUUAGCCUCCACUUUAAUAUUAUUUUGUUUCUAUAAACUAAAUUUAUAAACACUACUUGUCCAUAGGUUUUUAUAUUUUCUAAUUAUCUGUCUUCUAUAAACAAAUACAAAAACCAAGUUUUAGAAACUAAUUGAAAAACUAGUUUUUUUUAAAAAAUAUUUAUUUUCGUUUUUAGAAUUGAACAUUGAAAAUUUACCAUAAAAAAAGAGAGAAAACGAACUCAUUUUUCUUCUUUUUUUUUUUCUUUUUAAGAUAAAAUAAAAUAUUUAUAAAAUGAAGCACAUUACUUUUGUUGUUGUGUGUUCUUUUAAUGUCAUUUCUUGAAUAUAUUUUAGAAUUUUGAUUGAUUUUGAGUUAAUCUUGACCAUCUAUCUCACACGAGAACAAUAGAAAAUAUAAAUCUACUGUACAUAUCAAUUUGUAAAUACAAGCUAUUAAGGUUAAACAUGUUAACCACAGACGAUUAUUUUUAUGUAUCUCUAUAAUACUAUGAUACAUAUUUUUGAGUUUACACCUUUGUUUUUUAUUUCAUAAAAAAAUUAUACCAAUAAAUUAAAAAUAAUUGCCCCAUUUCAAUUUUCGAAGACAUUGUAUUUUCUCUACUGCGCCAUUGACACUACCCAGACCAUUUGUAUUAUGUUUGGUGUGUACUCAACCUAACAACUUUCCCUAUUAAGUCACACCCUACUUUUAAAAAGAAUAUGCUUUCCAUCAAAUGUUGAAAUUAAUCUUCGUAUAAAAUGGAUCUUUGGGAAUUAAAUUUGUUAGCUACCAACUUUCUGAUACAGAGAAAAAUAAAACUUAUUAUUUACAAAAGUAAUCUCUCGUAAUGAUCUAGGGCAUGAAAACUUGAGUAUUAUGUAUUUUCAAGAAAGACAAAUGAUAAAAACUACAUUGAUGAUAUAGUUGUAAAUGUAUACCUUCAAAUUUUUAAUUGGAAAAUCAAAGGUUAAAAUUGAACCCUUAAACUAAUUACAUAAUUGUAGGAAUGGUAACAAUUGUUUGCUAUGUCUAAAGAAUCAAUUUUUAUCAUUCAAGGUCCUACUCUUAAUAGAAGAAACAAAACACCUUUGAAGAUGAUGAGUCCACCUGUGCAUUAUUUUACAUGUUUAUAGAUAGUUCUUAAUAUAAAAAGAAAAGUUGAAAUGUAAGAACUAAAUUUAUAUAUAUAAAGAAAAAAAAAAACACAUGUUUCUAAAAAGUUUUAAAUUAAUAGAAAUUAGGUGGCCUAAAAAUUCCACUCCUUUUAUCUUCCUUCAUAGGUCAAGAAAAAGGGAAACCAACAAUUCUCCCUCUCUCCUUCGUAACAGAAGAAACACAUGUUCAAAAAAAUUGAGAUUUGGUAGGCUGCUUGCUUCAUGAAGAUGGUGAGUCCAAACGUGUGAGAAAGAAACACCGCACGUUCAUUUUACAUGUUUAUAGAUAUAAAUCUCUCCCAUUGUAAAUUAAACCAACACAAAAGUCUUUCCCUCCUCUUACCUGUUCUUCUUUUAGAGCAAAACCCUUAUACACGUAUUAUAACCCAUCCAUGGGGACCUCCAACGGCUUGAUUUUUAAGUGUUUUCCAGCGUCGUUGACGGAGUUUGAGGUGGCCAAAGUUUUCAAGAACCACGACAAGGAUGGAGAUGGAAGGUUGACCAAGGAAGAGCUGAAGAGCGCCUUCAAGUAUUUGGGCUACAAGUUCACCACCUUUAGAGUCCACCAAGCCCUCCACGCCGCUGACGACAACUGCGACGAUGUCAUCAGCUUUGAGGAGAUGAGUAAACUUAUUAUGUAUACCGCAGGUUCAUAGCUAUAUGUACUCUCUUGGUGCAAGACCGCAGUUUGUUUCCAGUCGUCAUAUAUUUCAAGUCCGUGUGACAAAUCUCUAGUCAGAGACAUAAGUUUAACCUUGUAAUUUAGCUUGAAAAACCAUUAUAUAAGUUGUUCCUAUAAGAUAUAACUAUUCACCUAAAUAUAUAAAAGCAACAAAAUGAAAUUCUGUGUAUAUGACACACAUGUACCUGUGCAGGUGCGUAAAAGUUCAUUUUGUUUGCUUAUAUAUGUAGCAGCAAGCACACAUGGCCAUGGAAUUUUGGGACUAGUGUCUAGAUUUAUAUCUCUUAAGACUAUUUUCUGCCCCAGUGAAGCAACCACAUGUUACAAAAACAAAUAAUAUCAGAACAAUGAAUAUCCUUUUUUUUAAUUUAUGGUAUAAAUACUGUCUACAUUGUCGCGACGUGAUCGCUACGCGGAGCGGCCGACCUCUCCGUUUAUUUAAUUUUAAUAAAUGAAUAGUUUUAGAGUCGCCACCAAUCAUAUUAAGGUGUGAUUGGUCACCCAAAAAAGAAAAAAAAUGGUCUACGUAAAUUAAAAAAUUUAAGUUCGGAAGUGAGUUGUGUAGGGAAGUUGUUACACCCUACAACACCCACAAAAUGGUUAGCCAAUUUUAUCUUUUAAAUUAAAUAUAGAGGUUCACAAAACAAAGUUUUUAUUUAGGUUUUGUUUAAAUGUCUCAUGUUUAUCGAUUCAUAUCGAAGAAGAAAGUAAAACCUAAGCAUGAAUUGAUAAUUAUUGGUGGCAUAAGAGCCAUUAGAAAAUGAAGGUUAUUUUUAUUUUAGAAGAUUUUUUUAUUCAAUAUUAAGAUAUUAAAACUUGAUAUUUUAAUCUCUAUCAUAGGUGUUUAAUGAGAAAUUUCAUGUAUUAAUAAAUUCAUAGAAAACACUACUCAAUCUCAUUUAAAAUAUGAAAUGUGUUUAUUUAAAAACAAUCUAUUAAUUAAAAUUUCAAACGGAAAAAUUUCAUGUAUUUAUGGAAUUUAAAUUAUAAAAUCCAUAAAAAAACAAUAUUUUUCUCCAAUUUACAUUUUUAUAUUUCAAUUGGAAAAUGAAUAAUAACAAUCACAAAACAUUAUUAAAUUUGAAAAAUAGUUGAAGGAUAAUAUGGUGAGAUAAAAUAAAUACAUAAAACAAAUACAAGAUAAUGUAAGUAAUAUGCAAAAUGUACAAGAUGAUUAAUUAAUGUAGGAUGCAAGAUAAUUAAUUAAUACAGAAUGAUGCAAAAUAAUUAAUUAAUUCAAAAUGAUGCAAAAUAAUUAAUUAAUGCAGAAAGAUACAAAAAUAAUUAAUUAAUGCAGAAACAGAAAUAAGCAAAAUAAUUAAUUAAUUCAAAAAUAGGCAAAAUAAUUAAUUAAUUCAGAAAUAUAAAAAACAAUUAAUUAAUUCAAAAAUAUAAAAAAAAUAAUUGAUUAAUUCAGAAAUAUGCAAAAUAAUUGAUUAAUUCACAAAUAUACAAAAUAAUUAAUUAAUUCAGCAAUAUGAAAAAUAAUUAAUUAGGCCAAACCAGAUUAAUGAAUAAUUAAACGAGGAUGUCAAAUGGAUAAAAUAAUAAUUAACUGCAAGAGUGCCAUAAUAGGUUUAAUGCAAUAUGACCAUAAAUAAUCACAGUAGCCAAAUGAAUGUCAAAUAAUUUAAUAUAUAAUGCAAAUAAUUCGAACGAGUAAUUUACAUAAGAGGCCAAAUGAGUGCCAAAAUAAUUAACGAUGUGCAAAUAAUUAGCCUCCAAAAAUUAAAACUGUCAAAUACAUGAUACUAAUUAAUUAACCAUGUAUAAUUAAGAGUGUAUGUCAAAUGAAUAAUUAUUUUCAAAUGCAUAAUUAACACAUAUGUCAAAUUGAUAAUUAUUAACGCAAGAUACCAAAUGGAUACACCCAAUUAACGAAAAAUGUAAAAUGGGUGGCUAGAUAAUUGAAAAGAUAGCAAAUAAUUAAAUCAGUAUGCCAAAUUGGUGUCAAAUGGGUGCUAAAUAAUUAAGACAGCAAUCAAUUAAUUAACACAUCAUUUAAUUAAUUAACCAAAUGAAGUAAUUAACAUAGCACCCAAAUGGAUGUCAAAUAAUUAAUCCAUAACAGAUUAAUUAAGGUAGUAGCCAAAUGGAUGCCAAAUAAUUAAACAGAUGCAAAACAACUAAUUAAUCAACCCAACAAUCAAAUAGUCAAAUGAGUAUCAAAUUAAUUAACUAUAUGCAUGCAAUCAAAAUAGUCAAAUGGCCAAAUGAAUGUCAAAUAAUUAACUCAAGAUGCAACAAAUUAAAAAUGUCAAAUAUGACAAGUGCUAAUUAAUUAAUAGGUCAAAUGAAAUAUGUGUAUUGUCAAAUAUAGGAGGCUAAUUAAUUAAUCAUGCAUAAUUAUUAAUGCAGAAAUAGGUGUAAGUAAUUUACACAUAAUGAAUAUGAGAUGGGUGUCAAAUAAUUAAAAGAUAUCAAAUGAGUGUCAAAUGAUUAAAAGGAUGCAAAUAAUUAAAAGAUGUCAAAUGAUUAACACAGCAGCUACGAGUGAUUUAAAUGAAUAAUUAAGACAACACCCAAAUGAGUGCCAAAUAAUUAAGGCAGUAUCAUCAAGCAUGAAUAAAAGAAAUUAACUUAUAGAUCUGCCUUAAAUGCAAAAAGUUAUAUAUUCAUCAUCUUCACCUCUUUCUAAAAAAAUUUCUUUUACGUGUCUCUCUUCUCUAUCAAAUAAUCCUCCCAACAAAAAAAUUCUCCUAGCACCAAAAAAAUUCCAGCAAAAAAUUCUCUCAUUCUCUCUUUAUAAGGCAAUGUCUCAUUUUUUAGAUAGAAGUGGAGUAGUUUUAGAUAGUGAAGUGAAGUACGGAAAGGUGGAAGAGUGAGAGAACGUGAUAGAUUGAGAGAAAGUGGGAACGUAGUGAUCAAGAAAAACAAGAUGGUUGAGAAAAACAAGAAGAGAACAAAAACUUUUACUUUUACUUUUAAAUUUUAAAUAAGUUUUAUUUUUGUUUUUGUUUUAAAACAUAAAUUUAACUUAAGAUUUAAAAUUUAAAAUUUAAAUUUAAAUUCUUUUAAAAAAUAAUAAAAACAAAAAAACAAAACAAAAUACGAUAUCUACACACAUAUGUAAAAUGGCACCCUACAAAGGGUCUCGUACCCUUCAAAAAUUUACCCAUAUUUCAAAUUGAAAUGGGAGGAAAACUUAAGCCAGGGUAUAUAACUCAAAAGGAUACAAAAUCUCAAAAAUAGUUUUUCAUUGCAAUGAUAAUAUCUUGAGUUUCUUUUUAGGAAAAUUGCAAUGGAAGACUAUUUUAGAAAUAAUAAUUAAGAAUAUAGCAACAUUUUAAAAAAAUUACAAAUAUAGCAAAACUAUCACUGAUAGACUUGUAUCGCUGAUAGACUUCUGAUAGAACUAAGUCAUGCACAGCGGAAAAAGAAUCGAAUUUCUACCCUAAUUGCCAUAAUUAACAUGUAACCAUAAACUAAUCAAAUUAGAGUUUUAAGAAGUAUUACCUUUGAAGCUUUCAAAAGGUUUGAUGUCUUCUUACCAAUUCUACCCGAGACCACCACUAGUACUCAACUGCUAUCCUCUAGACAAAGAACCGGGUUGUGGGACCCAAUUUUGGUGUAGAAAGUAAUGGAGAUAAAAUGAGAUUGGAAGCUUUCUUUUUUCUUUUGUUGAGAUGAUGAAAAUGAUAAAAGAGGCAAAAGUCUUUCAACAUUUGAAAACAUCUCUAUUUAUAGCCUAAUUACAUGCAAAAAUGCAUGCAAUUCAAUUGCCAAAUCUCAACACCUAAUAUUCCACUAACAAUUAGUGGAACUUAGUGGGCUAGGUGUCUAUAUCUCAUAUAGCCACAUAUCCCACUAAGAGUUAGUGGGAUUAUCCAACAAAAUGUUGGAUUUUCCCACUAACUUAGUCCAAGGGUAAAAUGGUCAUUAGAUUUUUCUAGUCAAAAGUCAAACUUUGACUUUUCUAAGUCAAAAGUCAAUAUUUUGACUUUUUACCAUUUUGUCCGUCUUGACUAAUUCCAACCUCCCGAGCAUGAAUCCGCAUUCAUUUUUCCAAAAUUCAAAUCACAUUUGAAUAUAAGGCCGGUCAAAGUUUGACUUUUCAAAGUCAAAAGUCAACAUUUUGACUUUUUACUAUUUUUGACCAAUUCCGAGCUUCUUAGUAUGAAUCCGCAUUCAUACUUAUAGUAUGUAAAACAUAAAGCUCUAUUUCUAAUUAGAAGACCGACGAUUAUAUCACUGUAUAUGUCGGUUUUCCUUUCUUCUCCCUAUUCGAACAAUUCGACUUAUUUCAUCACACUGUUCUAAGUUUAAUCCAUAUGAGCUAGCAGAGGAACCUAAUGGACCUAUAGAUCAUGGGCUCCAACGAUUCAAGAUUAACUAGCUAAACUCUUUUAAACCGAGUUAAUCAACAUUCGUUAACUAACGGGUCAUUCCACUAAAGUCCCGUAGUUGCACUCCCCUCACUAUAGAUAUAUUUGUGUCCAUUUGAUAAAACCAUAAUCAGUAAGUUAAUCCUUCACAGGUUGCUCGUAACCUUGGCUGGGUCAAAAUACCGUUUUACCCCCAAGAUUACAUCUUGCUCCUUAAGUCCCACUAAUCCACUAUUGAACAAUUGGUUUAAGGUUCAACCUAUAAACUUAAUCCCUCUCGGGCCAAUGAGAGGGUGGGGCCCCUUGUUCAAGACUUGGAUUCAGUGCUUAAGAGAGCAACCUAUCUACUAACCCUAAAGCGGGUAGGAGUGAAUUCCAUCUUGUACCCUAUGUUCCCAGCUAUCCACCCGAUCUUACCCCUGAAAUGGGAGGCUUAUUGGGCCAACGCUGAUGAGCUGCCCUCACCUAUGCAGAUCUAAGGAUAAUCUCGUAUGAACAGGAGUUCAUAGUUAACUCAGGAUUAAGACUAAGUUACCUAGGUCAUCAAUAAUUGAGAUAGUCAGUUUUAAACAGUAAACGGUGUUAUAACGUAAAAAUGACUAAUUCAUGGUUCAGUCUUAUGUAAACAUUUUACAUAGGAUGCCCCCACUUUCAUGUCUCUACAUGAACGAUUAGGAUCACAUCGUUUGUACUACAAAGUGGGCCGCAUCCAUAGUCUCUCAAAAUAAGGCGCCCAACCUUUAUUUCAUAUACUAUAGACUAUUUAGGCUAUAUACUCGAACUUGAUCCACGUUUAUGUUUACACAUAAAGUUCAAGUUUAUUCAAAAAAUAGCCUUGGAACUUUGAUUUAUUGGAUUUAAGAUUAUAAUAUUUAAUUUCUCAAUAACAACUUUAUUGAAUAGAAUAUGAUUUACAAACUACGAGUUUUAGGACAAAAAAUUCCAACAACUUCAUAUGAUAUAUCAGUGAUAGACCAAUAUUUGCAACAUGAUCUAUCAGUGAUAGACUUAUAUAAUUGAUAGAAUUUAACGAAUUUUGCUAUAUUUACAAAUCUUUUAAAAUUAUACUAUAUACUUAAUUAAUUUAAAUUUAAUUGUUAAAUUUACAACUCCAGUAGUUUUCUAACAUGAAGAUUUAAAAAAAAGAUGAUAUGACAAUAAUAAUUGCGUGAAUUGGGUUGCUCAAAUUUUUACAAUCCAAAACCCAAAACAAACACAGGGUUGUCACGUUGCCCAAUUAUGAUUGGGCCUGAAAGAUAUAGGUGCAACCAAUUUGGACCCAUAAAGGUAAAUUCAAUAUUUAUAGUUAGUAAUUUUAUAAAUAAUAAUUAAGUAUAUGAUAAUAUUUUAAAAAAUUAUAAAUAUAGGCAAAACUAUUCUUAUAUUUGUUUUUAAUUAUAUAUUGUUAAAUCACCUUAACUAAAUUAUUGUUAAAUCACCAAAACUAAUUUUUUUAAGGUGCUAUAUCAGGGUAAAUUUAAAUAUUAUAGUAAUACUCCAACAAUCAUGACUAUUUUUAAUAGGUUUGGCUAACUAUGUCCUGUUAAAAAUAUGUGAUUUUGAUAUAAUACAUUUUUAUUUUAGAGAUGUUUGUUUUUUUGUUUUUUUGUUUUUAAUUUCUAUCUGCAAAUUAUUGUAUCUCAAUGAAGAGUUUUAUUGCUGUCAUAAAAUAAAAAAUGACAAAGGGGCUAAAUAACAUAACAUAUCUGAAUAAUAAACUAUAAAAUUAAUAAACACAUUAACAAGACUGAUAUUUUUGGUUAAAAAAGGCAAAGGAACGUAACAUCAAAUCAUAGGGGGGCUUAAUUAAUUGAUAUCAUAAAGUGUAUUUACAUGAUAUUGACGACAUAAAAUAAUCAAUAACAACAAAUUUAAUUAUCAAUUAUGUUAGGAAGGAAUUAAAUUCUUUUACUUUAGAGUUAACAUAUAUAUAUAUAUAUAUAUAUAUAUAUAUAUUUCCGAAUAUAUUAAAUUAUUCUUAAUCGAUAAUCAUUGAGUUAAUUUUUAAUCUAGAGGAUAAGAACAUGAAACUUAUCUUGGAAAAGAAAGGCAGAGAGAUGCUUACCCCACGAAUCUUUGUCAAAUUGGAAAAAAAUCGAAUAAAUACCAUAUGUUGAAGCUUGGGAUAUCUUUUUUAAUAUCUACUAUUCUUUACCAAAUAAUAAAUAUACAUAUAUAUUAUACCUACCUAUUUUUAUUUACGUAUAUAUCUUUUUUUAAAUAUUAAUAUUAGUAAUAAUAUUUUAAAUUAUUUAUUUAUUUUAAAAAUGUAAAAAAAUUAGUAAUCAAUUUAUUUUUAAAAAAAUCUUUUAAUAUCAUAUUUAUACUAUUUUAGGUAAAACAAUGGAUUCGUUUUAAAAUAAAAUAUUAUAAUAUCACUUUUAUUCUUUUAAGUAAAAAGAAAUCUAAUUUUAAAUUAAAAAUCUUUUCAUUUUCAUUUGAUUUAUUAAUUUAUUUUUAAGAGAAUCUCAAAAUAUCUAAUUCAAUUUAUUCAAGAAAAAUAAAAAUUUGUUUUAAUAUUAAAUUUUGAUUUUUAUUCUUAUUAUUUUUUUUCUAAUUUACCGUACACCCCAGUGUAUAAAAUCUUAUUUAUUUUUUUCUUAUUUUUAUCUUGAUCUUUAUUUUCUUUACUCUAAUAAUAUAAAGAGAAUAAGAUUAUGUCAUUAUUAUUAAAAAAUAUAUAUUAUUGUUAUUGUACUUAUAUUUAUAUUUUCUACUGUUUUUUAUUAUUAUCACUAUACUUUUAUUAAUAUUUUUUUUAUAUUACUAGUUAUUCUCUUUUAAUUUCUUCUUAUUAUUACUAUUACUUAUAUAUAUUUAUAUAUAUAACUUAUUAUUGUUAUGUGUAUUAUUACUUUUUUUCUUUUAUUAUUAUUAUGGGUGGCGACCCCUCUAUUUAAAAAAAAAUCUUUUUCUUUCUCUUUUAUUUCUUCUUUCCCUUUUUAUAUUAUUAUUUAUUUAUAUAAUUUUGUUUUUUAUUUAUUUUAACUUAUUUUCAUUGCACGUUAACAUUGUAUUUUAUAUCAAUUUUUUAUAUCAUAACAUUUUAUCAUUCUAAAAAAAUCCGACGAUCAAAUUAGAAAUAUCUGGAGGUCAGUUAUUUGGGAGGGCAAGAUUCGAUUUCCAAUAUUAUUUUAAAAUUAAAAUCUUAUUUUACUUGCUUAAUUCGUUGUAUAAUAUAUUUGAUUCCAUUAUGCAUUAUUUACUAUUGACCUAAUUUUCAAGACCUUUCUUAAAUUUCAUUUUUUAACCGUUUAUAAAUUUUUACUUUAAAACUAUCCUUUUUAAUCUUUUUUAAAAAAGGUUUAAAAUAUAAAUCUAUAUUUGAUAAGUUUUCCCUAAUCAACUUUUUUAAUAACCCACUUUUAUUUUGCUAAAAAUUUCCUAUGAUGAAAUCUAAGAAAUUUGAAAGUUCGAUUUUCUAGAAUUUUUAAUGUGAUGGAUCACAUUUUUAGAAGUCCAAGAUGUGAUCACAAGAAAAAAAAAAAAGAAUUUAAUCGAUAUUGUUUUUAUAAAAAAAAAAAUUAUUCCAAGACUAGUCUAUAAUAAAUUUUGAGAAAUUGUAAUAUUUUCUCAUUUUCUUAAGGUGAGAAAUUUUUCUCAAUAUAUAGUUUAAUUAAUGGAAUAUUAUUUUACUUAUUUUAUGAAAUCAUUGCUUCAAAUAUUGGAGCAAUGAGGUGUGACCUUAAUUUUAAAAUAAAUAAAAAAUAUUUUCAAUUCAAGAUUUAAAAUUUGGCCACCGUUUUUUCUAAAUGAGUGUUGUGAGAUGCUAAUACUUUUCCCCACACAAAUGAUUCACGAACUCAACUCACUUUUUCGCAGACCAUGUUUUUUAAAAUUGUUUACUUUAUUUCGAUGUCCAAUCACACCGUAAAAAAGAUUGGUGAUGGCUCCUAUUUUAUUUUAAAACUAGCUUUUUUGAGAACGUCGGCCGCUCCGCGUCGUCUCAGACACAUGCUGACAUAUAUAUAUAUAUAUAUAUAUAUAUAUAUAUAUAUAUAUAUAUAUAUAUAUUAUAUAUUAAUAUAUAUAUAUAUAUACUCCUCAUAGAGUAAUAUUAAUUAAGGAAAAUUGCAAAACCAUCCUAAAAUAAGGUGGUAGUUGCAAUUAUACUCUUCAAACUUUCAAAUUUUAAAAUUAAAUCCUAAAACUUACAUAAAUAUAUAAAUUGUAUAAAUUUGAUUGAUUAUAUACCUUCGAGGAUUCAACCAUUUUUCAUUUUUUCAUUUUUAAAAUUUUAAUUUAGACAUCUAAUUGUUAUUGUUGAAAGUUUGAAGGGGUGCAAAUUGCAAUACUCCUCUAUAUACUUUAGAGUUGGUUUUUGCUUCUCCUUUUAAGGUGAAAGAAGAUUAAUGGAGUUUUUUUUUUUUUUUUUUUGGCCAUUUUAGGUUCACAAAUGAGUCGUUUUUAUAUAUGUGUAUAUGUAUAUGAAAAGAGAAAGAAUUACAAAUAUUUGAGUGUGGAUCAAUGAAGUUGAUGACUAUAUAGUAAUGGCAGUUGAUGUUGGUACCAUACAUUACAUCUCAUCCCUUGCUCUUGGAAUGGCAUACAUGGAAAAGGAAAAGGAAAAGAAUAACGUUGAUUCAAAAUGGUUCAAACUUAUAUUGCUGAUUUAAGGUUAGAUUAAUUAGACACAAAAAAUAAAGAUAAAAUGAUAAACGACUAAAUUUUUUAGCCUAAUUAAUAGUAAAAGAAAAAAAGAAAACAAUAAUAGUAACAGCAACAACCAUAAGAUAUUGGCUAAUUUAGAAGUUGGAUUUCAAAAUAUGAUAAAGAAAAACAGUGAUAUAAUUGAAAAAAAUUCAACAUAUUCAAUUUGUUCCUAAUUUUUACUUUUUAUAUUUUAUAAAAAUAUUAGGUUGUAGAUCGUUUUAAUUGAUAACAAUGAUUUAAAUUUAAAUUUUUAGUUAUUUGUUUUAAUUUAAUGUCAAAAUUUAACAUCAAGGAGACUUACCUUUAAGAACAAAAAGAAAUAUAUCCUCAUUCUUAAUUUUUUUCCAAUAAUAAAGAAAAAGUCUACAAUUGCCUUCCAUGUUGAUGCACAUAAGUUCAAUGAGAGUAAUUAAAUAGAAAAUUCUAUAGUAUUGUAACAAGUGUAAUGACUGAUUCAAUACUUGACAUAUUUGAUGAUUGAUGUUAUAAUCGGAUGGAUUGCAAGGAGGAGCAUUCUCAUUGUUGGUUAUGUUGGAUUGGAGUUAAAGUUGAUAUGAUUUUAUUAUCUUUGAAAUAGUUUGAUAUAUACUUAUUAAUUUUUUUAAAAAAUACAAAUAAUGGGAUAUUAAAACAUUAUUUAUGUUCUGCACUUGUUGUGUGUAUAUAUAUAUAUGUAUAUGUACGUAUAUGCAUUGGGAUAAAAUUAUAUUGGCUCCACAAAAGAAAAUUAACUUUUUAAUUGAUGAAAACACCAAAUUCUCGUCAAAUAAAUUUAAUAACACAUACCAUUUAUUCUUUAUGAUCCACAUCUAUAAAAGUAUUAUUAUUUUACAUAUAUAUUAGACUAUUUUAAAAUAGCCGUUGAUCAAAUAGAUGUGAAGAUUCCAACAUAUUUGAGAACACAACUAGUGGAAGAAUAGAACCAUCAAAUCUUAUAUAGAUUUGAUCAAAAUAAAUGGUAUCUCUCUUUUGAUGUUUUUCAUUCAUAAACUUUAACAUUUUUGUUAUGGUAAAAAAAUCAAUGUAAAAUUCAAAAUUUGAAAGAUUUGAUAACAAUAAAAACAUAGUUACUUAUCUCAAUUAUCACUUAGUUGGAGAGGUUAAAAUUUGAGUCUAAAUUUAAUAUUUGUUAAAAAAAAAGUUUAACAAUUUUAAAAUUUUAACCAACGUACUUUGAUGUUUUUAGUUAACAUUAUUCACAAAAAUGUGAAAUUCUUCUUCUCCUGUGCAUUGAACAAAAAGUUUAAUUGAAUAUUUAGUCAAAAAGGAAUAAGGAGACUACCAAAUUAGUUGGUAGGAACUUGAAGUGCUUUUCAUAUAUUAAUAAGCAACAAAAAUAUUCUUAAACUCUUGGUUUAUAUAUUUCUUUUGAGUAUUAGAACAGUUGUUAGAAUAAAUAUUUACAAGUUGAUAAACAAGCAAAGAGGGGAAUUGUAUUCUUUCUACUUUUUAGCAAUAUCUUCCUAAAUAAGUUAAACUAUUCUUUAAUUACAAAAAAAAAUACUUAAUUAGUGUAGGUAAAUCUGCACAAUUUCAUUGAUAUAAAACUUAUAUUAUUGACUUUGACAUUGGUGGUUUAAUUUUUUCUCAACAACUAAAAUGAAAAGUUCAAUUUUCUCUAUGCCACAUAUUGUGAUCUAGGAAAAGAAUAGAUUAAAGAAAUAAAACUCAGGUAUACUCUUCAACUAUCUUAUAACCCAAUUGUCCAAUUAUAUAUAUAGCUUGCUACAUGUCAAUUAUAUAUAUGCAAAAAUAUUUAACUUAGGAAAGGGUUAAAUAUGUCAAAAAUAAUUUUAAAAAAUUGUUUUAAAUAAUAAAACAGUUAAAAAAUAUUUACAAACACACAGUAAAGUUUUAUUUUCUAUUUGUCAUAAAACUCUUAAAUUAAUAUAGCAAGAAACCAAUCUUUAGGAAUUAAGCACAAAAAAAAAAUCAUAAUCAAUACUUAGCUUGUGAAGAUAAAAUUAAGAUAGAAAAGAGAUGGGCACUUUAAUUAAAGAGUACCUUUUUGUUGUCUUGCAACACACAAUUUAGGAAGAAUUGUAGUUGAUAAUAUUCUUGCCACUAGAAAAUCUUUGAUAAAUUAGAAAAAUUGUAUUAAAUAAAGAAGACAGUGUGAUGAUUAGAAGAUAUACUAUACUUUGACUGCCUAUUAUUUAUUAAUUGUUAAAGUACUCCCAAAAGUUACUCUCUCUUUUCCAUCUUUAAGUGGAAAAUUUUAAUUUAGUGAACCAAUGAGCUUUUAGAUUGGCUAUAGUAAUUACUAAUUAGUAAUGAUAAAAUGACUAUUGUUUUAGGUAGGGCUAUAGUAAUGACAGGAAAAAAGAAAAGAAUAUAUAUUGAUAUAAUCUUCACUAGAAUGCUUGAACUCUUGGCUAAAUGGAAAAAGGAGUCGAUUUGGAUAUAGUUACGUAUUAAAUUUUAAUUAUAAUUAAACAUAUAAUUCUUUUAAUGUAUCAGAAUAAGAGUUUAUACUAAUUUAAUGAUAUAUAUUUUAUUUUGUGUUGUGUUUUCAAAUACAACAAAAUGGAACUAUUUUAAAUUUUUGCAUCAAUUUUUUAGAUUUUCUUAUAAAUUCUUCCAAAUUUUCCUGCUAUUUUAAACGUGAAAAACUUGAAGGAUUUAAGGAAAACAAAAUGUAGUUUGCUUUUCCAGAAUAACAAAUAAAAUUGUUUUUUUGAUUGUAAGUUUAUAUAUAUUCCAUUUGUAACAGGACUGUAUGAAUAGUUAGGCAUAUAUAUUUUCUUUUAAGAUCACUAAUUAUAAUACAUUAUAAUUCUAAAACCUUGUACUUUCUAUAGAAAAUAUAUCCUCAGAAUGCACAAAAGUGGAGAAGGGUUGGCGUAAAGACUCUUUCUCCAAUUGCACAGUGACAGCUCGUACACAUCUUUAACGCUGAAACAAAAACUAUACCAAACAUUGUGUGUAGUUUUCCAAAAAUAAAAAUCUAAAAUCGUUUAGUCUAUGUUUAAUUAUAUUAAUCUAAACGUAAAGUAAUAAAUAUAAUCUAAUUAAACAUAUCAAAACUCAUUGUUUAUAUAGCAUGCAUUUGCUAUACAAAAUGAUAAUUUCUUUCAUAUAGAAACUCUAAAAGAAAACGUUCAGAAUAUAAGAAUAAUAUAUAAAUCCCAUGUGAGAGUGUGAACAACAACAUGCACACUUUUACACAGUAUAUAAAUCUCCAUUUCAAAGAGCAAACCCUAACCACUAACAUCCCAAACAAAAUCUCUUCUAAUUUCUUCUUGUUCUUCGUGUGCAUGGGAAACAAGUACAGUUCUUUGAGUGAAGAACAGCUCGCCUGGAUUUUCAAGAAACAUGACAUCGACAGAGACAGGAAGCUGACCAAAGAAGAGUUGACACGAGCCUUCAACUAUUUGGGUUCAAGGUGGACCGCCUUGAGAGUCAAGGAAGCCAUUCGCGCUGUCGAUGCAAACCACGAUGGCGUCAUCAGUUUGGAUGAGAUGAGUAAGCUCAUUGUGUAUGUCAAAGGUUGUCGCACCUAAACAAUUAAUAAUACUUAACUGCAACCAUCUUUUACAUGUCAACCUAAGUGGAACUUACUUGAUGUCACCAUGUAGUUGUGCCUCUCAGUUGAGUCGUAAAAUACAAAUGCAGCUUAGUUAGCAGUCGAACACUUUACGUCGCAGAGUUAUAAAUAUUAGCAAAAAGAAAAAAAAAAUCCUUUUUAUUGGAUAAAAAUGUAAAGUGUGAUAUCCACUCUCUGUCAUAGGUCGGAAAUCUACAUUUGCUAACGAUGUUUAAGGGGAAAAAAGUGUAUAAUGUAAUUACUUGUCUGUUUUCUUUUUAAUAAAUCGUUAACUGUGUUGGUAAAUUACUAUUGGUGUAGUUAAUUAUAUAAGAAGCAAGUGGUUUUUUUUUCUUUAAUUUUAUUUUAUGCAUGGUUGUGCAAAUGAUUACUAAAUACAAAUAUGUCAAAUAAAAUUUGAAGAGGAAUUGAAUUCUUUCUAUUUGUGAACAAAAUAUCCUCCGAUAUGUCAUAUAAUUAUUCUUACACUCACUACCAAAAUUAAAAAAAAAAAAAAAAAUCAGCUUGUAUAUCUAUUCUAUGAUUAAAAUAAAUUUUCCUAAAUUAAAAAAUAAUCUUCUAAAUUCUUAUUAUGGGGUAGGUAAAUUUAACUAUAUUACUAACAAUGGACUUGACUGCAUAAGCGCGUUUUAAAAAUAAAUCUCAUUAAGAACAACCAUCUUGUCCUGCUAAUUAAGAUGAGAUUUAAGAGAGUAAUUUUUUUUUUAAAAAAAGACAAGGAAUAUUAGAAAAGUGAAAUCGCAAAGAUAUGAACCCAAUUUUCCAAGUACUAAUUAUGUUUUUUUUUUAAUGAAGUAAUUUUUCUUUGUCCAAUGUUAAGGUUGCUAUAAAUUAAAUUUAUCUUCAUAUAUAUAUAUAUAUAUAUAUAUCAUCAGAACAUGUAAUCUAUAAACAACUUUAGACGUGAGGAAAAUGUUAAAUAAUAUAUAAAUUAAAUUUACGUUUCAUCUAUAUCUUAUGUUUUUACGUCGUUAACCAAAAAAAUAUAUAGAGAGUAAAAAAAAUAGUUAGAGUGGUUGGCCACUAAAACUUAUGUGAAAUAGGAUAAGGAUGGGGAUAAACAAGAUAGGGUUGGAAUAUAUAAGUUGGAAUAAAGUACUAAUCUUCAAAUAUUCAUUUCUCUUAUUUUAGGUAACUAAUAAAGCCAUUCCCUUGAACUAAUGAACAUGGUAGGCAGAGAGAUACACAAUAAUAUAACAAAUGGAUAUUAUGUUCCCUCACACCAUUGCUAGCUUCCUAUCCAAAAAGAAAAAGAAAAAAGAAUGUUCUGAUCUAUUAUUUCUUUGAUUAUGGAAACUUUUUAAAUAUAUAAUUAUCAUCAUCACACUUGUGGAUGCAUGCUUGGCUAAGAUUUAGUAUUAAUAUGGUUGAAACGAUCUAGUUGAAAGACGGAUAUAAGUGUUAAACAUUAUGCAUAUACACACUUAAGUUUGUAAAUUUGAUAGAAUUACUGGGAAGUUUUACUAAACUAUAAGAUUUAAUUUUGUUAGACUUUCACCGAGUGUUGAGGAUAAUAUAUUGAUUUAAAUUUAACAAGCUAAUUUAGAAGUAUAUUUUACUAAUAAUCUUAGUUUAAGUUCGAGUUUUCAAAUAACUUAUAAUAAAUAAUUUGUGACGCACCCAAUAUAGACUACAUACAAAUCUAUGAUAUGGAUGUGAAGUUGCAUUACAUAAAAUAGUUGAUGAGAAAAAUACAAGAGCUUUUGACCAAUUUUUUACUUUCUUUUAACCACUCGUGCAAUGCUUUAAUGGUUUGAUUUUUUACUUUUCAUACCAUGGAGAUGAAUGAUAAUCUAUGGGAAAGUUAGUUUCAAUCUCUCAAUAGGGAGCUGGUGGAAAGUGAAAUGAAUGAGACUUUUAAUUGUAUAUUCGAGUAGAGAAUUUCUAACCGUUCGAAGUGUACACGGCUCAAUAAAUUUCUAAAUUAACGAGUUAGGGAUGUAGGGUUACAGUCAACUAUAUAAUUAAGCCAUCAAAGUCAUUCAUUCUAAACAUGUCGAAACACACCACUACUAAGUAUUCAAUUCCAACUUGUUUUGUAACUUGAGUGUCAAAGCGUUGGUAGUUUGACGUUGCACCAGUGUUGAAUUUCUCCAUUCUGCCAAGCACUUGAACUAUUUUCUCCCAAAAUAAAAUUUUAUAUACGUUUAUUCAUUACUCUUCCAUGGGAAAAAAAGAAAUGGUGUUGCAGAAACCCCGCCUUGAAAAAAGUCUCUCAAACUCUGUCACUGUUUUUAUUUUAAUCGUAUAUCACACUUCCAUAAAGAAACUUGCUGAGUAAAUUGGACUUUGUAAUGGGCCAUAAACACAAAACAGGCUUUAAAUGUUUCGGCCUCUAAUUUUCUUAACACCAUGCUUUGAUUUCACUUUUUUCUCUUAAUUCCCAGACUAUUAGUAAAACUUUUUUGGACAAAACUUGGGAAAUAAUGAAACAAAACUUAGAUGAUAUAGUUUUCCUUUGAAUAACGUAGUUCAAGAAACUUACUGAUUCUUAUGUAAUCUUACAGCAGUUAAGAUUCUCAAGUGUAGAUUCAUUAUUUAAUUCUCGAAUUAGUAUAUGUUCAUUCCCUUAGUUUAUCUGCUCAAACCCCAAGAAAAGUUACUAUUUUCCUUUUGAGAGGCACACUUCCCAAUAUGCCUCCCAUAAGAUAUUUAUGGGCUUCAACCCAUCAUGCAAAAAACGGGAAUCGUAUGGUUCGUGAAGAUAUAAACUAGAGUGAGGGUAUAACUCUCCACCGAUGUAUGUCAAAGAUGAUGGGUCUUUUUUUUAAAAUAUAAGAUAAAGUAUAGAUAGAAAAGGAUUAGUAAUUAGGAUCUGAAGUAAAGGGAAGGUUAAGAACAUGAAAGUUUGAUCAAAUCAUAAUAGAAUCUAUUGUAAAUGGAAUGAAAUUCCUUUAAUAGCCUUUAAAGAACAAAACACAGUCGUCCAUAAAGAAAUUGAGAUGAUUAUUAUGGGAAUCCCUUUUUCAUUUUUCAAAUUUAUUAAAUUACAAUUACGACUAAAGAAUAUAUUAUAAGAAUUAAAAUAUCGUUUUUUAUUUUAUUUAAUUAUUAAUUCUUUUCAAAUGUUUAUUCUUGAAAAAAAGUAAAAACUUUAAAUUAAAAUAAAAAAUAGAUUACCCAUCAAAUUUCAGUAUUUUUACACUUUCAACUUUCAAAACAAAAUCCAAGACAAUUGCUAAUUUCAUAAAAAAAUUAGUCAUUUAUACUCUUUUUGUAAUGAGUAAUAAAGAUAGAAUGAUCAACAAACACACUUAGAUUAACACACCCUUAAUGACUUCAUUAUAUGAUGCUGCACUAUUCGGUGAACUAAUAAAUGAGUAUAAAUGGAUUUCUAAGUUAAAUGUUGGGAUAGUUUAACGAGAUCGUUUUUUGGUGCAUAUAUUUAUCGACCUGUUUAAUGAAACAGAUGUAUUUUGUUAAAAAAAGAGUUUAUUGGAUUUUUAAAAUCUUUUUUUCUUCAAGCUAUUUUGAUUAGAAAAUUGAGGGAGGUUAAAUUUUAAGUUGUUGUUUCUUUUUCUAUAAUAUUAUAUUUAAUUUAUCGAUUAUGACUGCAUGUUCCGAAAAAACGAUCUCCCAAGUAUCAAUCAAUGUUUUAGCCCAUUUUUUCUUUUAUAAUUAACUAUUAACAUUGCCUAUAUUAUGCCUCAAAUUCUUUGCCAUGUUAUUAGUGUUUUUCAAAAUAACUCAUUUCUAAAAUUAAACACUUGAAAAUUUUAAUGGAACAUUUAUUUUAAUAACUUUUGGAUAUUCAAAAUAUCGUCAGUCGAUGCUAGGUUGACACGUACAUAACCACUCUGUUUAUGCCGACAUCCAAAAGAAAAUUAUAUACAUAUGCUUAUAUUCUGAGAUUAAUUCCUUAUGUUUAUAUUCUCCAUCCUCCCAAGUGGUAUUAGGAAAAGUUUGAUGCCAUCUACUUUAGGUUCUGGUGCUACAUAUAGUAUUUUCCUUUGAAUGAAAUAUGUGAACACAAGAAAAUAAAAGAAGGUAUUAUUAGAUUUUCGUUGACAUCAUACAAAAGAAAAUUAUAAUAGAAUGUGUUGACAUUUCAUGAUCACUAUAUAUUGUGUUGACACGUAAAUGUGAGAUUCACCGAUAUUUUUAUUUACAUCGAUAUAUUUUACACCUAUAUCGCAAGAGAACCUUGCAGACACUCGAAUUUUCAUUGUUGAUCCAAAUUGUAAACCUUGCAAAAGGUAUUUUGGAUACUUUAUUCCGAGUUGAUAGAGAUGCUCACAAAAAGACACAUUAUUUCUUCUACGGCAGAAAUGCAUGAAGUAAACUUUGGUAAAUAAAAACUCCCUCAAAGCAUCAAUUCCAUUUGAGAUGAUGUGUAAUAGAUAUCAUCUCAAAGAGCAAAAAGAAAAAAGAAAAAAAAAAAAAACCAUCUCCUUGUGUUAGGGUUUUUGUCUUUUACAUACCAACUCUAUAUAAAGACUCCUUCCCCAUAGAGAAAAAUCUAAGGCAAACAAAAACUAUAUUAUCAUCAACACAAAGAUAUAUUAUUAGAGCUUACGUUCUUGAAUAUCAUUGAAAUGGCAAUGUCAAGGUCUCAACUGAAGUUGACUAGGGAUGAGGUUAGGGAGAUCUUAGAAGAGCAUGACGUGGACGGUGAUGGUAGCCUGACGAAGCAAGAGGUGAUGCAAGCCCUGAACUCCAUGGGUUCUAUGAUGUCCUUUCAGAAAGCUCACUAUGGUGUUUCUCAUGCUGACAAAGAUGGGGAUGGUAAAGUCGAUCUAGGAGAAGCAGAGAUGGAGAAUCUUAUUGACUAUGUCAUGAGGUUUCAGACCCCAAGGGCCCCAAAGACCCCAAAGGUCCCUAAGGUGCCAGCCCAAAAGCCUUGCCAUGAUGGUAAAUCAAUUGUGUAAUAAUCUUAGCUUAUUUCUAUUUAUUAUGUGUCCGUCUUCAGUCUUCGUCUACGUCUUCAUCUUGUUUUUCAGUCCAUAUAGUUUAUGUUACAAAUUGAGCCAUGGCUGUGCUCAAAUUGGCAAUUAUCCACGUAUGUUCGUUAUCUGCAGUAUUGUGUGUCACUGGUAAUAAAAUUAUCUUCUUGUUGUAUCCAUAAAUUAUUAUAUAAUAAACAUUCCUAAACUAUUAAAAAUGUCAGAUUUUCAAUUUCAUUUCAUGCCAUCGUGUGAUUUAUUAUUUAACUUUGCACUAUGUAAAUAUAAACUAAGAUCUUUUAUAAAUAUUUACAAGUAACAUAAAGUUUAAUACAUAGUAGAAUGUUUUGAAUGUAUUAUUUAGCAUUUCUAACACCCAAAAUCUAAGUGGUAUUCAAUAUUUAUUCUAUCUAUGUGAUUUAUGAUUGACUCUUAACCUUAGAAGUACUUUUAUAGUUUAACAGCUUUUAUCUGAUAAGAAAACUUGCUCUCUCCAUCGAUUAGUGUACAUCUAACUCAUGAUUAAUCAAGUAUUUAAUUGUAUCAAUGUUUACUGGUUUUUUGUUGCCCAUUUUUUCUUAACACUGUAGCUAUAAAAUUGUAUUUGCUAACUGACAAAAUUACAUGACCCAAAUAUACUAGAAAUGUUGUAAAUAAUUAACGCCAUAAUGAACCAAAUAAAAGUGUAAAGAGAGUAUACAAAAGGCAAAACACACCAUAUGAACAUUCUCAUGUAAGGAUACAAAUGUAUAUAUAAAAUGGGGCCAUUCGUUUUAUAAUAGCAGAAAGCAGUAAUUAGAAUCGAUGAUAUAUAAAAGGAAAAAGAGAUUCAUUGGACGACAUUUAAUUAAGACAAAUCAAAUAAGCCUACCAUCAUAAUUUUCUUAAAAAAUCUGUUACAUUUUUUUGAAUGGAAUACUAGUAGACCAGGGUCAUUAAUGCACCCAACGACUCAUCCAAGAUCGUUUGCCAUAGCAGCUGCAUCAGUCAUCACACUCCAGCCCAGCCCCCAUGUUGUUUACUUUUGUAUAAAAUGGUAAUCAAAUAUAGAUGUUUAUUGAAAUGUCAAUCUGUUUAAUUAAAAUACAGUAACUAAUGAAUAUGUAAUAAAGAUACUAUCCAGCCCUGCCUGUACUACUUUUCUUGGUAAUAAAAUUCUGGCGUUAGGGCUUUGCCCACUCACCUUGUUUCCUCUUAAAAAAUGAAUAUCUAAUAAGAAUUAAAAUAACCUUUUCUAAUUUUAUUCUUUAUUAACUGUCAUUUACAGCUUGUUCAAACAUUAACACUUAAAAGAUUUAAAAUUAAAAUAUGGUUUGACUUAAACUCACCCAUCUAAAUUCCAAAACAUCUUAAAGUGAAAACAUUAAUAAACUUAAAUUAAUAUCUCAUCUUCUUUUAUUUUUUGUAACCAAAGGAUGAUAUAUGCAUACAGAAAUAUGUAUUAUUGUACGUGAUAGACCACCAAAUAUUUGCUGAAUAUCUUUAUCCCCAUCGACUGGACAUUUCUAUAACUUUUGAAAAACGAUUCUUCUGUUUUGGUAGGGUUUUGUUUUUCUUUUCUUUUCUUUUCCUUUUGACAAAAAUGAUAAUAACUUGGAUUUUUGACAUUUUAUGGUUGAGUUUCAGUUUUCUUUUACAAGUCUAAAUCGUGGCUAGCUUAAGAAAUAUUUCUACAAUUCAAUUUACACUUAUAUCAUACAUUUUAAUUUUGAAUAUUUUGCUACAUCAAAUUUGAGUAAUUACAUUUUAUUUGAAUAAAUACAUCAAUUAGAGAGAGGUUAGAAAUUGCAUCCAAAAGUCUCAAAUAUGACCUUAUUUUGUUCUUCUAAAAAGAAAGAAAAAAUAUUCGUGAAUAAAGUAUAAAAUUCCAAAAAGCUGAGAUUUAAUUUAGGAUUCUUUUCAAAAAUAGGAAAAAAAAUCACAAAUUUGUUCACUCCAUAUAAAAAAAUAUUAAAAAAAAUUCAUUACAUAAAUAAUAUUUAAAAAAUUGCAUAGGACAAUAUUUUGAGAAUAUGAUAUAGCAAUUAUAGAACACUGUUUUAGAAUUUUGCAAAUAUGACAAAUGUUUUACUUCUUCAUCUUAAAUUUGUUAUUAUUCUUAAACUAUCAUUUAAUAAUUUAUUUCUCUUCCUCUUUUUAAUGCCCUAUUCAUUAUAUAUUUAUUCUCUCACUUUUUAAGGCCCUAAUUAUUUGUUUAUUCUUAUACUAGAAAAAUUAUUUAUUCAUUAUUCUCUCACUUUUUAAGGUUCUAAUUAUUUGUUUAUUCUUAUACUAUAAAAAUUAUUUAUUCUUCAUGUGUUAAUCUUAAUUUUAAAAUAUCAAUAGUAUAAUAAUUGCAAUAUGAAAUAUAAUAUAAUGGUUGGUGAUCGGAGUAAUUAACUUCAUUUGUGAUUUCUUUUUUUACUUUCUUCGAUGUGUAUUUUAAGCUGAAUCUAAUUUCAAAUGAUUUUGUUUUAUUUUUUUACAUUAAUUUUUUGAUUUUACUUUGUCUCAGUUUCAUAUAUCAGUGUUAUGAUAUACUUAUAUUAUAUAUAUUAGUUAGUUAAUAUACUUACUAUGUAAUUUUUGUUUUCUGAAAAUUUUAUAUAGAUCAUUAGAGUAUUAUUAAGUAUAUGAAUUAUUUAACUUAGUGUAUCAUUAUCAAGUAUAUCAACAAUAUAUUGUUAAAACAUAUCAAUAAAGUGAAUCAUUAUCAAGCAUAUGAAUCAAAUUUACAAGUGUAUAUCAAUAGUAUAUCAAGUGUAUAAGUAUGACUUCAAGCAUAUCGAGUGCAUUUAAUCAAUCAAUUGUGUAGAUACCGUAUUUUGUCCUGCCUUUUUAUUUUUUUCAUUAAUUUAUUUAUUAUUUUUUUAAAAGAAUUUGAAUUUGAAUUUAAAUUUAAAUUAUAAAAUUUAAAUCUUAAUUUUUAAAUUUAUGUUUUAAAACAAAAACAAAAAUAAAAACAUAUUUAAAAUUAAAUUUAAAAGUAAAGAUUUUUUUUCUUCUCCCUAUUUUUCUCAACCUUCCCCUGUUUUCCUGAGUCACAACCCUCCCACUUUCUCCCAAUCUCUCACGUUCUCCCACUCUUCCAUCUUCUUCCCCAAUCUCUCACGUUCUCCCACUCUUCCACAUUUCUGUGUACUCCAUUUCACUAUCUAAACCUACUUCACUUCUAUCUAAAAAAAGGAGACAUUUCCCUAUAAAAAGAGAAUGAGAAGAUUCAAUGGGGGGAGAAUUUUUUUUGCUGGAGAAUUAUUUGGUAGAGAAGAGGGACACGUAAAAGAUUUUUUUUGGAAGAGGUGAGGAGGAUCAACCCAGAACAUUUUGCAUUUAAGGCAGACCUUGUAAGUUCUUUUUUUUAUUCACGUUUGAUAAUACUAGCUUGAUUAUUUGGCACCCAGUAAUUAUUUCGCACCCAUCUGGGUGCUGUCUUAAUUAUUCAUUUAAAUCACUCGUUAAUUAGCUGAUGCGUUAAUCAUUGGGCACUCAUUUCACAUCUUUUAAUUAUUUGCAUCAUUUGAAUUAUUUGGCACCCAUUUGACUCUUUGAUUGCUGACCUAAUACAGUGUAUCAGGUGUAUCAAACAUAUAUUAGUAAUGUUUCAGGUGUGUAUAAAAAAGUAUCGAGUAUAUCAAAGAGUAUCCGAGCAUCAAGUGUAUCAAUCAAAUGUAUCAAAAAGUAUAAGGUGUAUCAAAGAAUGUAUUAGGUGUAUCAGACGUGUAUAAGACGUGUAUAAGGUGUGUAUAAGGUGUAUCAAACGUAUAUUAGUAACGAGGACAUUUGUGACAUUUUACCUUUUGAUGUGUGGACUGGGUUUCGUUUUUGCCAUUUUCGCAAAUAAAAUGUGUGUGCUAUAGACUUAAUUGUUAUAACUUAUUUUGUCAUUUUUGCAAGUGCCCCUAAAUAUUUUGUCAAAUUUUCUAUUUUUGACAAUUUUCCAUAAAAAAUAAUAUUAAUUAACGUUUAAUAAAGUUCAAAUCUCUUCUCUUCUCGGAUUGGUCCAAAAUGGUGAAAUUAAAUAAAUAUUAAAAGAAAAUGAGAAAAAAAAGUGUCAAUAGAUAAUUGCAAAAUAUAUACUUUUGAUUGAUGAGAUUUGAAAUUAUUUUGUCUAUCCUAGUAUUUAAAAUUUGAAAAGAAACACUUGACAUCUCUAAAAAAAAAGUUUGACAAGCAAGCAAUGGAUCGAUCCAUAAUUUUUCUUAAGAGGGACUUAAGUUAAAUUAUUUUGCAAAAAUAUUAAAAUACAACUUAAGUUCAAGAAACUUUCAAUUUAAAUUUUGCCAUAAAAUUGAAAUGAUGUCUCAUGUGUUAUUAUAAACAUUCAAUUUUGUAUUUAGUAUACAAAACACAGGAUGAACUUUGAAUACCUAAAUCCACGCAAAAUUAAAAAAAUUAUUUUAAGUUCACACUUGAAUUAAAAUUUAGAGAAGACAUCUUCUUUCCUUUUGUGAUUAUUAUUAUUUUCUCAACAGAGAAAUUAGAAGUUGGGGUAUCGGACAAAGUUAGAAAGUUCAAAACGUUCAAAACGUUCUUUAUUCUCCAAAGCUUCCUAAUCAAGAUAAGAUGGAACCAAGAGGCUACGCUUUUUAAGGACCCUUCCCUUCCACUUUCUUCUCAACAGUUCUUCAAUCGAAGAAAAACGGCGAAGGUUGCGAAGUCGUCUAGGUUUCAUCUAAAAUGACUCGUCAAUUAUAUGACAAGAAGAAAUCAGGGUACAAGUUGCAAAAAGAAGAAAUGAAAGAAAUGUUUAGGGAGCAUGAUUUCAAUGGCGACGGUCGCUUGAGCAUUAAAGAAUUGUCGAGAGCAUUCGGCCAAUUUGGCGCAUUCUUCCCUCUCUACCGUGCAGCUUUUGGGUUGUUCCUUGCAGAUGAUGACGGCGAUGGAUUUAUCAGUGAGCAAGAACUAGAUAAAGUGGUAGAUUAUGCUAUUAAAUGUAAGUAUAACCUACUUUAGUUAUCUUUUCCAUCCUGCUGUGGAAGGUUCCCUAGUGAGUGUGAGUUGUUGAUGUAAAAAAAUAAUAUACAGAAAGGUAAUUUGUGUGUUCAAGAGAUACCUUCCCCUAUUAUUGUAAAAUGCCUUUCCUGAUGGCUGAUGCGAAGAUGAUGAUGAUAGCAUUUCCAAUAAAAAUAAAUUUUAUGCUUCAUUCUUGCUCUUGCAUGAUAUGAUAACAAUUUUCUAAAUAUAUGUAUAUUGUUACAAAAUAAUAGACGCACUUUAUUUUAACAAUGUACCAGGAUCUGUUAACCUAUUAAUCUCUUGUAUCCAAAAGUUUCAAAAACAAAUUACAAGCUGAUAUAAACAAUAAUGAUUACAAAGUAAUACAAAAAUGUCAGUGUUGAAGUUUGCAGCUUAAUUAAAACUUUACAAAUAUAUUGAUAGAUACACAUCGUACAGGAACGUCCACCAAUAUCAAAAGGUACGAAAAUCAAACUAAACUGACCAAUGUCCAAUUAUCUUCAAAAUCGAUCGGUUUGGUUCACUUUGGUGAUCUAAUUAAUUUUGUUCCCCGGCAUCUUGGCUUCGGUUUUAUUAACAUUUUUUUGUAUUCUCCAUUUGUUAUAUUGGCCAUCAAAUCUAGGAAGAGAAGAGGGUGAAAUAGAGUAGGAUGUUUAAUUUGGGAGAGAAAGAGGUUCAUGAAUCUUUGAACCAUAAACUUCGUCCUAUUUGGAUGUCAAGAUUCAUGUCUCAAAUAAGUAUUUGGUAAAUUAGAAUGGUGAACCGAAGAAAUAUCUUCUCGUAAAGGCUUGUUGAACAUAUAGCUUGCUCGCUGUAUAUGAUGUACUGAUUCAAUAUCUGAUCUAUGAAACAAAACAAACAUGGUGAACUUACAUUUCUUUUUUUAAACUUUAGAUACUGUUGUGUAUUUUCAUUUCUAAAACUUUGAGAAAAAAAACUAUUUACUUUCCUAAAGUAAAUAGUAAAAUAGUUUAAAUUAUGUGAAAAUAUUUACAAAACACACAAAAAUUUCAAAUUCUAUCCAGAAUAGAUAAUGAUUAACUUUUGUUGGUGUCUAUGUUGAGUGCAAUGUCUAUCAUUAAGAAAAUCUUAAAUCUAAACUUUUGGUGGCAACAAGCAACAAGCAACGUACAUCUUGAAUAUAAUUAUUACUCAAAUUAUUUUUCUUAACAAAAUAACUAAUGUUGUUAAACAUUGUUCAUGGUAAAGACGUAGAACCCUAAUUUGCCCACACAAACAACGAAUGCUCGAAUUCUAUUGUUAAUAAUUUAUCCUCAUAUGUGUGGGUUUUUCUCUAGUAUAUAAUAUUUCGGUAUACCUACUAAUCCAUUCUAGAAUAAUUUCUUGGUAAACAAAAAAAACUAUAAAUUAUAAAGGAAUGAAUAAAUUAGAAUAGACUAAAAAUAGAUUACUCAAUUUUUUAAAGUUAUUAUUCCAAUCUUAAAGCUUAAGUUCAACAGAUGAUGUCAAAACACUAUCUACGUCAAUCACUAUCUGAUUUGCCACUUUUGUUAAUAAUAUAAACUCAACUUUUCUAUUUUUGACAACUUUUCUAAAUUCUAAUUUUUAUAAUUAAACAAAACGUACAUACAAAAUAUAUAUUUACAAAUAAAAUUCUGAAGUGAAAUUCUAUUUUAAUUUAAAAGUAAUUGACAAAUUUUGUUAUAUUUUUUUAAAAAAAUAUUACUAUAUAUUUGAAAUGUGCUACUUGUUGCAUUUACCAUAUUUUUUAAUCUUUCACCAAUAAAUUUAAAAUCCUAAUUUAAUUAAUCUUCAUUCUCAUAAGAAUGAUAAUUGCAUAAGCAUAAUAAUUUAUUCUUUCACAUUAUUUCCAACUUCUAUACAAGUAUUUAUAAUUGAAAAUUAUUAAAAAUAACAAAAAUUGUUGAAAAUAUCUAUCUAAUAUAGUAAAAUUUUCCAUUCAUCGAUAAGGGUAGAUUUGAAAAAAUGAUAUCAAGUUAUAAUCUUAGUUCUAAAAAAACCAAAACUUGUAUUUCUAUUUCUUCAACCCUUUCCACAUAACCAAGGUCCAAUAUUUGAAAAGGAAAAAGAAAAGUAGGUAUUCAAAAUUAAAAGAUGUGGGAAUUAAAACAGCCGUAAUUAGCAUAUGCAAGGUUUUUGUUUUUAAUCAGUAUGUUGUUUCUUUAAACACUUAUUAUUACGAUUAUGUAAUAAAUUUAAGACUUAUUAGAGAAAUGUUGUUGUUAGGUUUUUGGCGAUUCCAACAUAUAUAUCGUAGUUUUUUUAAAAAAGAAAUAGAAAAGAAAAAGGAACUAAGGAAGGGGAUGGAAAAACCUAAAUCGGAGGUAUGGUGAUGGGGAACGGUAAGGGAAGUCGGAAUCCAUUUCCGGCAACGAAAAGUAAUUAAGGAAAGAAAAUUCCAUAAAUUAUUAGCAGAAUCAAUAAUGGGAAAAAUAUAAAGGUAUGCUUGGAUGCAGGAAUGAUUUAUGGUGGACUACUCACUCAAAAUUAUUCCUUUGUUCCUUCCUUUAUUUAUUUUGAUGCACCACCACAUUUUCAAAUUACCACCAUGCAUGAAGAUAUAUAUAUUAUAUAUAUAUAUAUAUGAGCCAUGAAUAUUUUUUAAAUAUUAAUAUUAGAAAUAUAGAAGAAAACGAAAACCUAAGUUAAUAUUUUGUGUAAAUUUGGUAGUGAGGGUGAAAGUGGGAAGAUAAGAAUAGGGAACAAAUGAAUCAGCCACACCCAUAAUGAAGAUGGUACCCAACUUGGAAAUCUGAGUAUCUUUGAACGAACAGUAUUUUGGUAUCUCUUUUUUUUUAUAAAGAUACUUUGAGAUAGCUGAUGCAAGGCCACAUGGGAACAUAUCAAUGCAUCAACUAUAGCCCCACUUCAUUAAUAAUAAAAGGUGAUUACAAGAAGCGGGGAAUAGAAAGGUUAGAGGGCAGCCCGAUUAUCCCAAAACGAAAGCAUGUAAAUUUAAAGCAAUAGAACUGGACGGGUAAUUUUUGAAAAGAGAAGAACGACUCGACCAUAGACCAGUUAUAGCUUGAAUGUCUUCCCAUACAGAAACAUCUGAUUUCUCUUCUCCCUUAAAAGUCCUUAUGUUUCUUUCAUUCCAGAUAUUCCACAGGGUAGCAGCCACCAGAUGUUGUUCAAUGGUUUGUCUUUUUUAUUUACCUUUAGUUUUGAAAGGUUGUUUGCAUAAAACAGUAGAAUCUAUAUGGGGGAGAAGUUUGUCUAGUACCUCUUCAACUUUUUUCCACAGGUUUUUUUUGUGAAGGGGAAGAGGGAGAAUAAAUGAAUACUAUGUCAUUCACCAUUUUCUAAUGUCAUACUUUUAAUGGUAAAUACUUAGACGUUUCAUGAAAUUUAUUUAUGAUUUAUCUAUGUACGUUUACUAAUUGGAUGUUUAAUUACAAUAUUUUUACCAAUGACGAGAUUCUUCAUCUUUUUAGUUUUUCUUAUUCCUUGAUGAUUGUAGGAUGCAUUCAAGAUCCAUCCAAUUUCAUUUUUAGAUUUUUGAAAUUGUUAAAAUAAUUUUUGUCAUAUUAAAAAAUAAUUUAAAUAUAUUUUAGUAAUUUUUCUAUCGUUUUGUUUCAUAGCAAAUAUAAUUUAAAUUCAAAUUCGGUAGAAAUAAGAGAAAGAUGUGAAAAAAUGGUACAUUUUUGCAAUACGACAACGCACUCUUUCAACUAAACUAUAUAUGCUCGAUUUGACUAGUAUUAUUGCAUUGAAAUCGACACAAAAUGGGUAGAAAAUAAGUGGGUAUUAUAAUACCAAAGCAUCAAAUAUGCAAAGCCACCACUGUGAAACUCUUAAAGCCUAAAAGAUAAAACGCAAAUUGCCAAAAGCAUCUUCCAUCCUUUACCUUGUUGGAAAAUUCAUUAAGUACUUAUUAAUUAAUUGCGAUAACAAAGGAAUAAUUGAAUUGUGAAUUUGUCACUCUUUAAUCACUUUCUGGAUUUGGGUGAUCAAGUUUAACUUUAUUAACUUUCAAUUUUUAGGAAUUGAAUUCUAGACUCUAGUGAGUAUUAAUACACGUUUAAAUUGGUAUUAAAUUUGUUUUUAAUGUUAUAUGUGUUUUAGUCUCCUUUAAAUAUCUCUACCUUGUUAAGAUAUAUACAUUUCCUCUGCCUCCUUGUUAAAAGAAAAUUGGUAUAAAACAAAGAUUUCCAAAAACCAACAAAUAAAUCAAAAUCUCAAAAGGGCAAAAAAAAGAGUAAAAGCCAGAGUCUUGUCAAAUUAAUUAUAAGAAUCCUCAUAGCUAGCUUUAACUGCAAGUUCUAGAAACAAAAUGAAUAAAUUUAAUCGAUAUCAUUCUUUUAAUAAAUGUUUCAAAGUACGUAAAUAAAACUACACAUAGUUAGAUAGUUAUUAAUUAUUUGACAAGGUGUAACAGAUAAUACCCUAUAAACAACGAUCCAUUUUUGACAAUUUUUUAUUGCAACCCAAACUUUAUCUAAAAGUUUUUCAUGCAACAAUAUAUCAUGACUAACUUUACAAGACCAAUAAGGUUUUACAUCCAAAGAAAAGAAAAUGUAAUAGAUAAGUAAGGAUAGUUAUUAAAUUUUUUUUUAUGCAUGAAAACUUUCUGAACUGAUAAUGAAAUCAGAAGAAUAUUGACUACUUUCAAGACACGUAUUCGAUUCUUCACGUGAGCUUCGUAAAGUUGAUGUUAAACGUUUUGGCAGUAUCCUCUUUUUUCUUCUUUUUCCAUUUUAUUAUUUUUAUAUAAAGAAAAAUGAAAUUCUCCUUUCUAAAAAUUCAGAAAAUACCUCAUAAAAAAAAAAUAGUAAAAUGUAAUAUUUUAAUUCUAAGAAAAGAUUCCAUAUAUCAUUAUGAUACCAAUAUGAUUACAAAGAAAGUGGGAGAAUUCUACUAUAAAUACCCCACGAUCCAUACAUCGAUAAACACCAAGCAAACCAUAAAAAAAAUACGAACAUUUUGCUCCAACACUAAACCGUAUCAUUUCUAAGAAAAUGUCUCGUGCAGCAACCAGGCUACAGCUCUCCAGGGAGGAUAUAAAGGAGAUUUUUAGAGAGCACGACAUCGAUGGAGAUGGUCGAUUGAGCAUGAACGAGAUGGUGAAGGCCUUCGGGUGCUUUGGCAGUAUUCUUCCUUUCUACAAAGCACACUACGGAAUGGCUCAUGCUGAUGAGAAUGGCGAUGGCUUCAUCGAAGAGGAGGAGCUCGACAAGCUUGUCGACUAUGCCCAGAAGUUUCAGCACAAGAGAAAGUGCUGAGGUUAAUUAUAUGUAAUUUUCCUCAGUCUGCUGGUCAUAAUGUCAUUAACACUUUCAGUUUACAUGCACUACUUUAAAUAUUAUACUCUCAUGUUUAGAAGUUUUAAUGUGUUGUUGUAUAAAUAAAGAAAAGAAAAAGAAGGGCUAGGCUACGUAGCUAAAAUUCCUGCUUUGCCUUAGCUAUCAAAAGGGGAGACGUUGUCUUUGUGUUUCAAAAAAUAAAAUAAAUAAAAAAUAAAAUCAUAUUGAGAUAGUUUAUCUCAUUAUUAUCAUAUUUGUAAGUUGUGCGUUUUUUACAAAGAAAUUGGAGGAAAAUGAUCAACAUAAGUGCAUCCAAAUAUCUCAAUAGAUUGUGUUUACUACUUUUAAAGAUUUUUCUAUAAAAAAAGAAAAGAAAGUAAAACAUCAAUCUAGCUAAAUCCUUUUGAAUACUUCGACAUCUAUUUAUCUCUUUACUCUAUUAGUGUUUUCUUUUUCUUUUUAAAAAACUAGUCUUAAUAUUAUUUAAUGUUACUGUAUAUAUCAUAUAUCGCAUUUUAUAUAAAAUUGAAUGGUAUAUUUAAUUUUUAAAUUAAAAAAUUCAAUAUUGUACGAUCAUGUAUUCAAUACAUGAUUACAAUACCUUUGUUUUCAAAGCACCUUGGUUCUUGAAAAAUCAGAACUCUAUGAUUCUUCUUAACCAAAUCGGUUAUGGUGAUUGCCCUAAUUUUGCAUUCUAAGGGCUCAUUUUGGGAAGCUUGUCUAAAAGUUACAAUAGCAUAUUCAGAGCGUCGUAUCACACUUUAAUUCUCUGUAGGACAUGUGUUUCGAUGAAACUCUAAAAAAAGGUUUAAACAAAAAUAAAGUGUUUUAUUGAAAAAUACAUUUUUUUUAAAAAAAAUUCAAUCUAACUAACCCUUAAAUUUUAUUUAAAUUUCUAAACUUUUGUCUCGCUAUUUUGGAAAUUUUAUGAAGUUUACGUUUGGAUAACCUUUAGAAGUAAGACUUUAUUUUAGUGUGCAAUUGUUUUAAACUGAGUUUAAAAUUUGAUUAUUAAGGAUGUGUUCUCGACGAAGAAUUUUGGAAUAUAUGGGCAUAUGGAUGGAAGAAAACUAAAGCCCCUUGGAUGACGAUAAACGUAGGAGGAAUAUAAAUUUACAACCCAUCAUACUUUUUUUUUCCUAUGAUGAACCAUAGUCAAUCCACCUUUUACAAUUAUAUUUUUAAAGGCUCAUCUUGGUCACCAUCUUACUUUUAUUGGUUUGUUCUCAAAUUAUAUUAGUUUUUACAGUAACAUUUUAUUAAAUCACUUAUGUAUCUUUUUCAAAAAAAAAAAUAAAAAAAAAUCACUGAUUAAUUAAUAAAAAACUUAGGCUAAAUGUUGAUAGAACGUAUAUUUUUAGUACUUUAUGUUAGUUCAGGUACUUAGUAGUUCAAAGUUGUUUAUUUAUACAUUUUUUUUAAGAAAGCAAUUGUUUCUUAAAUACGAUAAGAACAUAUGAAAACACAAUGCCUAUCAGAAAUUAUUAAGUAAAAAAUUAAGAUUUUUAAUUAACCAACGUAGGUUUUUUCUAGGUCUACAAACAUGACAGCUUAAAGAAGAUGGACAGCAACUUAAAAUUAAAAUUAAAAUAAUAAUAAAAGAAAUUCCUCAACUUUGUCCUUUAUUUUAAAAAUAUUUUUAUUCUUUCGAAAGGUAGAAUAUUAUCUUUGACUUUGAACAUUACAAAACUGUUCUUUAGAAAUAUAUGUGUUAAAAUAUCUUAUUGAAGUUAGAACCUGAAAUAGUAUAUGUUGAUGACUGAGAAUGAUGCGGCAGUAUUAUCUUUGAGGAUGGCCUAAUUAAACAUUGUUUUUAUCACUUUUUGCAUUAUGCUCAACAUUUUACUAACAUUUCUUAUCUCUGAAGUAUAUAUUUUUUUACAGAAAAAAAAAUAAUGUUACGUAUGUACAUGUUAAUCUUUCUUCGUUUUCUUUAUAAGAAACCAGAAGGCACAAAACACACAAAACACAAUUACAAAAACUUUCUAUAGCUGAAAGAUGAAAUGGGAAUAUGAUUCCAGUGAAGAAAUUUAGAGAUAAUACGACUUUUGAUAAUGCAUUAUAAAUACCAUUCGCUUUCACUACUUGAUGAUACAUAUCAAACAAAAUCUUAAAGCCACGUCUAACUAAAACCCUAAAGCCAACCACAAGAAUGGAAGAAAAAAGUCUUUUUGUUGCACUCCAAAAGCCUCUGUCAGAGAAGGAAGCAAACCUUCUGCUCGAGAUGCGCGAUGCCAACGGCGAUGGAGUUCUCGAUAAGCAGGAACUGAUGGCUGACUUGACACACACUAACAAAAAACCCUCCACAAGCUUACAAGACAUGAAACUCACAAGGGAAGAGAUCAAAGAAAUUUUUGUAGGUUUCGACAUCGAUGGCGAUGGUUUUCUAAGUAAGAAUGAGGUAAUACAGGCCUUCGGUAUGAUGGGUUCAUGCUCCCCGAUUAUGAAAGCUCACUACGCCAUGGCUUGUGCUGAUGAAGAUGGCGACGGUCGCAUUAGCGAGCCUGAACUUAAUAAACUCAUUGAUUAUGUUCAGAGAACCAUUAACAGGAGGAGGUUAAAUUAAUUAGCUAUGAGACAUAUUCAUAUGUAUGUAUGUACUGCUACAUAAUAAAUUUAAAGUUUCAAAAUAACUUUUGAAUUUAAUGUGGGUGGAGGAUUGAACUCAAAUUAAAACUAUUAGAUUAUUGGCAGGUUAAAAAUAGCUUCUAGAUCCUAAACCUUUCUAAAAGAAAUAAUUGAGUUAUAUAAAUGAAAAUAUAGUUUGAGACAAUUUAUUAGUUUGGUGUACUUUUGAAUUUGAAGCAAUUUGGUUCCCUAUACUUAUAUUUGUAAUAAUUUAUGAAAGAAGAGUUGUUGAUAUCCACUUUCCCUUCCUUUCAGCUCCCUCUCUUUUUCCCUUUUGGCACCAUCACCACAGUUCACAUUAGAGCAUUCACCAAUCGUUCACCCGUUGGAAGCGAUCAUGCGCCAUUCGUCCUCAUUUAUCAGCCGUUUUUCAUCACCGUCAACUUUCGUAGGCCACUUAUUGUUGGAUAGAAAAUUAUUGCGAAUAUCACGUGACUAUAAGAAUAUAUUGAUUAUAGUAGUUUAUCGCUAAUAAAUUUCGUUAUAUUUAUCAAAUUUUUGUAGAAUAUUGUCGUACACUUAAAGUCCCAAAGUUGCUGGGCUGCUGCUUUGUUAUGGCCCAAGUGGGAAUAAGGGUUUGAUCCGAUCUGAAUUUUGGUGGCAGGUAUAAAGGAGGGAGAAGAAUAGGAAACAUGGAGGAAUUGCACAUGGGUGAUGUAAAUUCAAUAAUCCUAAUUUCAAUUGUAUAUCCUUUGAUUUUUUGAAAUCAGAAUUGAAAAUCUCUCUCUAAACUCUGCUCUUUCCAUUAUGAUUUUUGGAAUAAAAUUACGAACAACUCAAACAUGGAAAUAGAGGAAAGGCCAUGAUGUACGUGGUUGGGUUAAAUGAACCCUAACCAUAAGUGGAAGAUUUAUUCUUUUGAAGGCUACAAGAAGAUAUAUGGUUUAUUUAUUUCAUUUUUUUUUUUUUAAUUUUACAGCAAUGAUCUAUUUGUGUAUGGGUAUUAUCUGUUGCAAUGAAACUCUUAGGAAAAAUAAAGCCGUUGGAAUCAAAUUAAAUAUUCUUCACCAUGUAUACAAAGUGAAGACAUUUUACCACGGGUGACACAUACAAUAUUGCAGAAAACCAAAGUACAACAACAAACAACAUACAUGGCUCCAUUGUAGAGCAUAAACCAUAUUGACCCAAAACCAUACGAGCAAACACAUAGACAUAAAUAAUACAAAAUAGAUUACUUGGUCGACCGACUUGAUUUAUCAUCCUGCCGUUGCUUUGCAUUAUUAAACCUCAUGACAUGGUCGACGAGUUUCUCCAACUCGUUUUCAUCACAGAAACCAUCACCAUCUUUGUCAGCAAAAGCCAUCCCAUAGAAAGCUUUCUGGAAUGAAUUGAUCAUAAACCCCGUAGAGCUUAGGGCUUGCAUCACCUCUUGAUAUUUUUCUUCUAGUAGUUCAACAAAUCUUGCCUCAUCUUACUCCUUAACUAAAUCAUCUCUCUAACCUUUUCCUAUUUUGGUUUUGAUUUUUGAUUUUACCUUUUUCAACUUGUUAUUUGAAAAUAAGCUAUUAGCUACUCUCAAGCAUUCUCAUUCUCAUUCUCAGUUGAAAAUACAAUGGCUAAAAACUUAACAAAUUUAGGACUACAAGAAGCAAGAUGAUAUUUUAACUUUUUUAAAAAAGAAACAUUUAUUUUUCCAAUUACUAUAUGUCGAAUCCCACUAAAAAUAAUCCAAAGUGAAAGAGAUGAGAUAUAUCUAAUUUCCCCCUCGCAUUAUUAUUCAAGAGUCUCUAUCAAUGCAUGGGAUUAUUCUAGUUGGGUGGAAUUGAAUGUGGCCUUCUACUUCUAGAAUCUAACCUAAUAAUCUUGACUUACUUCCAUUUGGUCCUUACGAAUUCGAUUCCACAUAAUCAGAAGGUGACGACAUCAUAUCCAUAUCUAUCAUCCUUGUUGAUUCUUUUAACAUUAAAUAAAGAAAAUUUGUAAAAAUAGCAAAAUAUAUAUAUAUAUAUGAUAAUAGAGUCCAUGUCAUUUUACAUUUUUAAAAUUACAAAAACAACAAAUUUAAAAAUAGUGAUUACUGUCAUAUUUGCAAAUUUUGCAAUAUGCAAAAAAGAGGUGUUAAUUAGCUGUUUUUUCCUAUUUUUUUAAUCAUUUAAUGCAAUUUUUCUUAAAUAAAUUAAAAUUUUGUUUAUUUGUCACAUAGUUGGUAGUUUGUUGGUUCAGUUUUACUCUUUGAUUUAAACUAAAAGUGAUUAGACUUUAAAUGGAUAUUUGUUUUAGGAUAAUAAUUGAGUGCAUGUCCAGUAGCACCUAUCUCUAUGGAUACUAUCUUUAUUAUUCACAAAAAAAAAAGAAAUAAAUUAUUGUAAAAAACGCAAACAAAUUGUUAUAUGUCAAACAAUAUGGUUGAACUAUUUGGUGAAAUAUAUACAUGUAAGUAUUAAUUUUGUUAUUUUGAAUUUAUUCAGUAUAGUAUAAUAAAAAGUGUAGAAAAUUCAAAUAGGUAUUUGAUAAUAUACAUACAUAUAUACAUAUAUAUUGUAGAUACCCUAUUUUGUCAUAUAUUUAUUUAUUAUAAAAGAAAAAGGAAAAGAAAAAGAAAUUAAAUUUGAAUUUGAAUUUGAAUUUAUAUUUUAAAAACAAUAAUAAUAAUAAAAUAAAUACAUUUAAAAAUAAAUAAUAAAAAUAAAAAUAAAAGGUUUGUUUCCUUCCUAUUUUUUCUCAAAUAUCCAUUUUUCUUCGUCAUCACUCUCCCACUUUCUCCCACUCUAUCACUUUCUCCCACUCUUCCACUUUCUUCCUAUUUUUCUGUAGUCUGCACUCCAUCUCGUGAUCUAAAAAAACAAUGGACCUUGCCCUAUAAAAAGGAAAGAGAAAAAAAGAAAAGGGAGAAUUUUUUUUUAUUAUUAUUGGAGGAAAAAAGAAAGAAGAUCAAGAGGAGUAACCUUUGGCAUUUAAGGGCAGAAGUUUUUUUUUUUUUCCUAUUUUUAUUCUUGUUUGAUGAUACUGCUUUUAAUUAUGAACUAUCGUGUUCAUCAUUGUUCAUCAUUUUACCGUCAUUUGACAUGUUAAUUUAAUUAUUUGUAUUUUUUUUAAUACUAAGCAUUCUAUCUUCCGUUCUAUAUUAAUUUUUUUUAUUUUUUUAAAUAUUGAGCUGUUCUGUGUUAUUUUUUUUUUUGUUGGGUAUCCAUUGUGUUAAUUUCCUUUUAUUAUUGGGCAUCCACUCUAUGUUAAUUUACUUUUAUUAUUGGGCAUCCACUCUGUGUUAAUUUUCUUUUAUUUAUUGGGCAUCCAUUCUGUGGUGAUUUCCUUUUAUUAUUGGGCAUCCAUUCUGUGUUAAUUAAUUAGCAUCAUGUAUUUGUAUUUGGAUACUCAUUUUUCAUUGGCACCCAUUUUACAGUUAAUUACUUAUAUCCAUAUGACAACAUGCCUUAAUAAUUAUGCAUAAUUAAUCAAUUAACAUCAUGUAUUUGGUAAUACUCAUUCUUCAUUGGCAUCCAUUUUACAGUCUUUGUUAAUUACUUUAUCCAUAUAUCCAUAUGGCAGUACUGCGUUAAUAAUUACUGCUAUCCAUAUAUUAUCAAUGUUAAUAAUUAUCCAUGAUAUAAUUAAUAUUUGGCAACACCCAUUUUUCAUUUGGCCUAUUAAUUAAUUAGCAACUUGUAUGUGACAUUUUCACCCACUCAUUCUAAUUAUUUGCAUGAUGUAUUAAUUAAUCAGUAUGCAUCUGGCUAUAAUUAUUUGAUAUUCAUUUUGGUGUGAUUAUUUAUUUGCAAUAUUAUUUAUUUGCAUAUCGGGUCAAACCUACUUUGGCAUUCAACUGUUAAUUAUUAUUUGAUAUCCAUUUGGCCCUCGUUUAAUUAUGCAUUAAUCAAUUAUUUUGUAUCAUGAAUUAAUCAAUUAUUUUUUGCAUCUUGCAUGUGUUGUAUUAAUUAAUUAUCUUUGCAUGUGUUGUAUUAAUUAAUUAUCUUGCAUCCUACAUUAAUAUCUUUUACAUUUUGCAUAUAUUAUCAAUGUAUUUAUUUUAUCUCAGCAUAUUACACUUAAGUAUUUUUCAAAUUUCAUAAUGUUUUGUCAUUGUUAUUAUUCAUUUUUUUUAUUUAAAUAUAAUAAUGUAAAUUGGAGAAAAAGUAUUGUUUUCUUAUGGAUUUUAUAAUUUAAAAACCAUGAAUACAUGAAAUUUUUCCGUUUGAAAUUUAAUUAAUAGAUUGUUUUUAAAUUAACACAUUUCAUAUUUUAAAUGAGACUGAGUAGUAUUUUCUAUGAAUUUAUUAAUUCUAGAUAUAUGAAUUUUUUCAUUAAACACCUAUGAUAGAGAUUAAAAUAUCAAGUUUUUGGUAUCUUAAUAUUCUUAAGGUGAAUAAAAAUAUUUUAAAACAAAAAUAAACUUAAUUUUUCUAAUGGCUCCUAUGCCACCCAUAAUUAUCAAUUCAUGCUUAGGUUUUACUUUCUUCGAUAUGAAUUGAUAAACAUGAGACAUUUAAACAAAACCUAAAUAAAAACUUUGUUAUGUGAACCCUUAUAUUUAAUUUAAAAGAUAAAAUUGGGUAACCAUUUUGUGGGUGUUGUAGGGUGCUAACACCUUCCCUACACACAACUGACUCCCGAACUUAAAUCUCUGAAUUUACGUAGACCAUUCUUUUUUUUUUUUUUUUGGUGACCAAUCACACCUUAAUAUGAUUGGUGGCGACUCCAAAAUUAUUUAUUAAAAUAAAAUAAACGGGGAGGUCGGCCGCUCCGCGUAGCGAUCACGUCGCGACAUAUAUAUAUAUAUAUAUAUCAAACAGGGCUCAUUUCCUUUCAAAAAGAGUUAUGUAAUGACAUGAAACAUCACAAAUAAAAGUUGGAAAAAGAGGAAUAGAAAAAUUAGAAAAGAAAAGAGAAGGAUUAUCACCUUUUGUAAGAAUAUGGUCCCUUUUGUCCCUUUCGAAAGAAAUGUAGGAACCUAUUUUCCUCAAUUGUUAAAUUUCAAUAUAAAUAAUCAAAAUGAUUGUAAAUUAAAAUAUUUAUAAAUAUAAUAUAAUUAAAUAAUCUCAAAAUUUUCUAUAUAUAUUUUUUAUAAUUAUUUUAGUUUAUUUUAUUAUAUUUGGAAUGUUAUUUUUUCUUCCAUUAUUAAUUUUUUAGGUAAUUAAAGUGAAAGAUUUGAUUCAAGUACUAGUAAUUGCAAGGUUUUUAUUAGCACCCAUCGCUGGAAUUGUUUAAAUAUAAAAUUUAUAUGUGAAAGGAUUAAUUAAAGAAUAAACUAGUUUAGGGUAAUUGACUCACGGAGUGAUCUUCAUCCUACGUAUAAUAGUGGUGUUUGAGCAACAAUGUUGCUAGCUAGCUAGCUUGUGAUCUCUAUCUAUGUCUUCAUAUAACAUUAAUACUUCUAUUGAUCUCAAUUUUCCUCUAUGCUUCUAUCCGUUUAAUUAAACCAAUCUUCGUGUUAGUUUAGAAUAAUCAUAAGUUUUGAAUUAAUUAAUUUUUAGUGAUGACUUUGUUUCUCCACCCCUCACAAAGUUGAACUAAAAAAAUUGAUUAAUAACCGGGGUUAUCAGUCCUUUAUUUUCUUCAAAAUAAUAUUUACUUAUAUUACCCUAAUGUUUAAAAUUAUAUCCUGAAAACCAUGUGAAUAACACUUAAAAGAACAAAAAGGCAUUGUUUGAAAAAAAUUAUUUAAAAUAUAGAAUCUUUUGAUUUUCAAAAGCAAAGAUUCAGUAAAGAACAACUUUGGAGAUCACUAUCUUUUAGAUGUGAUGUGUGGAAUAAUCGUCCCUGAAGUGGGAGUGAUACAGAUGAUAUACAAAAGAAAAUAUCAGAAAGCACUAACAAUUAAUGAUGUCUUUAAUACUCUUCUAGUGAAUCUAAUUUAUUUCCAAGGACUCUACCAUAUGUGAGGAAUAUUUGACUGCAUCCAUUUUUACGAAGUCUACUUAAUUGUAACUUGUCCUAUGAUAAAUAUUAGUAUUACACAAUCCACAAUCAAUUAGGCCUAGUACUUGGGAAGUUCUCCAAAGAGCAUAUACAGUAGCAAAGUAUUUGAUGGAUGAUAAAUAGAAAUAGGUUAGAUUUUUUUUCUAGGGUUUGCAAUUGAAGAGUUAAUUUCUUUGAGGAACAAUAUUCACAAAGCAAGAGGGAUCAAGAGAUACAUUAAGACAUCUAAACUAAAUUGACACAUCUCUAACACUUUCAACAAAUUCUAUAACUGAAAGAUGUAUUAAUUACAAUGAGAGAGAACAUAAUGAAAGCCAGAAGGAAGCUUGGGACAGUACAUAGAGUUAGAGCUAUACAAGACGAAGGCUUCCAAUUUAGGAAAAUUUUGACAAGGAUAACAGUAUAUCUAAUUUUUAAUAGGAAUGUAAAUUUGAAAACUUGCAUACCCCUAAUAAUCUGUAGAUACAAAUUUAAGUACUUUUAAAAUUUAAUUUUAUGAAUCAAUUAUACAUUAAACUGCAGAGAGCCAUACUAAACACUUUUCAAAACCGUUACCCAGUGAAAUAAUUAAUUCCAAGAACCAUAAUAAUUAAAUAUGGAGUAAUUUUGUAUAAUAAUCAAGUUGAUGAUUGAUUUGUUGUGAAAUAUUUAUGCUCUUGUCUUGUCAUUUCAAAGUACUGUAGCUUUAAGUGGAUGGUUCUUUUUCCCUCCGAUGCAAAUUCCAAAUUCCAAAUCAACUCCAAAUAUCAUAAAUUUAUUCUUCGACAAAUAAAGAAAGAGUACUAUAUAUGAUCAUAAAAUUAUUUGAAUUGGAAUCAUUCAAAUUGUUUGUACUAUAUAUGAUCAUAACACAGUUUUUUUGCAUAGGCUACACUCAUCUCUACCUUAUUAUUAGAAGGUAACCUGGUUAUCAUUGAGCAUGUGAAAGGUAAAUAAUGUAUUUAAUAUAAAAAUCAAGAUCUCUCUAAUUUUUCUUCGACGUGAUAUUCUUUAACCCUAGUUAGUGGGGUACGCUAAGAAAAUGUAGUAUAAAUACACAAAACCACGACCACCAAAGCUCACAAAACAAAACCCCCAUUCCUCCUGAACCUCCUUCUCCAAAGAAAAAAGAAUGGCGUUCCGUUCAGUGAACAAUCUUCAAUUCUGGAAGGAUGACAUGAGGAGAGCUUACAGAGAGAAAGUUGGGAGUUCAAGAAGAAGGCGUAUCAAAAUCCGCGACAUCAUCGACGUCUUAGAAAUCGUCGGACCCAUCAUCCCUCAUUUCUUCGGUAGUAACUCUCUCAGUGCCGGUCCCGACAACUACAGUAAUUAUGGUAAUAACCACAUGAAUGGUAGUUAUGGUCGUCGUGACGAUGACAUGCAUUCUUUCCACUGUGGCGGCGGCGGUGGUGGCCGGUUCGGUCUUGACAUGGGUUCUGGUGAUUAUGGGAAUGAAAGCAGGCACUACGGUGGACGUGGAAAUGGUAACAGUCAGUACGGGAUGAGGAUGGCUCUUGCUGAAGACUAUUAUGAUCGUGAAAUCACCGAGGAAGAGUUUGAGAGGCUUCUUGACUUUGCUGAGCAGAGUCAUAACAAUAAUUCCAGAAUGUACUGAUCAAAAUAUAAUAUAAAAAUUAUAUGUGUGGGACAAAAUAUAAUAAUAUCAACCCCUUCCUUCUUGUAAUCUACACCACUUCUACUCUAUUAUCCUUCUAAUAAAAUUUAAAAAAGUAAUAAUGGACUGCCUUGCUACUCCUUUUUCUUUCUUUUUCAUAAUAAAAAAAAAGUUACUUGAGGUUUUUCUUUCGAUAAAAAUGUUAGAAAUUAAAAAUUUGCAAGUGUUAAGUAAUAUAGGAUUUAUAAUGGCAGUGAAUAUUAUUAGAUAAUAUGAUUAUAUGAAAUUGGUUUUAAGUUUAUCUUAAAUUUAAUUUAGCAUUGUAUUAACUUCAACUAAUUUAGAUUUAUUGAACUUAAUUAAAUUUGAAAGACUAAUUUAAAUUUAAAAACCGUUAGCAAAUAUAAUAAUUAAAUUUAAAGCAAUAGAAUUUAUCACACUUGCCUAUAUUUACAAUUUACCAUUAUUUACCAUUUCUUUUUAAUUAUUAUUUCUAAAAUAUUUUUAUAAUAGUUAUCCUAAAAUUUAUAUAAUAGAUGUCAUUGAAAAUUCAUCUAAAAAAAUUUAUACACCCAGAAGAGUUCGGCCCAUUGAUUGAAGCAGCCUUCUUCCGAUCAUGUUUAAUUUUAUCACUCUUUUCGCCUAAUUAUAUAAGCAUUUCGUAUGAGGAUGAGGGAAAGACAUUAUUCAUUAAAAGCACCUGCAUCAUAUUAGGGAGAGAGUAAAGUUAUUUUUCGUUUUUAAAGAAAUAAAAGUCUUUUUUUUUUCUGUUGAGGUGUCAAUUAGAGAUUUCAUAUCACUUGUAGAAUACGAUGAGGAUGCUAAAAAUGUAUUAAUGUAGUUGAGAGAUGAUUUGGAUGCUUCUGGUGAUUCUAUCAUUUAGUGUCUUUGUUGAAAAAUAUAUGAGGAUUUUAACUUCUUAACGUUAAACUAGAAAAAUAUCCUUAAAUACUAUGGACUAAGAGAGAGGGUCAAUGGGCUUUUACAUGCCAAAUAUACAAACAUGAGAGAACUAAAUAACAUAAAAAGAAAAAGGAAACCGAGGAUAUAUAUAUAUAUAUAUAUAUACGUGAGGACUAUGAACACCGAUGAACAACCUUUGAUUUUCCAGCCACGGUGUAUACUGUAUAACUUGUUUUGUUGUUAUGUAUUAGACUUAUUUAUUUUUCAAAAUAUUUAUGUAUAAUUGCUUUUAAGAGAAAUGUAGUUGAGAAAUGUAUAAUUAUUUUUGAAAAUAUAUAUAUUCAAACAAGUGAUUUGAUAUAUAUAACAGACGAUGCUUUUAGGAAACUUUAGCAAAGUUUAUUGCAUAAAAGAAAAUAGAGUAUUUUUAUAGCAUCUCUAUCACUUCAGAAUAAAAUAUGACAGCAUGAUCUUCCGCGUGGUUUAAUUUACAAUUUGGAUCAACAUUGAAACUUCAAGUUUCGUAAGAUUGUAGGCAAGGGGUUACGACUUGAUCAUAUUUUAAUUUAACAGUAUUGGUGGAUCUCAUGAAGUUUUGAAAAUGUCAACACACGCUGUAUUAUUUCCUUAAUUAAAUGCAUUUAAUUAACACAUUUCAUUAAGUUUUGAAAAUGUCAAACAAUAUUCUUUCAAUUCAUAUUAGCUCAAAAACUUCACAAUCACACUUAGUGAGUUUUCUAAAAUAGCUUGAAUUCGUUAAUUAAAUAAAGGGAAAUUAUCAAACCAGAUUAAACUUUUUUAUGUCAACAGAGUGAUUUAAGAUAGAGCAUGUAGUUUAGGGCUGUUUAAAAAUAUAUAUUUAUUAACUUCUUUGGUACUUAAAAUUUAAAAACAAUUAUUUAACUCAAACGGGUUGUUUUAUUUAAUGUUUUAUUAUACUUCACAUUUUUUUUUUUUAUUUGCCAAUUCAGUUGAUUUUUUUUAUUCUAAUUAAGUGGCAGGGCCUCUUUAUAAACCUUAUUAAAAGGACUGAUACUAGAAUUUACUUUUUGAAAAAAAUACGUUGGAUCAGUAGGUGCACUCGGACAUUUCUAUAGAUAGACACCCGCUUAGCAUCCAGACACUCCACUAUGUGCAUCUAGACAAAAUACUAAGACCAAAAUUAGACAUAUAUCAAAGUGGAAUCAAGAAAUAAACCAUUAUAUUCUUGGAUUAUUAUAGUUUGAUUAAAAUAAUUUAUUUUUGUGGUGUAGAUUAUUUUAGUUUGAGAUAUAAUAGUAUGUGUUCAAUAUAGACUAUUUUAGUUUGAUAAGAAGUAAAUAGUAAACAGUAAAAAAAAAUGAUAAAUAGUAAAAUAGUAAAAAAUGUAGUAAUUAAACAAAAAAAUAUUUUAACAAAUUGAAAAUUUGAAAUAACGUUUACCAUAACUAAUUGAAAACUCUUAAAUACUAUUUAGUGGAAGAAAAAAGGUAGCAUGUUUGGUGCAUUCAAACAAACUCAAACCAAAUAUCUCUCCAAUCAAUUUUCGUACAAUUCUCUCUCCUUUUCUCUUACUCUUCUCUACCUCGUAGAAUCAAGAGAAAUUGUAUUAGAUGACAAGAAUAUUUAAAAAAAGACAAUAACUGACACUUUUUUUCUUUUGUAUAUUAUGAAUAUGACAAAUAUGAUUGGUAAUUAGUGAUACUAGAUAAUUAUCAAUUUUCAAAAUUUAUUAUUCUAAUUUAGAAAAUAUAGUGAAACGAAUUCUAUAAUUAUAAUUAUAUAUAUAUAUAUAUAUAUUUUGUUAUUUUUUUUGGAAGGAUUCCUAAAAUUAAAUAUAAUAUUCUCUCUCCAAUAUUCUCUCCCUUUAUUAAAUACUAACAUGUGUCCUGCAUGUUAAUUUUUUUAAUUACAAUUAUUUCCCAUCUAAGUAAACAUAUAUUAUUUAUAUUUUAUUGGCUUUUUUAAAAAAAAUUAAUUAUUCUUAAAAUAUAAAUAAAAAGGAGACAUCACCAACACUUAUUUUUACAUUGACAUAAAAUAAAUAAUUUUUAAUUAAACAUAAUAAAAAUAAAAUGUAAAAUUACACCUAUUUAAAAAAACAUUUUACUUUAUCCAUCAUUUCUCCGAUAUUUAAAGUCACGAUGUCAUAAAACAUAUUAUAUCAAACUAUUUCUAUCAAUUAGACAUAUCAAAGUUUAAGGAAAAUUCUCCUAAAAAUUGGCAAAGUAUUACAAUUUCUCCUAUCCGUGGUAGGAUAUCCUUUGAUAAAAUAUUGCUUUUUUUUAAAAAAAAAAGAUUAUUUUCAAAUCUAUUUAGAGAGUUUCACAUGGUAAAGAUAACAUUUUGUCUCUAAUAGAAAUUCUAGCCAUUGAAGUUGGUGAGUAAGGAGACUUUGGAGGUUUUACUUAGCUACUACAAGAAAUUAAGUUUUCACUCACGUAGAAAAAACGUUAUUAAAAUAUAAAAGAACAUUGUUAAAAAUAUUAAGAACAUCAUACCAUUCGUUGCUAAGAUUGUUGUAAUAUUCUGUAGCUAAAAAUUUCAGCUACACAACAAAUGCACACGCCGCAAAAUGUCUGCUUUUAGUGAUAUUUGUGCAUUACUAAAUACUUUUAGUAACAUAUAUGUUUUGAUACUAUUUAUCUUUUAUAGUGACCUAAAUUAAGUUAAUUUUUUAAGAAAAUUUAAUUUUCAAUCUUUCUUUACAUAGUUUUUACCUCUCUUAAAUAUAAUCUUAGAAGGUAUUUGGAAUGCAAAAAGUGAGUUAUAUAUUAUAUAAUUUUAGGUUAUUAUAAUUUGCUUAGAAUAGUUUAUUUUUUAGACGUAAAUUAUUUUAAAUUGAGUUAUAAUAUUAUGUGUUGAUGUGUAUGCUAUUUUAGUUUUAUAAAAAUGUAGCAAACAAUAAAAAGAUGAACGAAUGUAAAAUAGUAAAAAAUGUAACAAGUAAUUGUUACAUUAACGAAUUGAGAAUUUUCAAAUAAUAUUUAUCAUUCAAUUUUCAAUAGUAUUGUGUGGAGCAAUAAAUAGUUAUUAUAAAGUUUGAUAAUGUUUGCCCCAUAACCACAUUUUUAUGUAUUAAAAAAAACUGAAAUCAAAUAUCUCUCACCUCUUAUCUUCCGAUCUGUUCCAUAAAAUCAAAUAUAAUAUUUUCUCAUUCCUCACUUUCUUUCUCUCUGCAUUCUCUUUUCGUUUAUUAAAUAUUAACAUGUGUCGGGCAUGUUUAAUUUUUUAUUUUUAUUUUUAAUACACCAUAUGAUAGAUAUCGGUUUUUUAAUACACUAUAAAAUAAACUAAUAAACUUGUGGAAUUUUUUACUAAUUAAUUAAUUAUGACUAUUAAUUUUAAUUAACUAUUGAACAUUAUUAAGGGUACAAAGAAAUUAUUAUCAUCAAUUACCAACUCUAUAUAAAGACUCCUUCCACAAAGAAAAACUCAGGCACAAAUAAAUUGUUAUCAUAGAUAUCAGAGGUUGGCCAUUUGGCAAAGUACGCCCGCUCUCGAAUAUAUCAUUGAAAUGGCAACGUCGAGGUCUCAAUUGAAGUUGACUAGGGACGAGGUUAGGGAGAUCUUAGAAGAACAUGAUGUGGACGGUGAUGGUCGCCUGACUAAGCAAGAGGUGAUGCAAGCCCUGAACUCCAUGGGUGUUAUGAUGUCGUUUCAGAAAGCUCACUAUGGUGUUGCUUUUGCUGACAAAGAUGGAGAUGGUGCAGUCGAUCUAGAAGGUGGUGAGAUUGAUUCGCUUGUUGACUAUGUCAUGAGGUUUCAGGCCUCAAAGGACGUCCCUAAAGAUGCCAGCCCAGAAGCCUUGCCAUGAUGGUGAAUCGAAUUGUGUAAUAAUCUUAGCUUAUUUCUAUUUUUUAUGUGUUCAUCUUCGUCGUCGUACCUGUUUUUCAGCCCAUAUUGUUUAUGUUACAAAUUGAGCUAUGGUUAUGCUCAAAUUGACAAUUAUCCACGCAUGUUUGUUGUCUACAAUAUUAUUGUGUCAUCGGUGAUAAAAAUGUCUUUCUUCUUGAAUCUACGGAUUAUUAUAUAAUAAACAUCCCUAAACUAAUAUUAAAAUUGUCAAAUUUUUCUGUUUCAUUAUUUCAUUUCAUGCAAACGUGUGAAUUAUUGUUUUAACUUUACACCGUAUAAAUAUAACUAUUAAUUAAAUAAAAUCUAACAUAAAGUUUACAAACAUUUACAAUCAGAUAAAGUUUAGUACAUAGAAGAAUAUUUUGAAUAUGUUAUUUAGUAUUCCGAACACCCAAAACUUAAGUGGUAUUCGAAUACUUAUUUUAUUUAUGAUUUUAACCAUAAAAUUAAGAGAAUUGUAAUAUAUAAACUCAUAAUUCUAAAGAGUGCUUCUUAAUUUAUAGUUUGAUAAUUUUUCUUUUUUAAAAAAACUUGCUAUCUCCCUGAAUUCAUGGAUCCGUGUACAACUAACACAUCAUUAAUCAACUAUAUAAUUGUAUCAAUUAUCUAUUGUUUACUUUUUUUUUUUUUUUGUUAAUUUUUUGUUGCCCAUUUCUUAACAUUGCAGGUAUAAAAUUGUAUUUGAUAACUGGCAAAAUUACAUGUUCAAAAUAUAAUAGAAAUGUUCUAAAUAAAUUAACGCCAUAAUGAACCAAUUAAAACAAGAAGUAACCAAAUAAAUGUGUUAAGACUUAAGAGUAUACAAACGGUAAAACACACCAUAUUAACAUUCUCAUGUAAGAAUACAAAUGUGUAUACAAAUCAAGGUCUUCACUGUUUGCAUAGCAUAAGCAACACCUCUUUGGAUUCAGACACAUGGUCUUACACUUUUUUUGCAUGACUUCUAUUGUAUUUAUUUUCCUAUGAAAAACUGUUCAGAGAAAGAUUUUUCAUUUCUUUGGAAUUGCUGAAGUCCAAAUUAUUUCGAAGAUUUUUUGGUGCUCGUUCCUUAGAUGAUGUCGUUGGGGGUCUUGUAAUGCCUUUUCUGCCGAGUCUGUGGAGAAAUCUCUGUUUCCAUUUUUUAUUAGAUUGGUGAGUUGGUGCCUUGCAGUGAGUUGUGUAUUGGAAGAAAGGAUUUUACAUUAUCCCAUAAAAUGAUCUCUCUAUCGUUUAAAAGCCUUCUAGGCUUUAUGUUCCAAUCAUUUGAGUUAGGAAGCCAGACUUCAUUUACUGCUUCAGUUUUUGAAUUGUGCAAAGCAUAAAGCCUUGGGUAGGAAAUGGCUAGGGGACUUUUAUCAUUCCAUCUACCAUACCAAAAGGAUAUGUUUUCUCCAUUGUUAAUUUCCCAUUUGAGGUUGCUUUCAAACCAUAAUUUGUUUUUGAUUAUGGACAUCCAAGGGGCCCUUGCACUACAAAACUUUCCAUGUGGUGGUAGAUCUCCAAUGUAGUUAGUCGAGUACUUAGCGCUGACGAUCUUCCUCCAUAAGGCAUUUGGUUAUGAUAAAUAGCGCCAUAGCCAUUUACAUAGGAGAGCAUUAUUUGUGUGAUUCAGCUUGGUGAUCCCCCAGACCUCCGUUUUCUUUUGGACUGGUGACAAUAUCUCAGUUGAUAAGAUGAGAUUGUGAGGACUUAGAGUUGUCAGAAUUUGAACCCCAAAGGAAGUUUCUCCAGAUUUUUCAAUCUUUUUUUAGACCAUUGAAGGAGCUUUGAAGACUGAAAGUUGAUAGGUUGGGAGGCUACAGAGGCUGGCUUGAAGAAGAGUGUACCUUCCACCUUUAGAGAGUUGAAAAUAUUUCCAACCGUUGAGCUUUUUUUGGAUUUUUAAGAUUAUAUUGUCCCAGAAACUCAACGAGUUUGGUUUACCACCUAAAGGGAUGCCGAGAUACAUUAUAGGGAGAUUUUCAGAAUUUAUUUUAUGCUCGUUUUUCACCACAAUGCAACGAGAAAUUGAGACAUUGAUCGGACUUAUUGUUGAUUUAUUUUUAUUGAUGGAUAGACGGGAAGCCUUUUCAAAGAGAUUUAGAGCACACCUUAAAUUUGUAAUGGCCUUAUCAUUGUCUUCAACAAAGAUCAGAAUAUCGUCUACAUGAAGAAUAUGGUUUAGGUUGCUGUCAUUUUUGAAAACCACACCUUGAAUGGCUUUGGAGGAAUUUAAAUGAUUCAAAAUUGCACUGAGGUAAUCUAGAGCCUAAGACAAACAUGAAAGGAGAAAGAGGGUCUCCUUGUCUUAGACCUCUUCUAGGCAGAAUUUUGCCUUUUUGUUGGCCAUUCAAUAUGAUUGAGUAAUGAGCUCUUGUGAUUCACGCUUUAAUCCAAUUUCUCCAAUGAAGCCGAAAGUUUUUCUUGAUUAGCAUGAAAUCGAUAGAUUUCCAGUUAAUUGUAUCAAAAGCUUUUUUCAGAUCAAUAUUGAUCACAAAACCUGUUUUUUUGUGCUAGUUUUCCAGUAGUCUAACCACUUCAUUGGCCAAAAGAAUAGCAUCUGUGAUUUGUUUGUGGUUCACGAAAGCAAAUUGAUUUUCCGCAAUUAUGCUUGAAAGCGUCUUUUUUAGCCUCUUAGCUAACACUUUAGCAACAAUAGCUAAGUAGUAAGAUUUAUGGGCCUAAAGUCAGCAUGAGAGGUGUAGGCCUUUCUUUAGCAAUAAGGGAAAUAAAUGUGUUGUUGAUGUUUUUGUUUAUUACUCCUUUUGUAUGGAAAUCAUUGAAAAACUCCAUGAUAUCAUUCUUUAGUAAGUACCCGAACUUUUAAAGAAUUUCAUUGAAAACCGUCUAGUUUGGUCUCGAUGAUUGUUGUUCAUAAAAUCUUACAUUAUCAAUUUAAUCCAAAAACUUAAAUAAUAGAUAAAAGUAAAUAUAAUAUAUAUAGAAAUAGUUAUAAAAUAUACAAUUAAAGUUAAAAUAAUUAAAUAUACCACCAAAUUUUUUUAAAAUUAUAAAUAUAUAUAGAUGUUGCCGAUCUAUAAUUAUAAAGUAAUUAAAUGGAUAGAAACAAUUAGACAACACUACGUACAACGUAUUUUUCAAUUGCAUUUAUUUUCCAGCCUUCACCCAAUAGUCUUACAUUAACUAUAAAAUAAUUUUCUAACUAAAUUUUAUAUUUGUUUUGUUCAACCAUCUUAAUUAUUAUUUAUUAUUUUUUUUAUCAAGAAAACAGUCUAAAUUUAUUAUUCCUUCUAGAGACGAAGGUGUUAAAGAUAUAUAACUUCUACGUGUGAUAUACCAAUAUUCCUUGAUCUCCUAGACUCAUCAUAAAGUUUGAAAAAAUUAUUUCUUAAAUUUAAAUUAAUAUAAUCUCUUUAUAUUUACCAAUUCAACUAGUUACGACUUAGACUUUUUGACUAAUAAAUGGAAGGUUGAAAAAUUUUAACUUUAAAAAAAUUUGAAAUUGAGAAAACCCAAGAAUAAUUAACAGAAGAAAAAACCAUAGACCAAAAAUAAAUUUAAUUAGUAUUUAAGCUUAUGUUAUUAAUUGUAAUUAAUUUUUUUUAAAGGAACCCUAACCAUGUUUCUCAAUCUUUCUCUUCAUAGUCUUUGUCUCUUUCAAACGUUAGAAGGUGUUUAGGGACAAAAAUUGAUUUAUUAUAGGUUAAGGGUGUGUUUGGUUUAGAUUAUAAAGUGUUUAAUUUUGUCAAAAAAGAACUAUUAUGAAAAAAAUGGUAGUGUUUGGAAAAUUAAAAUAAAUGCAUUUUAUAAAAAUUCAUUUAUAAAAUAAUCUAUUUUGGAGAAGUCUUUAAAAACCAAAUUCACACGCAGAAAAGUCUAUAAUCAAACAUCAAGUGUUUAAAUUUUAAACUCAUUUUAAAAAAGUGUUUAAAAAAAAUGUAUCAUUGAAAAAUAUUUUUUUUAAUUCAAUCCAAAUAAAUACUAAAAUUAUUAUAGUUUGUGUGUGAGGCGUACAUUAUUUUAGCUUUAAUUAUAAGCUAGGCAAUUGAAGAGCAAUAAAUAACUCAUGUUUGCCCCCAAAACCUAUCACAUGUUAUUAUCAAGAUAACAUUAAAACCAAUAAGAUAAGACAGGUUUUCUAAUACCCUAUAAAAUAAACUAAUAAACUUGUGGGAUUUUUUACUAAUUAGUAAAUAAGUAUUAAUUAAUCAUGACUAUUAAUUUUAAUUAACUAUUGAACAUAAAUAUAUUAUUCAAACGUACAAAGAUCAAUUAUUAUCAACUCUCUAUAUAAAGACUUUCUGCAAAGAAAAACUAUCAUCAAUUACCAACUCUAUAUAGACUCUUUACGCAAAGAAAAACUCUAAGAAGACAAAGAAAUUAUUAUCAUCAAUUACCAACUCUAUAUAAAGACUUCUUCCACAAAGCAAAACUCUAAAGGCACAAAGAAAUUAUUAUCACAGACAUCAGAGGUUGGCUUUUUGACAAAGUACCCCGCUCUCGAUCGUAUCAUUCAAUGUCGGUGUCUAGAUCUCAAUUGAAUUUGUCGAGGGAUGAGAUGAUUAAGAAGAUUUUCGAAGAGUAUGACGUGGACGGAGAUGGAACCCUCACCAAGCAAGAAGUGAUGCAAGCCAUGGACGCCAUGGGUUUUAAGAUACUGUUCCAGAUGACUCAAUUUGGUAUUUCUUUUGCUGACAGAGAUGAUGAUGGUAAGGUUGAUCAAGAUGAGUUGGAGAAACUGAUCGACUGUGUCAUCAGGUUUCAAACCCGCAAGAGAGUCUGCAGGCGGCCGGUUAAUUCGACAGAAAAAACAAGAUGAUGAAUCGAGACCAUGUAAAUCUAUUUUCAAUUUAGGUGUUUGUUUGUUUUCAGUCAAUAAAUGGUUUAUGCUACCAUAAUUGAGCGCGUUAUGCUCAAAUUUAUGUGUUUGUUUGUUUGUUUUGUUAUACUUUUGUUGUCUGUAUGCAGAAUAUUGAUGUCUCUCCCUCUCUAAUUUAUGAAUAUAUAUGUUUCAACUUUACAUUAUCUAUAGAUACACACACUUCCGUAAUUUUGUUAAAUAAAUAGUUCAAAUUUGUAAACAAUGAAACAAUCGUGGCCAAAAUCACAGCAUCAAUCGCACAACCAGUCGUGUCAAAUUGUAGCUAUUAAUGUAAAUUCUGUAAAUUAGGCUAAUUACAUUACAUUAGGCUAAUUAUAUUACAUUCCUUAUUUAAUUUGGGUAAUUUAGCUAUUUAUGUAACAUUUGAUACUCUUGUAAAAUACAGAAAAUUCAUCAAUAAAAUACAAAAAGAAUAUUCCUUUCACAUGGUAUCAGAGCCAAAAACCCUAGAUCUACUUUAAUCGUCGUCGUCGCCGCCGACCGCCCGUGAACCGCCGCGUCUUCGUUAACUCCAAGAAGCGCUGCGCGCCAAAAAGUAGAUCUCUGUCCCGUGUGUUCAUCGCUCAGCACGUCGUUCCGUCACAGCCUCGGUGUCGCGCCAUUCCGUCAAGUCGUAGCCUUGGCGUCACGGCGUUCAAAUCAUCGCGUCGUCCUGUCCGUUCUGAAGCGCCAGUCGUCACCGCUGAGUUACAACCCCCUCUGCCGUUCCAAGCCGCACGCGACUCCUCUGUCUUCCCAAGCCGCACGCGACUCCUCUUCCAGUCGUGAGUGCAAGACGACGCCAUCCACCAGAUCUGACGAAUCUUCCAGGUGACUGUCUUCAUUCGUUUGUCUCUGCUCACAGCCGUGAACCUCUGUCCGUAAGCCGUGACCCUCUGUCCGUAUCCUGUCCAUUGUUGCAACCCAGCCGUGAAGACAAAUCCUGACCGCGAAUCCAGUCGUGUCCUUGCCGUCGCAACUCAGCCGCGACCCAGACAAGAAGACGCUCACCUGUCACGAAUCCCAGCCUUGCGAAUCCCAAUCGCAAAAUCCAGAAUCUGACGAAUCCAGUCACGAAUUAAUCGAAACUCAGCCGGAAAUUCUCAUUGUUAACCUCAACUGCGAAUCCAAAUGGAGAGAGACCAUGUCUUGAGACCCAUUGGUACAAUUCUUGAUGGUACAAAUUAUAUCACAUGCAUGGGCAAAUCAAAUGAAAAGUUUUCUUAUUGGAAGAAAACUAUGACGCAUUGUAACUGGUGACAUAACCAAACCAAUUGCACAAAACAAGGACAAGGAAGGAGAUAACAAAUUCAUUGAACACCUCGAAGAUUGGGACAGUAAUUAAAAAUCAUCAAAUUAUCACCUGGCUUGGUAACACCUCUAUUCCCGCUAUACAUGCACAGUUUGAUGCCUUUGAUGAUGCUAAAAAAUUAUGGGAUUUUUUGUCUACACGCUUCAAGUCUAUUGGUUUAGCCCAUUAUUAUCAACUGCACAAUACACUUGUAAAUCUAAAUUAGGAUAUUGGUCAGUCUGUCAAUGAAUAUUUGGCAGUUCUUCAACCCAUUUAGACUCAGCUUGACCAAGCAAGCAUCAGCAAAGAUCGUCUUCGCCUUAUUAAAGUCCUUAUGGGAAUACGCCCAGAAUAUGAAUCUGUUAGAGCUGCUUUACUACAUCGGAAUCCCUUACCCUCAUUAGAUGCAGCUAUUCAAGAAAUUAUGUUUGAAGAAAAGCGCCUUGGCAUCAAUUCUACUAAACAAUCUAAUGUUGUCCUUGCCAGCACAUACACUCCCAACAGAGCCUCAAAUAUGUUUUGGAAGAAUUGUAAGCUCUCUCGUCACAAAUUUAUUAACUGUCCUAAAAUAGAGUGCAGGUACUGCCAUAAACAUGGUCACAUUCUGGAUAACUGCCCUACCAGACCACCCCGACCUCCUGUCACUUCCACAAAAGAGAAAAAUUUUACUAAACCUGGUUCCUCAUCUGUUGUUGCUGCAACCUCGGAUGAUUCAUCCCUCAUUCAGAUAAGUGAUCUUCAGAGCUUAUUGAAUCAACUAAUUUCAUCAUCCUCUGCUCUUGCUGUCUCAUCAGGUAAUCGAUGGCUUCUUGAUUCUGCCUGUUGUAAUCAUAUGACCUCUGACUUUUCUCUUAUGUCUACUUCUAGCCCUACAAAAUCUUUACCUCCUAUUUAUGCUGCUGAUGGUAAUUGUAUGAACAUCUCUCAUACUGAUACCAUUGAUACUCCCAGUUUACAUCUUCCCCAUACUUACUGUGUUCCUAACCUGACCUUUAAUCUAGUGUCUGUUGGUCAAUUAUGUGAUCUUGGCUUAAAUGUUUCAUUUUCUCCCAAUGGUUGUCAGGUUCAGGAUCCGCAGACGGGACGGACGAUUGGAACGGGUCGCAAAGUGGGAAGAUUGUUUGAGCUCACAUCACUUCAGGUUUCAUCUCCUUCUUCCAUCUCUUCUUCAGUCACUUAUUCUGACACAUAUCAGUGGCAUCUUCGUCUUGGUCAUGCUUCUUCUGAAAAACUUCGUCAUUUAAUUUCUGUUAACAAUUUGAAUAAUCUUACUAAGUUUGUUCCUUUUAAUUGUUUGAAUUGCAAACUUGCUAAACAACCUGCCUUAUCUUUUUCUCAAUCCAUCUCUAAUUGUGAUAAACCUUUUGAUUUAGUGCAUUCUGAUAUUUGGGGUCCUGCCCCAAUUACUACUGUUCAUGGUUAUCGCUAUUAUGUUUUAUUCAUUGAUGACUACUCUCGAUUUACAUGGAUUUACUUUCUAAAACAUCGUUCUGAAUUAUCUCGCACAUAUAUUGAGUUUGCUAACAUGAUUCGCACUCAAUUUUCCUCUCCCAUCAAAAUUCUUCGCACUGAUAAUGCUUUGGAAUAUAAAGAUUCCAUCCUUCUUUCUUUUCUUUCCCAACAGGGCACUAUUGUUCAGCGCUCUUGCCCUCAUACCUCUCAACAAAAUGGACGUGCUGAGCGCAAACAUCGUCACAUUCUUGACUCAGUACGUGCCCUCCUUCUUUCUGCCUCUUGUCCAGAAAAAUUCUGGGGUGAAGCUGCCCUUACAUCAGUAUAUACAAUCAAUCGUCUUCCCUUCUCUGUUCUUCAAAACACCUCUCCGUUCGAAAGACUAAAUGGUAUUUCUCCCGACUAUUGUAAACUCAAAGUUUUUGGUAGUGCCUGCUUCGUUCUUUUACAUCCUCAUGAACACAAUAAGCUUGAACCACGUGCCCGUCUCUGUUGUUUCCUUGGCUAUGGCACCGAACACAAAGGAUUUCGUUGUUGGGACCCUCUUUCCAACCGACUCCGGAUAUCUCGGCAUGUUACCUUCUGGGAACACACUAUGUUCUCUCGUUUGUCCUCCUUCCACACCUCUUUCUCUAGUCCUCAAUCUUUCUUUACAAAUACAUCUGUCGACAUUUUUCCUCUCUCUGAACCCACCUUGGAUACUGAGCUUACACAAUCGCCACCUGCUACUCCUCUUCGUCGCUCUACCCGGGUAAGAGAACCUCCCACUCAUCUCAUUGAUUACCAUUGUUUUUCCACCAUUGUUUCCCUUGUUGAACCCACCUCUUAUCAAGAGGUCAGUACUAACCCAGUAUGGCAGAAAGCAAUGGAUGAAGAAUUACAGGCUCUUGAAAAGACGCACACUUGGGACUAUGUUGACUUACCUCCCGGUAAAAGACCCAUUGGUUGCAAAUGGAUUUACAAAAUCAAAACUCACUCUAAUGGAACUAUUGAACGUUAUAAAGCUCGGCUUGUUGCAAAAGGAUACUCACAAGAAUAUGGGAUUGACUAUGAAGAAACAUUUGCCCUUGUUGCCCGGAUGACAUCUGUUCGCAGCUUGUUAGUUGUUGCUGCUGCCAAACAGUGGCCUCUUCUUCAGAUGGAUGUCAAAAAUGCCUUUCUUAACAGAAACCUCUAUGAAGAAGUGUAUAUGAAGCCACCUCAGGGCACUUCUCCUCCUCCCAACAAGGUGUGUCUCAUUUGUCGCGCUCUAUACGAUCUAAAACAGGCUCCACGAGCUUGGUUUGCCACGUUUAGCUCCACCAUUACUCAACUUGGAUUUACCUCCAGCUCUCACGACAAUGCCCUUUUUACACGACAGACAACUCAUGGUAUUGUUCUUCUCCUUCUUUAUGUUGAUGAUAUGAUUAUUACUGGUAAUGAUCCACAGGCCAUAUUCGACCUACAACAAUAUCUUGGUCAACAUUUUGAGAUGAAAGACCUUGGACCUCUCAAUUACUUUCUUGGUCUUGAAGUCUCUCACCGUUCAGAUGGUUAUCUGUUAUCUCAAGCGAAAUAUGCAUUUGAUCUGAUAGCACGCUCAGGAAUUACAGACUCCACCACAUCUUCAACAUCGUUAGAUCCUCAUGUCCAUCUAACUCCGUUUGAUGGCGUUUCUCUUGACGAUGCAAGCUUGUAUCGGCAACUUGUUGGCAAUCUUAUAUACCUAACAGUGACUCGCCCAGAUAUUGCAUAUGCUGUUCAUAUUGUCAGUCAAUUUAUGGCUGCUCCUCGAACAAUUCAUUUCAUUGUUGUUCUACGCAUACUUCGCUAUGUCAAAGGCACCUUGGGACAUGGUCUCCAGUUCUCCUCUCAGUCUUCCCUUGUGUUGUCGGGAUAUUCUGAGGCUGAUUGGGCGGGGGAUCCUACUGAUCGACGAUCCACCACAGGAUACUGUUUUUACUUAGGUGAUUCUCUCAUCUCAUGGCGUAGUAAGAAACAAAGUGUUAUAUCUCGUUCAAGUACGGAAUCUGAAUAUCGUGCUCUGGCUGAUGCUACAGCUGAACUUAUAUGGCUUCGGUGGCUCCUUGCUGAUAUGUGUGUCCCUCAACAGGGUCCUACCCUCCUCCAUUGUGACAAUCGUAGUGCCAUUUAGAUUGCUCACAAUGAUUUGUUUCAUGAACGUACAAAACACAUUGAAAAUGACUGUCACUUUGUUCGUCACCACCUCUUAAGCAACACCCUCCUCUUACGUUCUGUUUCUACUCUUGAACAACCUGCGGAUAUCUUCACCAAAGCCUUGCCAUCUAAUCGAUUCUGUCAAUUACUUACCAAACUCAAGUUGAUCGCCACUCUACCACCUUGAGUUUGAGGGAGGGUAUUAAUGUAAAUUCUGUAAAUUAGGCUAAUUACAUUCCAUUAAGCUAAUUAUAUUACAUUCCUUAUUUAAUUUGGGUAAUUUAGCUAUUUAUGUAACAUUUGAUACUCUUGUAAAAUACAGAAAAUUCAUCAAUAAAAUACAGAAAGAUUAUUCCUUUCACAGUAGCAAAUCAACGUACCAUUUGACAGCAAAAAUCAAGCCUCAACAUCAUCAAUAUCAGCUAGCCCGAUACAUAAUUUGCUAUUACACCCAAUUCUCACAGCCCAUAUUCUGUCUAUAUAAUUAUUUCUCACAUAUUGAUUCUAAAAAGCAGUUGGAUUAUCAUACCUUUUGUAGCACACCUUUAUGGUCACGUUAUUCUUGGAAGUAUUUAACUUCAAGAAUAAUAGGAUCACUUUUUUCCUAAAAAAAAUACAUUUCAAGUUCAUUGUUGAUUGGUAUAAGAUUUAGAUCUCUUGUACUUUGUAGUCAUUUCUCUCUCUGAAAACAAAUGGUUUAUUAAGGUUCUUCAUUUCAAUCUUUUGUUUUUGUUUUUUAACUUCUCUUUUUAAAAUUUUAAUUUAUGUUUGACAACUGGUUUUAGUUUAUUCAUGUUUCUUGUAUUUACCUCCGUUAAUUUUGAAGCAGGAUUGAAGUGGUUGCUUUGGAUCGUCUUCCUAGUGAAAAUUUUCUCUUGCAUCUACUCUCCUAACGUAUCUUAUAGUUGCAAUUAAAUUUUAAAAAAUGUAUAGCAACAUUUAUAAAAAAAAUAUAAAAUUACAAAUAUAUAUAAAGUAAUUAAAUCCAUAUAAACAAUUGGAGAGCAGGAGAGGAUAACUUAUUUUUCAAUUGCAUUUCUUUUUUGGCGAUUCAAACUCUCUAUGAGACUCUUUCUUCCCAUGAACUUUCCUUUUCCAGCCUUCACCAAAUAAUCCUACAUUAAUUAUAAAAAUAUUUUUCUACCUAAAUUUUAUAUAUAUUUUGUUGAACAGUCCUAAUUACUAUUUUUUGGGAUGAAGAAAACAGUCUAAAUUUAUUAUUCCUUCUAGAGACAAGGGUGUUAAAGGACAUAUCAACUUAUUUGAGAGAUAAUAAUACACUCCCUCUAAUCUCCUAGAGACUCGGUAUAAAGUUUUAAAAAAAUAUUUCUUGAAUUUAAAUUAAUAUAAUCUCAAUAUAUAUACCAAUUCAACUGGUUAAGCUCACUUAUACUAAGACUAAUAAAUUGGAAGUUGAAAACCUUUAACUUUAAAAAGUUUGAAAUUGAGAACACCCAAUAAUUAAAAGAAGAAAACUUCGAAUAGACCAAAAAUAAAUUUUGUUAGGUAAAAUAUUAUUACAAUCACAAAUAAAAAAUUUCUGGUAGACCUCAAUCACCAAGAUAAAACACUCUCGAAACAUUAUAUUAAUUGCAGAAACUAAGUAUACCAGACCUCAAUCACAAAAGACAAACUUAUUUUAAUAUUUUGUACUCAAACUUUAGUUUACAUGUUCAAAGUUGUUUUGAAAAUUAUUCAGCUGAUAUAUAUUGUGAACUUUAAAUUGGAUUAUUGUUUCUUUUCUGCAGGUAUGUUCCUCACUUGCGCAACAAAAAAGAAAAAAGAAAUCAAACCAUUUUCCAUAAAAAAAAGAGAACAUAUUGUAUAAAAAUUAAGUUUUGGAUUUUUAAAUGUUAAAUGUUUAAUUGAACAUCUUUACCUCUAUCAUACUCAGAGAAAGAGGAAGAAAAAAGAAAGACCUUGAGUAGAAUAUGGGGUUCCAUAAUUUAGUUGUACACAAUUUCCUACAUAAUUUAAUCCCAGUUGUUUUGACUUUGAUAUUAUAUUAUACUACUGCUAAAAUAACAUUUUAUAUAUCAAAGUGAUGUUCUUCCACUCUUCUUCCCUCUCCUCCCCCAAAGUCAAAACGAGUUCAUAACUUUGAGCAAUUCAGCCUAAAGCUUAUUAUUAUAACAAUAAAAGAGAAUAUCUUAAUAAGUAAACCUAUUAAUUACUACUAAAAUGUGAUUCAUGGGAUUUUGAAUGAGAGCUAUAUAUAACUAUAUAUGAUGGUGAUUAUAUUAGAGCCUUAAUUAUACAUAUAUGUUAAGGAAAAUGAAGAUAUAAUUAGUAAGGGGAUAUGGGUGGAAGAAAGCAUUGGGUUUCCAGUUUUGUGGGGUUUGUAUUUCUGUUGGUUUUACUGAAUCAGCUGGUAGAAGCCAGUGCAAUAAGUUCAUCAUGUAGGCAUAUUGCUAUUGGCGUUGUUACUGAUCAAAGUUCAAGGAUGGGAAGGCAACAGAAGAUUGCCAUUGAAAUGGCUUUUCAAACCUUCCAUUUCUCAACUUCCUUUCCAAAAUUGGAGCUAUUCAAUAAUGAUUCAAAUGGCAACUCGGCUCGAGCGAUAACUUCUGGUAAUUCAAACUUUUUUUUUAGAAUGAUAUGAACAAGUAUAUUAGAUCAACAGGCCGUGUAUCGAAAAAUCUCAAUAAAAUUGACAAAUUCACCACUUUUAUCCUAUUCCAACACUGAUUCCAUUAAUGCUUGUGUUUUUAACCUAAUCAUCCAUUUCACUCAUGUAAUUUAUUUUUGAAGGUUUAUGUUAUAUAUUUUUAGACACUGGAUUUUGCUAGAUUACCAUAUUAUUAUUUUCAUUUAGCUUUUUUCUUCUUCUUCUUCUUCUUUUUUUUGUUGGUUUGUGGAUAUAUGUAAUUUGUCUUUUAGUGUAUUUUUACAAGGGUGUUGACUCGAACCAAUUUGAAACAAAAAAAAAUGUUUUCUAAACUAUAUAUUUUUUAUUUUUAAAAUUUAAUUGUAAAUUAAAUAUUUGAUAAUCGUUUUCGUUUCUCAAUUUUAAAUUUGAAGAAACAUUCCUAAAGAAAAGAAAAUAUCUCUUAUCCAUUUAUGACUCCCUAAACAUAACUGAUUGUGUUAAGUCGUUUUGAUGGUUGAGAGACCCGUCCAAUUCAAUUACGUAUCACCCAACCUCAUUUUUAUGUAUUGUUUUUCUUUUUCAAAAUUAAUUCUUCUUUUUAUAUUUUAUAUAUUAUUUAAGUUUUGAAUUUUAGAUUUUUCAAUAGAUUGAUUUAUAUAUUAUUUAAUUUAAAAUUUUAAAAUUUUCAUAUAAAUAUGUAUAUAUUAUUGUCCUUGUGAAUUUUAAAAUUAUAUAUAUAUAUUCUUUCCAUAUAUAUUUUCUGUUUUGAAUUUUAGAUUUCACAAUUAUUUUCUGCUUAGAACAUUUUAGAUGUUUGCAAUGUAUAAAUGAUAUUUUGUUCAUUUAGCUUUAUUUAUAUAUAUAUAUAACCUUAUAUCUAUUAGUAAGAUGAUAGUAGCCUGACAAUUUAUUAGACACUAACACUUCUUUUUUAUAUAUGUAUUCGAAUAUUUAUUUGAAAGAUUUUUGGAAGUGGAGUAUGAUGAAAGUGUUAAUUAAAGAAUAUGCGAGCACUAGUUGUGAUAUUUUUUAAUCCACUCUCUAUCAUAUCUUUCUCUUAAAAAUAUCACUUCUUUUUUUAUGGAUAUAGGAAUUUUAAAUUCUCUAUCGCCAUGUAACAUUUUGAAAUUAGACUUUUCAUUUAACCCAUAAUGUUAUUUGAAUAUUUAUAUUUUCCAUUACAGCUUUGGAUCUGAUUGGCAACAAAGAAGUGAGCACAAUUCUUGGGGCAUUUACUUUGCAAGAAAUGCAAUUAAUGUCCGAAAUUAACAAAAACUUCAUUGAUAUUUCCAUAAUAUCCCUACCAAUUGCUGCUUCUCUUCCUCCUCAUAAUAAUAAUAAUCCACUCCCACUUCCUUCCUUUAUUCGAAUGGCUCACAACAUCACAUUUCACAUCCAAUGCACAGCCGCCAUUGUCGCCCAUUUCCAAUGGCAUAAAGUUACUCUCAUCUAUGACAAUACAGACGACAUGUCCUUCAACAUGGAAGCUUUGACUCUCCUCUCCAACCAACUUGGAGAUUUCAAUAUAGAGAUUGACCAAAUCUCAUCCUUCUCUUCUUCAUAUUCAGAAUCUAUGAUUGAGGAAAAGCUCAAAAGCCUUGUGGGCCGUGAGAGGAACCAGGUUUUCAUUUUGGUGCAAUUUUCUAUCGAAUUGGCCAAACUCCUUUUUCACAAAGCAAAUAAAAUGAAUAUGAUGGAAAAUGGAUUUGUUUGGAUCGUUGGAGAUGAGAUAUCAAGUCAUCUUGAUUCUUUGGAUUCAUCAACUUUUAAUGACAUGCAAGGUGUCAUUGGUUUUAGAACUUAUUUUGAUCAUAACAAAAAUUCUUUCAAGAAAUUUAGAAGCAAAUUCCAUAGAAAGUAUGUUUUGGAAUAUCAUGAAAAUGAAGAGGAGGAGAUGAAAAAUACGGAGCCCACCAUCUUUGCUCUUAGAGCUUACGAUGCAGGAUGGGCUGUGGCACUUGCGAUGCAUAAAUUGCAAGCAAAUUUUAGCAACAAACAAUUGUUGAAGGAAAUUUUAAGGAGUAAAUUUGAAGGGCUUAGUGGGAAAAUAGGAUUCAAGAAUGGUGUCUUAAUGGAACCACCCACUUUUGAAAUUAUUUAUGUGGUGGGUAAGAGUUACAAAGAGAUAGGAUUUUGGAGAGAAAAGGUUGGAUUUUUCAUCAAUUUGAAUGAAAAUAAUGAUCAAGAAAUCAGUAGUAGCAUUAUUAUUGAUGAAGGAAGAAGUAGAAGUGAUAAUAAUAAUAAUAAUAAUAAUAAUAAUAAUAAUAAUAAUGUUGUUUUGAAAUUACCAAGAUUUGUUUUGUGGGAAGUAAAUUAUGCAGAAACAGGAGUAGUGAAAGGAAGGACGAUUAAUAUUGAUAAUUCAAAUUCCGGAGGAAUGGGAAGGACAUUAAGAAUUGGUAUUCCGGCCAACAAUACAUUCCGAGAAUUUGUUAAAGUUUCUUACGACCACAUAAAUGCAAUAUACAUUUCUGGAUUUUCCAUUAGUGUAUUUGAAGCUGUCGUAAAGAAUCUGCCUUAUUCAUUGCCGUAUCAGUUGAUCCCAAUCAAUGGUUCUUAUGAUGGAUUGGUAAAGCAAGUCUACACAAGGGUAAGUACGAUAUAGAUAAUAUAUAUAUAUAUAUAUUGGAUUAUUGCAUGUGAUUCUUGCAUCUAUUCAUUGUAUCCUUCUUUGUAUAUAUAACAAAAAAGGUGAUGUAUUUAUAUGAACAAAUUAUAUAUAUGGUGGUUUUUAUUAGGGUCUGGAUGCCGCGGUGGGAGAUAUCGGAAUAUUUGCGGACCGAUUUAAAUAUGUUGAUUUCACAGAGCCAUAUAUGAUGGGUGGGCUUGUGAUGAUAGUGAAAGAGAAGACAAGAAAUUGGAAAGAAAUAUGGAUAUUCAUGAAAACAUUUACAACACUAAUGUGGAUCAUUUUGCCAAUCUUCCAUCUUGUUAUAAUGUCUGUUGUUUGGAUUGUUAAGGAUCCAAAGGAUGGAGAAUUAUCAGGAGUUUCAGAAAUGAUAUGGUUUGCCGUAACUGUCAUCUUUUUUGCUCACAGUAAGAAUUUUAAAGUCAUGUUUGAUAAUCAUUUUAGUGUCUUUUCACUUCUCAUUUUAGAAAACAAAUUUUUAUGAGUGGAUGCAGGAAAAGAAGUGAAAGGUAAUUUAGCAAGGUUGGUGUUGGGGACAUGGUUGUUUGUAAUUCUUGUGGUAACUUCAAGUUUUACUGCAAGUCUUACAUCUAUGAUGACGGUUUCAAGAUUUGCACCAUCCGUUGUUGAUGUUGAAACAUUAAGGCAAAUGAAUGCAACAGUGGGGUGCAACUAUCAUUCUUUCAUUCCGAGAUAUUUGAAUGAUACAUUGAAAAUUCCACGUAUAAAUAUUAAGAACUUUGUUGGGAUUGACGAUUAUCCAAAGGCAUUUGACAAUGGAGAAAUUGAAGCAGCUUUCUUCAUCACUCCACAUGCUAAGGUCUUUCUUGCUAGGUACUGCAAAGGCUACAUCACUGCAGCUACUUUCAAUCUCGGUGGCAUUGGUUUUGUAAGUUCUCAACUAAUAAUCUACUUCCAGAUGUUUUGCAGUUUUUAGAUUUAAGUUUUGUUUCGAUUUGUUUUACAAGAUUUCAAGAUUUAUACUUUUAAUAAGUUUGAUUUUCUCACUGAAAUACUCCUGGUAUGAAUUAAACCCAAAACUUUAAAAAUCAGAAGGAUUUAAAAAAAAAUAGUUAAAGGUGCUAUCUGAGCUGCAUAUAUUUUUUGUGCGAGCAGCUUAACCAGUUAUAAUAUGUCAUGUAGCCAAAAAAAUCUUUUAAAAAAAUUUAAUUGACUUUUUUUUUCGUUUGUUGGGAUAAAAUAUGAGCUACAAGCUGCACUUAACCAUUGUUUUCUUUUCUUUUAUGAUGUGGAUAGAAAGACACGGUAGUCUAGCACUACACUUGGUAUUUGGUAAUAAUAGGAAAUUUUGUUAUAUGUUGCAGGCUUUUCGGAAAGGGUCAAGUCUAGCAGUGGAUGUAUCGACAUCCAUCGUGGAACUUAUAGAGAGAAGAGAGAUGCCACAGUUAGAAACAAUGUUGUUGUCAACCUUCAAUUGUUCUUCAGGGAGCCAAGUUGAUGGGUCUACAAGUUUGGGGCCUUGGCCUUUCGCAGGUUUAUUCAUCAUUUCAGCAAGUGUUGCUGCUGGAUCACUUCUAUAUUUUUGUAUAUGCGGACCAAAUCACGAUAACAAAGACAAUAAUGCAGCAGCUGGAGAAGUCCACAAUGGCAAUAACAAUGCAGCUGGACAGGAACCCAUGGCCAAUGGCAAUAACAAUGCAGCUGGACAAUUCCAACCCAGGGCCAAUCGCAAUGAUUAAGAAUUAUCAUUUUUGUAUUUUAUUUUGUUUUGAAUAAUUCUUUUUCUCUUAUUUCGUAUCGGUAUAUCGUUGUAAUUUUUAAACUUCAAUCAUAUAAGUUUAUAUACUAUGUAGUCUCUAACUUUGGAUAUAAAACCUCUAUACUCUGCCAUCUCGAAAUCUUCAUUGAUUUACUAAACAAACAUCGAUCUCUCCACAAUGAGAAUACAUUUUUUUGUUUUACUUGACCAACAUAUAUUUACAUGCAGGAUAGAAUAUUGGUAUAAAACUAGUUCAUAAAUCUUUUCCAGAUUUGACAUUCUUUCGAGAUUGUUAUUUAAUAUUUGGAAAGACGACUUUUCAUGUAACAUCCUUUUUACUUAUUUUUCAUGGUAGGUGUACAACAAAAACCUUAAAAAUUGAAAAGCUAAACACACCAAACCAAAUAGAUUUAUUGGAAAAACAAUUAAGAUAUAUUAGUGCACCUCCUGAUCUUGUUCUCCUGCUUGUUACUUAACCUAUCAGUGCACCAAGACUAAUCUCUCAUAUAUUCAAAAAAAAAAAAAAAAGAACAGAACAAUGAGGUUGGGAAAAAGGCUCAAAAUCAAGAACCAAACCAACAAUAAACCCAACUUAAUAACAAUUUGAUCCAUUUUUUUCACUUGCUGGACAUCGGUUUUGGUUCCUUUUCUACAUAAAACCAAUUUGUUUUGUUUUGUUUUUUGGUUGGACUCAAAAUCCAGAAAAUCGAACCUACCUGAUAUUGCUUACUGAGUAUAGUUAGUUGUAGACUCAUUUAAUACUCCAAAGAUUUUGGGUUCUCCCAACUAUCUUUCUAAUAUAAUGUAUAUAUAUCCAUCAAGAUGGAAGUGUGUCUCUUUCAAUUCAUCUCAUUCUUGAAUUAGAGUUUUUUAUUGAACAAGUGAAUAUUAUGUUUAGAUUUCUUAAACUUUGAUAUCAAAUUUAUCUAAGUACGAAUUAGUUCGAUCAAAGACAAACAUCUUUAUUAAUUCGUCAUGUAAAUAUUUAUGAAUAUGGAAAGAUUUAUAUUAGAAGACGAUAACAUGACAAAUACACACAACAAUAAACCAAAGAGAGGAGCAAUAUAUAUAUAUAUAUAGUAAGAGUUGAUCAUGCGUCCUCCAAGAACAAACUCUUUAUUCUAGUUUUUCUUAAUGAGUACGUACUAGAUAUAUAAUAUGAUGAUAACAUAGAAAAGUACAUAAAUUUUACAACUUCUUCAUUUCUUGGUCUUGUUGAUUACUCUGUCAGCAUACUCAAGAACUUUAUCAAGUUCAUCCAAACAAAUAAAGCCAUCUCCAUUAGCAUCAGCCAAAUUCAAAGCAUAGUUAGCUUUGCUAAAUGAAUUGAAGGAACCACACAUGUUAAAAGCUUUUACUAGCUCACUUCUAGUGAGAUAACCAUCACCAUCAAUAUCAUGCUCUAAGAAAAUCUCCCUCAUUUCAUCUUUACUAAGCCUCAUCUUGUACGGCCCACAGGACGCCUUCUCAUCAGGAAUAUUAACCUUAGGUUCAACUUUUUGAGGCUUAAUUUGUUGGUGAUGGUGAGAAGCAGCUUGCUCAAUGAUCAAAGCAGUUAGCUCAUCUUUGGUCAGGAUUGAAUCACCAUUCUUGUCAUACUUUUUUAUCAAAUUACUUGCUUCUUGUUCACUCAUGUAAUUACCUUGGGCUGGGACAGGCUGAUCCUUAAGAGGAUUUGUAGACAUUGUUGAAAACUAUGUGGGUUGUGUUUUGGGAUUUGAUGUGGAGUUUGGAGGUGAUAGAAUUAAAUUAAUGUCUUGAAAGGAUUAACACACUUUAUAUAUACUAACUUUAGAAGCAUAAGUAUUUUUUUUUUCAUGUACAAAUUGGAAUCUUAUUCCUAAUUUCCUCUACUCCAAAAACAAAAGAUUAAAAAAAAAAGAACUUAUUCCUUACCUAAUAAAUCUCUUUAUUCAUUAAGAUAUAUAUAAAGUUCCUUUUUUUAAAAAAAAAAUUAUGGUUAGCAAAGGAAAAUUAUGGUUUAUAUAUAUAUUUUGCAUGUGGAAUGAAAUAAGAUUCUAAAAAGGAAGAUAUUCACAGCUAAUUAGCAAAAUAAACAAAAUAAGAAUAAAAUAUAGAAUCUCUUUGUCACGGUCAAAUAAGAUUUUUUUAGUACAACAGUAGUUAUUAAAUGGUAAUUAAACCUUCAAUAUCUUUGACUUUAACAAAGAUACUACAACAAGUUUUUAGGGCAAUUUUUAGAAAAAGAUACGUUGGAUUAGUAGUGCACCUGGAACAUCUACACUAGGUGGAUACCCCUUAGCACCCUCAUCAUUCCCGCUUCAUUAAAUAAUCGUCAGAUCAGAACAAGAGGCAGAAAAGUAACAAGGGCUAGAGAAAAACCCAGUAGUUAUUAUACAAAAGCAUUCAAGUUUAAAGCAAUAGUGCUAGUGCUAUAAUUUUUAUAGAAAUAAGAUCUACUAGUCUAUAAAUGUGUGAGAUCUUUGACAUUUUUCCAAAUCUCCCGAGUAGUUCUAUCUUUGUUCUGGAAGAUCCUGUUGUUUCUCUCUCCAACUAGAUGAUACAUAACGCAGCAGCAAUCAAAUUGAAAAUGAUGAUGCCUUUUUUGCUUUUUUUCAUUUGUGUUGCAUAUGUUUUGAAAGCAAUAGUCCCGAGUAGUUUCGAUGGCAAUUUAGAACUGCUAUCAAAGUUCGUUUUGUCAUCUUACUCUAUAUUGACAUGCAAUUUCAAUUUACAGUACGUGUCAUCACAAAUAUAUGAUGUUAGUACAAAACUGAUAUAUAAAUCUAAAAUUGUUGUACUAAGACAAUGCCAUUUUUUUCAAUACCAUAAUUAUGGAAACAUGAAUCGAACCUUCCGUCUCUAAAAUAGAAAGUAGUUUUGAUUACCAUUGAAUUAAUUAAGUUCAUGUUGACUCAUGUUAAUUACUCUUAAAACAAAUUUUAAAAAUAAUUGAAAGAAGGUUAAGGAAAUAGGAAAUAAAAAACGCCAACCUUAUUUUGGUUUCUUGUUUCUCAUAACUUCUGUUUCUAUUUUUGUUUCUAUUGUUACCAUUUUGCAUUUGGCAAUUUUAUUUUCAUGUUUUUUUCUUUUUCAUAAAAAAAAAAAUUAAUGAAACAAUUGUUUUAUAUCAAAUUUGUUUCUUAGUUCUCUAAAAAAUUUGUUUAGAAAAAGUAAGAGUUAACUUUUAAAAUUAAAUAACUUUAUUAUUGUUAUAUUUGUUUAUUUGUAAUACUUGUAUUUAUUUCAUAAAAGAGCAUCCUAUUUCCUGAAGAGAGUUAACUUUACUACCAACCUAACUUUUGAUAUUUCAGAAUUUCUCCAAUUUAUUAAUCAUCAUUAUCUUUUGAGUGAAAUGAUAUGAUGUACCUCUUGGAAGAUCAAGAUGGAGAGUAAAAUUAUAAGACUAAAAAAUAUUAUUUUCUAAAAACAAUAAAUUACCAUAUGGUGAUUAGUUUUAAUUGAUACGUAUAGUAGAUGGAUAAAGCGUUGCACAUAAAUGUUUUCAAAUUAUAAUAUUACAUACUUAGGGUAAUAAAUCUCAAAACAACCAUAUAUUUAAUUUAAUUUUUCUUUUCAUUUUUGACAAUUUCCUAUUUAUUUUAAAAUAACAAAAAAUAAUAUUCGUAAAACAAAGGCUGCACUUGUACUUGGCUGAUGUAGAAUAAUUGUCUUCUAAAUCUGAAAGCAAUGAUGAAAGCAAAUAAUUCUCUCUAAAGAUUCUUGAGUUCGUUUUAAAAAUUAAAUGUAUCUAGAAAUUCCAACUUUAACUAAUAAUCCUACUCUUUAUUACUAUUAUUAUUUACAACUUUAAGGCUAAUGUUAAGGACAGAUCUUUUAACCCCCCUGAUGCCAAGCUAAUUUUUAGAAACUAAUAGGAGAAAAAAAAAAUGAUAUGCAAACAUUGGAACAUGCAGGACAUGAACUUUUACUUGAUAUAUCUGUUAAAUAAUUAAAGAAUCAACCCAAAUGUUUAAGUUAAUGAACUAUGGUACAUUUUAAUUAUCUCAUUUAUAACAAAAAAAAAAUUACUUGUAUAUGUGUCUAUAUCACUAGACUAAUAGAUGAUAUAAAGUGGGGAAAUUAUGUAAAAAUAUUUGAAUAAGAAAUAUUUCUAUAUUUCCAAAUGCAUAACGUUAUUUCCCUCUAUUUUAGCAAUUAAUUGGAGUUGUUUUGUAAUAAAUACAAGCUAUGUAAUAUGAAGGUAAGAUCUUGCUAACUAUCGAGUUUGGAAGAUUAAUUUUAGUGUAACAUGACAACAAAGAUCAAAAAGGUAAUUCAAAUAAAAAGAUAAAGAGGAAUAUAUAAAAUAUGAUAUAGACUUGGUUAGAAUAAGAUUCUCUCUGUCUUACUCAUUUUAGUAAAAUGGAUGUAGAAUACGGUUCUUUUAUUAUAUUGUUAUUAUAUUGUUGAAAAUUAGAAUUAGAUUCUUUUUAUCUUAUAAUAAUAAUAAUGAAAUAUUACAAACUUUGUUAUUUUUAACUCCGAAGCAACUUUUCUUUUUACCUCACAAAAUAAUACCCAUAUCUUUUAGGUUCCAUACAAAUAUUAUCUACACAAUACAUCAUCUGAAUUUAUUUAUUUAUGAUGUAAUGUAUGUGCGUUACUUUUUGGUCUAGAAAAAUGAUGAAGAUGUUAAAGUUACAUAAAUAGCAAAUUAAAAUGUUGAAAUUAUAUUUAGCAAAAUUCAUCUAACUUUCUCUAAUUCAUUUAAAAUUUUUGUUAUGAUUUAUAAAUAGUUUCAUUUCUUGAUGCUAUUCCUAACAAUUUUUCCUUUAUAUAAUAUAUAAAAUUAUGCAUUAUAUUGUAAUUUUGGGGUAAGGUAUUUUGUUUAUUUUAACAAAAACAUUGCUGUUGCAGGGGUCGUACUUGGGCAAGGGUUUUGAAAACGAUGAUAGGUUGAAUUUUGAGAUUUAUGCCUAAUUUUUAUAAUUUUCUGUAAAAAGCAAUGUUAAAUAUAUAUAUAUAUAUAUAUAUUAUCAUAACUCUCCCAUAAAAUAUUUAGCUUAAAAUUUAUUUAGAGGACAUACAAUUAAAAUAAUUUUAUAGGUUAAUUACUCAUUUAAAACCAUAAAUUAAAUAAACCAUCCAUGGGCGGAUAUAUGUGUACAAUAACUUUCAAAUACAAGAUUAAUUGUUUUGAUCAUGUUCAUUGAUUGGAUUUCUAUUUUGUGUGAUUUGUGAAUUUAUGCUAUUGUCAAUUCAAAGUAUUUGUAGUGUGUGAGUGGAUAGCUUUUAUCCACAUUACACAGAUUCUAGAUUUUUCGACUGAAUUUAUGCUACUCUAUAUAUAUAUAGUCACAAAAACAGAAAGAAGAAAGAAACGUCACUUUUUUAAAAAAAGAGAUUUGUCACGUACGUGACUGUUGGACACUUGGGUAAUUGCAUAAACAUAUCUCUACAAAGCUAAUAUUGCAACGCAGAGCAAUCAACAUCCUCUUUUGAAAGCUUUCUCAAAAUAAAAGAGUUUUAGAAUUACAUAAAUUAUUAUAUUGAAGACGUGAUUCGUUACCUAAUUUAAAAGACAAGUACUGAUCUACAUUUCAUGCUUUAUAUGUAAUCUGAGAAUGUUGAUAUUUUAGAAAUUUUUUGUUAAUUUUUAGAACAGACUCUCUUGUCAGUAUGAUCUAUUUUUUUAUAAAUUUAACAAGGAAUUAAGAAACCCUCUUUGAUUAACAAAACCACAACACUAAAGGAGAAGAAAUUAGAAAGAUCUUACAAUAAGUGGCAAACAAAAUCUUAUUGUAGAUAGCUCUUUCCAUCAUCUUGUUGAUUGAAGACCCUUGGUGUCAAGAAUAAAAAAUUUCAGCUCUAACAAACCAGAAUGGAUGCUCAAACGGCAUCGCUAGACAGAAGUGGGUUUUCUUUCCAAUUUCUCACUUUGGUGACGUUUGAAUUCUCUUGAUCCGCUGCUGCUGCUGCUGCAAGAUUAUUUACAAAAAUAACCUAAUUGAAACUAUCCAUACAAAACUAAUUGAAACUAAGCCAAUAUAUAUAUCUCGUGAACGAAAUUAAAACUCGAAAUAAAAAGAGAAAAGAAGAGAGAAAUGUACAAAGUUUAAUUGAUUGGAUUUUGGAUACCUUACCCAACACAGAAUAGUGCUUAAACAAAAGGGAAAGAGAGAAGUAAUGAUCAUGUGGAAAAGUUUUUCUUUUUCUUUUUUUGGAGUACUACUCAUUUUAAUAUAUAUGUAAAUUAAAGAGAACAAAAUGACGAGAUUUUCUUUACUUCUAAUAGAAAAAAUAUUGUAUAUUGUGUAGCCUUUGCUGCAUCGGAUUAAAAACUAUCACGUAGCACUUUAUAUUAUUUUUAAAAAAUUAUUAAAAUACUGAUUUUUUUUCUAUGUAGAAAAAAUAUUGAUGGAUAGACUUAAAGUUCAAUCCCUAUAUAAAAUGAUGUUUUAGUGGCGAUAUAUGCUUAAGUAUUGAAAUAUCAUCAUUAUCAAUACAUCUAAACUAAGUACUUUGAAAAAAUCCAUUAUCAUUAAAAUGAUAAAUAAUGAAAAUUGGUAACAACUUAUGCAGAUAAAAAUUGACACAAUACAUGCAUAACAUAUAAUUUACCAAGUAUUCAUGCAUACAAUUAAUGAAAGGAGAAUAUAUAUAUAUAUAUAUAUAUAUAUUAUGUUAACGAUGUUUUUUUAACAAAAUACUGGAGGAAGAAGGAUUUGUGGGUGCACUGUAUCUCUAAUUUGAGUGCUUAUAGAAAAAGUGAUUUGAGUUGAAAACUCUUUUUCCCUUACAAAGAAAUCAACAAUAUAAUAUCAUGUUAAAAGUUUCUACUAGUGUUCUAAUCAACAUGAAACAUAUUAAUUAGUUUAUACCAAUAGUUCAAACUGACCCAUAAUAUGUGCUAACAAUCAAGAAGACUAUAAUUUGAUUCUCCUACCUCUGUUUUACUAAGAAGAAAGUUAAAAGUUUAAUUCAAAAAAUAAAGGAAUGGCAAUAUCUUGGCUUAACUUUUUUUUUUUUUUUUUUUUGAGAAAGAUACUUUGGGAUACCAGUAGAACAUCUCUACUAGGUGGACAUUCCUAAACACUCACGUCAAACUCGCUUCAUUAAAAAUAAAGAGAUGAAUACAAGAAGCAGGAGAUACAAAAAGGGCUAGACGGAAGCCCUAUGAACCCAAACAACUAAAAAACGUUUAAGUUUAAAGCAAUAGAACUGGUCGAGUAAUUUUUGAAAAGAGGAGAACGACUUGUCUAGAGACCAGUUGUAGCUCGAAUGUCCUUCCACACAGAGCCAACUAGUUUUUCUUCCCCCUUGAAAAUCUUUUUGUUUCUUUCAUUCCAUAUAUUUUAAAGGGUGGCAGCCACUAAGUGCAGUUUGAUAGUUUGUUUUUUUUUGUUUUACCCUUUGUUUUGUAGAUUUCUUUGCACAGAUAAGUGGAAUUUGAUGGAGAUAGGAGUCGCCCAAGAUAACUUCAACUUUUUUCCAGAGCUUUGAAGAGAAGGGACAAAGGGAGAACAAAUGGUUUCUGUCUUCCUCGGCAGCUUUGCCAAGAAUUCACCAAGAGGGUUUUAUAUUUCAAGUUGGAGUCUUCUUUUAAGCAUACCCAUGAUAUUAAUACACUCAUAAAGGAGAGUCCAUAAACAAGAAUUUACACCUUUUGGGAUGGAUGAUUUUCAUACAAUUGCUAUAAAUUACCCAAUCAUUAUAGUUAACUUCUGCUUGGUUGUUGAGAGGUCUCUCAAGAUGGCCUAUCUCACUGUAUGAAAAGUUUUGCCCAAAUUGUAAUUUAGCUCGAUUUGAUCAAUAUCUAAUUGUUAAUGUUUAUUAGUAAUUAAUUAAGUAAUAACUUUUAGCUUGCUUUUAAUGUAACGAUUGUUUAAAUAAGAUUAGCCUAAAACCCACAUAUUAACUAAUAAUAGAUAUUAGAAGCCUUUUCCAUUUCGCAACAAGAUUACAUAAACACAAGAAGGACCAACUUGCUCAAGCCCAGCCCUUCCUUCCUUUAUUAGUGAAAGUCAAAAGCUUAGGAAACAAAAACAUAAAAUCAUAGGGUGUUGCCAAUUUUAAUUUCUAUCAACGCCUUCUUUUCUGAAACCUUUCGGCAUAAUCGAUGAGUUUGUCAAGCUCGUCUUCUGAGAUGAGGCCGUCACCAUUCUCAUCACAAUAAGCCAUGCCGUAGUGAGCUUUGUAGAAUGGUAUAGAGUGACCCAAGAACCCCAUGGCUUUGAUGAGCUCACUGAUGCUGAGGUAACCGUCUCCGUCGAUGUCGUGCUCACGGAAGAUUUCCUUCAUCUCUUCCCUUGAGAAAUUGAACUUGCUUACACCAGGAAGAGCCAUUUCUUUUGUGGGAAAAAGGAUAUAGCUUCGUGUUUGUUUAUUGCGUUUGGGGUUGUGAGUUUUGAGUGUGUGUGUUUUGGGGUAUUUAUGGAUGUACAAACAAAGGCUUUAUUCUUAUUAUAUCUUAUGAUAUGAUGGUCCCAUUAUAUUCUUACCUUAUGACAACAGUCACAUAUUCCACCUCAAAAACUUGCAUCUGGUCACCUUUCACUCAUUAUUUAAUUUUAUGGUUAACUAAUAAUCUUUUAUCUAGAUAUUAACAAGAGGGGAAUCAAGAAAUGCAUCCAAACAUCUCUAUUGGGUUAAUCAAGAAAUGCGUCUAAACAUCUCUAUUCGGUUAAUGUACCUAUUUUAGUUUUCAGGCUUAAAAUAACUUGUUACCUAAAAUGUCAAUAAAUGUACAAAAUAAUUUGUAUUUGUAUUGUUAGUAUUACUUGAUUGUAACACUUAACUUAUUGUUAUUUUUCUGAAAAACAAAAGUAGGUCAAAAUUUUGUUGACACGUUGAAUUCUGUGUAUGCUUUUUCAUGAAAACUCUAUUGAAAGCUUCUUUUUAAAAAAGAAAAAAGAAAAUCUAAGAUUUAUCCAUUUAGACAUUUAAAAGUAUAUAAUCUUAUAAUAAAUUAAAAGAAAAACUAAAAUAAUAUUUUAACAAAAUUUAUAUAUUUUUAAAAAAAACACGUACAAGUGAUACAUCGUCCAAAUAUCUUCACUAAGUAGACAUCUUCUUAGCAUCUUCAUUUGAUAUGUAUAAAAAAAAGUAAAACGACGACAAAAUAUGAGUUAGAGAUAAGUGCAUUAAAUAAAGAAAAUCAAUAACUAGUGAUGUUAAAAUUAAGUUUAUUUAGUUAAAAUAAUGUAACAUUUUUAUUUAUAGGCAUUUGAAGAACUUUCCUAUAUUUCUUUUACUCCCUGCUCUUGAAAAGAAAGAAUUCAAACUUUAAAUAAAAACCAUAUCAUUUUCCAUCAUUAACUUCCUAUUUUUUAAUUAUUAUUUUUAAAUAGAGCAAAAUAAAAAUUAUAAUAAAAUGUAUCUAUACGUGUCCUUAUCACCAACAAAUGGUAAAAUUUUAUUGUAUUUGUAAUUAUUUUCAACAAUUAUAUUAUUUAAAAUCAUUAUUCUUUUUGAAUUGAAAACUAAAGUAUUGAUUAAAUUUAUUGUAAUAUAUCAGCAACUUUUGAGGUCAUUGUUUCAUCUUUGAUCUCUCUCUAUGGAAGACCUAAAUUUGGUUCAAUUCAAAAUGAUUCUAUCAUUGAUCAUCUGUUCUUCUUUUUCUUCUAAAAAAGGCAUACAACAGUGUGUGAUGACGAAGGACCAAAAUUUAUGCAUACAAUACAGUGUAUAUAUACAUAUAUAGUAUGGGGUUAUUCUAGAAGAAAAAGAGAAUAUAAGUCUUUUUGUUGUGGCAGAAAUUUGGAAUCUGCAUGGGAUGAAAAAGGGCAUCUGCUUCUAUUUAUAUUAUAUAAUAUUCUUUGAAAUGACAAUAAUGGAGGGAAGCAUAAAUUUACAAUACCUCUCAUAAACAUCAAAUAAUUUAUAAUGGGACUCCCAUCUAAUACUUAGGGAAAGGGAAAAUAUUUCUUUACAAAUUAAAAAGCAUUCAUGCAGUUUUGAAAAAUGCAGAUCAAACGGAGGAAGUGCACUUUCUCAAUCUUUCUCUAUUUGCUAUAUUUGAAAAUAUGUUUUUAAAAAAAUUCAUUUAAAACAAUUACUCUAGAAAAAGGUUAUUGUUAGACUGAUGCUUUUGUAUCGAUAGAUUAUCUGUUAGAGUAUUUAAUAAAUAAUAUUGAUAUAAUUACAUUUUGGUAUUAGGUUAAUUAGUGUUAGUUUAAUUUAGGUAAUAUAGCCUAUCCGAGAUCUUAGUUUAUCUAAGCUUAUAUCAUUGUUGUAAUUGUUAUUUUAGAAACCCUAAUGAAGUUUUUCUAUCUCUCGCUCACUAUACUGUCUUUGUCCCUCUAAAAUUCUAGAGUUUUCAUGGCAUCAGAGUCCAAAAUUUUCUAAAACUCAAAACUCUCCCUUUUUUUCUUUGAAGUCGUCAUAGGCUGCAUGUAACAAGAAACUUAAAACUUAAAACCCUCCCUCUACCCAAACUCUCAAAUCACAUCACAGUAGUCUAUCUUCGGAUCUUUCUUCCACCCUUUUUGAAGAAUUGUUAUUUUUAACCUAACAAAGCUUUUACCUUAUCAGGCUAACUUCAUUUUUUAAAACUAAUUUUUUUCAGAAAAAGGAGUUUUUUCAAAAAUAGAAAAAUUUGUAUAUACACUCUAUAAAACAAAACUGCUAAAAGACACACACAAAAAAAAAAA